rnacentral:lncRNA from 1 species
GGGGGUGUGGUCACAAGCUGAAAGAAAGGGUUAGAAUCGAGAUUGAAUUGAAAAAUUGCCUAACUAGAAAAAGAGUUAACCUUCACUUGCGUACAACAGAGCUUCUUCUCAGAAUAUGAAAUUACUAAUAGGUAUACAUAGUUUUUUUUAAGAACAAGUUAGAUAAAGAAGACAAACAUAGCUAAGCAACUUUUCCGACUCAGAUCUCAAAAAAAAUAAGGAUCAAAUUAAUUUGGGGGAUUUCAACAAUAAUGGGUUAAUGGUUAAUAUUAAGGGUAAUACAAGGUAUGGCUUGUUAGGCUCAAGGGGGUUUACUAGAGGUUAAUCGUGGAGGUAGGCUUUUCAUGGCAUGAGUGGGUUAAUCCUAAGUGCCUUAAUCAUUUUGACAUAUCAAAUCAAAUGGUGUGAUCUCGACAUGCAUAAUCAACCAAGUUCUAGAAUAACAGUUCAAUAUUGACGCACUCAAAGCAAUAAUAAAAGUGAGCAUGAAAGGAUGAAUAGAUGCUCAAAAGGCUAAAAAAUCUCACAAAAAUUAUGGCUUUUUGAUUUUUAGACUCGUGAAUUCUAAUUCAAAGUAAUACCUAGACUUGGGGAAACAACCUAUAAUUUUAAUUUCUUAAAAAUCAACUUAUCAUGCUUGAUUCUCUAAUGUCUUAAAGUUUAAAUAAUCAAUGCAUAAAUUCCUAUGUUUUAAUUCAAGAUAUAUCAAUCAAAAUCAUAAGUCAAUUAAAAUUUAUCCUAAUUAUGAUAUGAGAACUUUUCAAGAGAACAAGGCAAUCAUUAAUAAACAUCUCGCCACACUGAAGAUGUACAUGCCCUCAAUGUACAAAGAUAGAUAUAAAAGAAUAAAAAUAAGAUAGAGAGAGAAGUGAAACUUCCUGUAUGAUGAAUUCCUCGAACUAGAGUUUUGGAGAGUGAUCGGUUCAAGAAUGAAGGAGGAUACUCCGGCGGACGUAGAGGUUCAUUAGUCCAUAAAUUUUGCGCCACAAGAAUAUUAUAUCUAGUGGUAGCUAUGGUCGUGGUCGAGCAAGACAUGGAGUCGUGGGGAACCUUUUCCGGUGGAGUUUUAGUUCCUAUGUGAUGAUGAGCUUAAAAGCUCUAUAUAAUUGUCAUAAAAUCAGGAACUUUUUAGAGGAUAUUAGGAAGAAUAAUUACUCAAAAAGAAAUAACCAAAAGUAAUAAUAAAAAUAAAAAAAUAAAAAAUAAAAAUAAACUUUCUAGAAUCUAAUAAAGAUAAAAAGUAGUUUCAAUAAAAAAUUGAAACAUAAAAUAAUAAAUAAGUAUUUUUAAACAUCUUCAUCGUUGGAUGGUUCGCAAGGUGGGGCUGGCGAUGAGAUGUGGAGGUGCUGACAAAUCUGGUGUAGAGUAACAUCAAUGUUGUCAAAUCAUUGAAAACACUGCUGUUCGAAUCGGGUGAGGCGCUCAGAGAUGCCAGCAUAUGAAGUCGCCGUAUGAACUGGACGAGAGAGUGGCGGUGAUUGAGUCGGUGGGUCCUCGUGCGGUGGGGGGACAUCAUUGGGAAUGUCCUCGUAAGCCUCCUCCUUGGUAGAUUGGGCGAGACAAUAUUGGGGAGGGUAGGUUCCUUGGCGCCUCUCGAUCAUCUUCAUGCUAUGCAUGCUCGAGAUGCCUUGUGGAGACAUUUGGCCGAUGAGGGUAAGGGAUGAUUCUUGGGCCGCGGUGUUGAGGAGUCCAAAGUGUCGCGCCAACCAAGUCACGUAGGAGCCAAUGGAGAUGACCCCCUUCCGAUGCCGCUCCGUCUAGUGCUGAUUCACGAGGGCUAUGAAAUAGGCAAGGUCGAUGACGUGCCCUUGCGACAUGCACCAUAAGAAGUAGACGUCAUGGGUGUUGACGACGCCAGUGCUCUCUCGCCUCCCUGUAAUCGUGUGAGCUAAAAUAGCGUGUAAGUACCUCAGGGAUGGUGGGAAAACUAAUGCCUUGGAGUGGCUAGGAUUGUACGAGGCCGUGCUAGGGGACAAAGUGUGCCAGCACUUCGAGGGAGAGAAAUGUAUGUCGCGGCUGAGAGCAUAUAGUUCAUUCUCCUCCCUAAACUCCUCCCUAUAUAGGCCUAGUACAGCACCAAAUUCUAGGACGCUUAGCUGGCGGAUUAAUCCACCUAGGUGAAACUGGAUUGUGUCGGGAUCAUCGUACCUUGUCAUUAUGGUCUGGAGAUGGAACGUUGAGCAGAGUUCCAUUGUGAGCUCGAGGUAUGUCAGCUAGAUAAUCCUGAAGAACAGCUCUCACAGGUCGGUGGUUGAGAGAGCCCGAAUCGCAUCAGCCAUCUAGACUUGUUCUAUGGUAGCCCAGUCGAUGCAGCGGCCUACUGCUAAAGGUUGGACUCGAAGUAUUUGGAAGAGCUCUUCUUGGGGCCCUCGUGGAAACUGUAGGAAAAGGUGACAAAUUUCCACGGUUGGACCCGCAGAGGAUGACGCUUCCUUCCUCUUCUUCGAGGAUGGUACGACGGUUUUCUUUUCUCUUGAAGAUGACAUUGAAGGCCUGUGAUAUAAAGAAUAAUAAUAGGUAAACAUAUUCGAAGGGGAAGUAAACUAUUUCAGCCAAAAUUACUAUUGUAAAGCAAACUCAACCACAAUAAUCAUGAGAAUGAGAAUAGAAAUGUAAUGGGUAUAAGGUUUUCCUCGCCUCAAUUUAACAUAAACUGUAUGGUAACUAACCUAGGAAUGCAAUUUAAAUGAUAUACAUUAGCAUGAUGAUAGCAUGAAAAUAAGCAUAGUAAUGUCAUGGAUAUAAGGUGUGUCAAAUGACUAGAUUUAAUUUGAAAUGUAUAAUAAAGAACCUAUAAAUGCAAACUAAAUGAUAAAAUAAUGAACAAAAAUGAAAACUAGUUCAAAAGUAAUGGAGAUUAUUGUAAUAAUAAGCAUUAAUAAUGUGUAAAAUAGAAGUGAAAGGAGUAAACAAAUGCUAAGAGAGAGGGAUUGAGCUUUAAAUGAACAUGACAGUGGCGCACGGGCGUAGCAGGGGGCCGUGUGGAGUUUGCAGCGGCUAGGGUUAGGGUUUUUGAAUGGAGAAUACAAUGAAUAGUGCAUCCUAUUUAUAGAUGUUGGGACACACGGCCAUGGGACACGCCCAUGUGCUCCAAUUUCAACCCGUGCAUUUCGCGUUUUUCCUAUUUUGGUGCGUCUAAAAUUUGACACAUGCCGUGUGCCUCGAGCGUGUUGGUUCACACGGCUGUGUCGCACGACAGUGUCUAGCUUCGUUCGCUUCUCCCACGCCCUUGUGUUAUAGCCCCACACCUGUGUAAAUUUGACAAGUUUGACCAUGGGUGUUCAACACGGGCGAGUCGCACGCCCGUGUUGUUUUGGCAAGCUCGACCACGGCCAUGUCGCACGACCGUGGCAUUUUAUCGCAGCCCGUGUUGGGGAAAUCUUUUGCCCUGUUUUCACAUUGCCUUAAGCACGCCCGUGUGAUUGGACGUGUCUCUGUGGAAACACCUGUAUUCAAGAUUUCUAUUAGUAGGUUAGGAGUUAAAUAUCAGAAUUUAAAGAAAUUAAUAAUGUUAGUGCUCGGGUUACCUCCCGAUAAGCGCUUAUUUAUAGUCUAAGCUCGACUUACCUCUCCGUUGAAUGAUCAUGGUGGUUCGAGGAGUUCAUACUCCUCGUUCCUACUGUCAAUUUUAAAAUAAGGUUUUAAUCGAGUAUUGUUUACCUUAAAAGUGUCGAACUUGGGAUGACUCACCUCAACCGUAUCGAAUGGGAAAAUACUGAGUACCGUAAGAGGGGUUUCCUCAUUUGGUGUGGUAGUGACAAUGCGAGGAUCAACAAAAUCUAGUAAGACUAUAUCGCCAACCUUAAGUUAAUUAGGAGAGGUAUCGGGCUUGUUUUCGCGCAGUUUCGAUUUAUCAUAUGUUCUCGGUUUGUGUUCUUGCCAUUUGUCUAGCUCCUCUAUCUGUUGUCUUCAUUCUUCAUGGACGUCUUUGUUCUCUACUUGAUAAUAGUGCACUGCCUGCGUUGUCCUGGUCUGAGGAGGUUCCUGCAAGAACGAUUGAAUAUUAGUUUUAUCAUCGACAAGUUUUAUAGCGUUAUCUUGAGUCUUAGAAGUUUUGACUGAAUCGCGUACUUGGAGUGUUACUGCGUCGUCCCCUGCACGAAGUGUUAGCUCUCCUGUGCCUACAUUAAUAAUGGUUCUGGCAGUUGGUAAAAAGGGUCGUCCUAAAAUUAAGGUACCUCGUUAUCCUCAUCCAUGUCUAAGACGACAAAGUCUACUCGGUAAAUAAAUUUAUCAAUCUUAAUGAGAACAUCUUCAAUAAUACCCUUAGGAAAUCUAACUGUUUUGUUAGCCAAUUGUAUGCUCAUCCUAGUCUGUUUGGGUUUACCAAGACCUAGUCGUUUAAACAUUUUAUAGGGCAUAACAUUUAUACUUGCCCCUAAAUCAGCUAAAUCAUUAUUCAUAGAUAAACUACCAAUUAAUCAAGGAAUUGUAAAACUCCCUGGAUCUUGCAAUUUGUUAGGUAGCUUAUUCUUUAGAAUAGCUGAGCAGACUGCAUUGAGUUCCACAUGCGAUGUAGUGUCUAAUUUCCUUUUAUUGCUCAGAAGUUCCUUUAAGAAUUUUGCUAAGUUGGGCAUCUGCGAAAGAACUUUAAUAAAUGGUAAGUUAAUAUGUAAUUUCUUUACGAGUUUGAUAAACUUACCGAAUUGUUCUUCUGUUCUGUCUUUUGUCAUCGCUUUAGGAUAUGGCACACGAGGUUCAUGAUUCGUACUUACCUGUUUGGGAUCAUUAUUGUUUACCUCUUCUCGUCCUUUGUUCAUCGCGUUGUUUUGUUGUAUUUCUGGCUCGGGUACAACGAGUCCGUCCUUAUUUUGAGCGCUAAUUACAUUAAGGUGUUCCCUCGGAUUAGGUUCAGUAUUACUUGGUAGGCUACCUUGUGGUCUUUUAGAGAUUAGUUUGGAUAGCUGGCCUAUCUGAGUUUCGAGUCCUUGUAUCGAUGCUUGUUGAUUCCUAAGUGCAGUCUCUGUAUUUUGAAAAUGGGUUUCUAACACCGAGAUGAAUUUAGAGAGCAUCUCUUCAAGGUUCGGCUUCUUCUCUUGUUAAUAAGGAGGUUGUUGAAAACCUUGAGGAUUUUGUGGCUUUUGAUUCCCUUGUCCUCCCCAGGAAAAUUUUGGGUGGUUCCUCCAACCUGUAUUAUAGGUAUUACUGUAUGGGUUAUUUUGAGGUCUAAAAUUGUUACCCAUAUAGUUGACUUGUUCUUCUUCAGUUGUAGGAUUGAAGGAUUGGUAUUCUGUAUGCGUACCUCUUCCGCUUGAGUCACACCUCAUUACUGUAUGUACCUGCGUAGAACCAAGAAAACUAUCCAUCUUUUUAUUGAGAAGUUCUACCUGAUUAGAGAGCAUGGUGACUGAAUCAAUGUUAUAAACGUCGGCUAUUUUUGUUGGCUUAGUCCUCAUGACUUGCCACUGAUAGUUGUUCAGUGACAUCUCCUCUAUGAAUUCAUAGGCAUCUUCCGGUGUUUUAUUGUUGAUAGCUCCACCAGCAGCAGCGUCAAUCAUUUGUCUUAUCGAGGGAUUCACACCAUUGUAGAAUGUUUGAACUUGCAGCCAUAGAGGUAACCCAUGGUGAGGGCACCUUCUCAAUAGAUCCUUGUAUCUCUAUCAUGCAUCGUAAAGUGUUUCUAAGUCCAUCUGCACAAAAUAAGAGAUAUCAUUGCGUAAUUUAGCCAUUUUAGCCGGCAAAAAAUAUUUUAGUAAAAAUUUCUCGGUCAUUUUCUCCGAAGUAGUGAUAGACCCUCGUGGUAACGAGUUCAACCACUAUUUAGCUUUGUUUCUCAGUGAGAAGGGAAAUAACCGAAGACGGAUGGUAUCAUCAGAAACGCCAUUGAUUUUGAAUGUAUCGCAAAAUUCCAGGAAAUUUGCUAAGUGAGUGUUGGGAUCUUCAUCCUGCAAACCAUCAAACUGAACAAACUGCUGUAUCAUCUGAAUAAUGUUAGGUUUUAAUUCAAAAUUAUUCGCAGUAAUAGCAGGUCUAAUUAUACUUGAUUCAGUUCCUGUUAAAGAGGGUUUAGUAUAGUCAUAUAUAGUACGUGGAGCAGGAUUUUGAUUAGAUGCAAUUGCAGGAGGCAGCUAAUUGUCUUGGUUUUCAGCCAUCUCGUCGGUAGGAGGUUGAGUAUUGUCUUCUUGUUCACUUUCAGUGUAUCGUAAACUACGUCUUAUUUCUCUUUGAUUUUUACGAACUGUUCGAUCGAUUUCUUCGUGAAAAAGUAAAGGUCUUGACGGGUUUCUUCUAGUCAUAAACAAUAAAAACCUGCCAAGAGAAAGAAAAAGUAAAUUAAUAAAUAGUAAAAUAAAUUAAAUUAAAUUGCAAGAAAAAUAAAUGGCUAAAGUAAUAAAAAUUUACUAUUCCUAAUAUUUCAGCUCCACGGCAACAGCGCCAAAAACUUGGCCGCAGUGAUUCGUAACAAGUAAUAAAUAUUUAUAAUGAAGAUCGAACCUAGACUAACUAUUAUCACGACGGAAAGGCAAGCGCACCUAUCGAACAAUAGUAUAGUAACGGCAAGACCAGGAUAUUGUACCCAAGGGAACCAAAAGUACUAGUAAUAACUAUCUUUUUAUUAUCUAGCCUAACAAUAAAAAGGUUUGUUUUAAUUAACUAAUUAUUUAAACUAAGAACGAACAGAGAAAAGAAUUGGGGAAUUGCUCUUGGGAAAAUCGAUUGACUUGAGACAAUACCUUAGGAAAAAUCCACUUAGACUUUACUUGUUAUUCUGGCUCCGAAUCGGACGAUUUAUUCAUUCAACUUGUUCCGUAGAGAUCCCUAAGUUAUGUUAUUAUCCCUAUUCGAGACUAAUAACGUCUAAUCCCUAGAUUGAAUAACUGAGACUUUUCUCUAAUUAACACUCUAGAGUUGCAUUAACUUGAUCUAUGGACCCCCUUAUUAGGUUUCACCCUAAUCCGGCAAAAUCUUGUCACCCUAUUUCUAGGUGCGCAAUCAACUCCGCUUAAUUAUGGCAAAUGUACUCUUUGACAGGGUCUAUUCCUCCUCUGAAUAAGAGCAUGUAUUGAAUCAAUAUCCUAGGAUUUCAAAACAAAAAUUAAGAACACAUAAUUAAGAACAAGUUAAAUAUUUAUCAUACGAUUCAAAAAAUAAUAACAAGAUUCGUCUUAGGUUUCAUUCCCCUUAGGUAUUUAGGGGAUUUAGUUCAUAACUAAAUAAGAAAACAUCUCAGAAGAAUAUAGAAUACAAAACAUAAAGAAAACUCAAAACUCCUGAAGGGAAAUUGAGGAGAGAUCUUCAGUCUUGAUGAUGAAUCUGACUUUUGAGAUGGAUCAAUCAGCUUCCUUGGGGUAAUUCCUUACCUCUCUUCUCUGUCUCUCAUUUUCUCCUCCUCUAGUGCGUACUUAUAGGCUUUGGAAUGCCUAAAACCCUCAAAAUUGGCCUUUUCCGAAUUUGACUCAACUUGGGCUCGGUAGGGACGCGCUCGUGUGACACGCCCGUGUUUGAUUACUUCAGGCCAUGUUUGAGCUUGCCAAAUUGACACGGCCGUGUGGUCUGCCCGUGUGAGGAGGUCCAGGUCGUGUUGAUUUCGUACUUUGGCCCAUUUUCUCCUUUUUUGGCCCGUUUCUUGUUCCUUUCACUCUCCUAUGCUCUUCUAAGUAUAAAAUAUGAAAUUAAUGCAUCAGGAGCAUUGAAUUCACUAGUUCUAACGAGAAAUCAUCUAUAAAAUGCAUUAAACAUGGGGUAAAAAUAUGUAUAAUUUACGGUUUAUCAUCGGUUUAGUCGAUUUACUUGGCUUUCCCCUGGUCUUAGUUCGGAUUUGACAAUUCUUGAUCUAUAUUAACAAAAUACACUCAUUUAGUCACUAAUUACAAUUAGGCAAUUGAAAAUUCACAUCUUCGAUAAAAUGACCAUUUUGCCCCUAGAUUUUGGCAAAAUGACCAUUUUUCCCAUAUGCUCGAAAAUCUAUUUUUAUCGAAUUUCUUUGUAUUAUAGGCCUAGCGAAAACCUUUUUAAUCUUAUAGCAACCUCAAACUCUCACUAUUUCACACACUUAUCACUUAUUUUGCAACUUAUGCAAAAUAGUCCCUGUAGGUGUUUUCAUGCUAACACCUUUCACAAAAGUUGUCAAUUACACAAAUAAGACUCAUAUUUUUCCAUAAAAUUUCAGAAAACACCCUAAAUUCUCUUAUGGAAAAACCUUAAACCUUCAACCAUUUUGCAAGAUAUACCCCUCAUUUGAAAGCUCAUGCUUCAAGGGUCUCAAAAGUACAAAAAUCAUCAAUAAAGGACAUGGAAAUCACUUACUUGAGAGGGCUCAAAGUUGCUGAAAUUUUUAAAGCUCUCAAACCCCAAAAAUGCCUGAUAUUUUUAGCUAAGGAGAAGAGAGGAUGAUAAGGUGAAACCUUUUUGUUAUAUUAAAAUAAAGCUAGUAAAAAAUUGGUGACCAAAUUUCACCUAAUUUUGACAAUUUGGUCUCCUCUAGACUCCAUGGCCAGCUACGCCCUCUCCCAAGGGUCUAUUUGCCUUUUAAAGAGCCCUAAUUUAUGGUUCAUGACAAUUUAACACCCUUAGCUAUCAAUUCAAGACUUUUGCACUUUAUGCGAUUUAGUCCUUUUUCACAAUUAGGCUCAUAAACGCUAAAAUUAAUCCACCAAAUUUUUCAUGCACUCCUAUAAUCAUACUAUGACUCUAAAAUAAUAAUAAAAUAAUUUAUUCGACUCUGGAUUUGUGGUUCCAAAACCACUAUUCUGACUAGGCCCUAAAUCAGCCUCUUACAUUUCUCACUCUCAGGGAUUUUCGUCCUUGAAAAUCUUUCCAGUGAACAAGUUUGGGUACUGAUCUCUCAUAGUCUCCUCGGGUUCUCAUGUGGCUUUCUCGACUCCAUGUCUAUGACACAAAGCUUUCACAAGUGUUAUAUUCUUAUUUCUCAACUAUUUGACUUCCCGGGUUAAAAUCCUGACCGACUCUUCGCCAUAAGUCAUGUCUGGAAGAAUCUCAACCUCUAUCGACUCAAUCACAUGCGAAGGGUCUGAUCUAUAUCGACGUAGCAUGGACACAUGAAACACAUUGUGAAUCUUUUCCAAUUCUGAUGGCAAAUCCAAACGGUAGGAAACUAACCCUACUUUUUUGGUAACCAUAUAAGGUCCUAUGAAACAAGGACUCAACUUGCCAUUUCUACCAAAUCUGAGGACUUUCCUCCACGGAGAUACUUUUAAAAAUACCUUUUCACUGACUUGAAAGUCAAUUUCUUUUUACUUUAAAUCCGCGUAGGAUUUCUGUCUAUCCGAGGCAGCCUUCAAGCAGUCACGGAUCACUUUAACUUUUUCUUCAAUCUCCUUGACCAAUUCAACCCAAUGAAUCUGACCCUCUCUAAGCUAGGUCCAAUAUAAGGGCAUUCGGCAUUUUCGCCCUAACAUAGCUUUAUAAGGUGCCAUUUUCAAACUCGUUUGAUAAUUGUUAUUAUAGGUGAAAUCAACCAAUGGUAGAUACUUUUUCCAAUUGCCUUGGAACUCAAGGACGCAAUACCGUAACAUGUCCUCUAACAUCUGAAUUACUAUCUCUGACUGACCGUCGGUUUGUGGAUGAAAAGCCGUGCUAAAACUCAACUUUGUUCCUAAUGCCUCUUGUAAAAUUUUCCAAAAUCUUGAAGUAAAUAUCGGGUCUCGAUCUGAAAUAAUUGACAACGGCAGUCCAUGAAGUCUUACAAUCUCGGAAACAUACAAGUUGGCUAAUCUCUCAAGGGAAUAGUUGGUACGCUACGUAUAAAGUGUGCCGACUUUGUUAACUUAUCCACAACAACCCAAACAGCAUCCUUUUUCUUUGGGGUUACCGGCAAACCUGUUACAAAAUCCAUAGUGAUUUGAUCCCACUUCCACUCGGGGACCAUAAUAGGUUGAAGUAGUCCCGAAGGUACCUGAUGUUCAGGCUUCACUUGUAGACACACUAGGCACUUAGACACAAACUCUGAAAUGUCUCUUUUCAUUCCUGACCACUAAUAUAUUUUCUUAAAGUUAUUGUACAUUUUCACACUACCCUGAUGGAUGGACAAACAACCACUAUGUGCCUCUUGAAGAAUCUUUAGAAUAAGCUCAUUGUCCUUGGGUACAAAAACUCUAUCUUUAAACAUUAAACAUCUAUCGGUACCAAUACAAAACUCGGACUUAUUUUCCGUUUUACACUGAGCCAUCUUAGCUUGCAGCUUCUUAUCACUUCUCUGAGCUUCAUGAAUUUUUUAUAGAAAUGUCAGUCUAGUUCUCAACUCUGCUAGAACCGAACCAUCAUCAAACAAAGCCAAAUUGGCGUUCAUCGCCUUAAACGCAAAUAGUGAUUUCCUACUCAAUGCAUCACGACAACAUUCGCCUUAUCCAGAUGGUAAUCUAUUGCCAACUCGUAAUCCUUCAUCACUUCUAACCAUCGGUGUUGUCGCAAAUUUAACUCCUUUUGAGUCAUCAAGUAUUUUAGGCUCCUAUGGUCGGUGAAUACCUAAAAUUUAUCUCCAUACAAAUGGUGUCUCCAAAAUUUCAAUGCAAAUACGAUGCCAGCCAACUCUAAAUCGUGCGUCGGGUAGUUCUUCUUAUGUGGCUUCAGUUGUCUUGAAGUCUAAGCUAUGACUUUACCUUAUUGCAUAAGCACACACCCCAAACCAUUCAAGGAGGCGUCACUAUAUACUACAGACUCCUUGCCCGACCCUGGUUGCACUAACACUGGGGCUUCAGUUAUCAAAGCCUUUAAUUUCUCGAAACUCUGCUGGCACUUUUCGAUCCAUUCAAACUUGACAUCUUUUUACAUCAGUCUCGUCAUCGGGAUAGCUAUCACAGAGAAUCUGUUUACAAACCGUUUGUAAUAUCCAGCCAAACCCAGAAAGCUUCAGACCUCAGUCACAUUCCUCGAUGGUUUCCACUCAAUAAUAGCUGAGAUCUUGUUCGGGUCAACUCUAAUCCCAUCACCCGACACAAUGUGUCAUAAAAACCUGACCUCUUUAAGCCAAAAUUCACUCUUACUAAACUUGGCGUAAAGCCGUUUAUCCCUCAAAGUUUGCAACACAACUCUCAGAUGCUCCGCGUGCUCGCUCUCAUCAUGCGUAUAAAUCAAUAUGUCAUCGAUAAAAACAAUGACGAACUUAUCUAGAUACGGUCAGAAAAUGCGAUUCAUUAAAUCCAUAAACAUUGCCAAGGCAUUAGUCAAAGCAAAUUGCAUAACGAGGAAUUCAUAAUGCUUGUAUCUUGUCUGAAACCCAGUCUUCAGAACAUCUUGCUCUUUAACCCACAGCUGAUAGUAGCCAGACCUCCAGUCAAUCUUGAAAAAUACAGUGACCCCUUUUAACUGAUCAAACAAGUCAUCGAUCAUUGGUGAAGGAUAUCUUUUCUUCACUGUUACUUUAUUGAGCUGCCUAUAGUCGAUGCAUAACCUCAUCGACCCAUCUUUCUUCUUCACAAAGAGUACCGAAGCACCCCACGGGGAAAAACUCAGUCUAACAAAGCCCUUGUCCGUUAACUCUUGCAACUGUGCUUUCAACCCCUUUAACUCCGUUGGAGCCAUCCUAUACGAAGCAAUCGAGAUGGGUGUCGUUCCAAGGACCAACUCAAUUCCAAAUUCAACUUCCCUCAAUAGAGGCAGUCUGGGUAAUUCCUCUGGAAAUACAUCUGUAAACUCACAAACCACUGGUACCGAUUCAAUAUUUAACUCAAACACUUAAGUAUUCAAUGCUAAAGCUAAGUAGGACUCAUAUCCUUUCCUCAAAUAUUUCUCAGCAGUUAAAGACAACAUUACUACAGGCAGAUUAUCUGACCCAUCUGGUCCAACUCAAAGAAUAUUCCCAUCUUCGUAUCUCAACUCAAUUAUCUUUUUCCCGCACUUCACUACAACACUAUGAACAGUCAACCAAUCUAUCCCAAGGAUUUCAGCAAACUCAUUAAACGGAAAUAACAUUAAGUUAGCUGGAAAACAAUAACCUCUAAUUAUUAAAAAGAAAUUCCUACAUAUUUGGUCCACUAGUACGUAUCUGCCUAAAGGGUUAGACACUUUGAUUACAAACUCAGUGGCCUCUACUAGCAUACUCAUACGAGGUAUCAAAUCUAUAAAAAUAUAAGAGUGAGUAGACCCUGGGUCAAUUAAAGCAACAACAGAUAUUUCAUGGAUAGAAAAGGUACCCGUGAUCACGUUGGAAGACUCUGCCUCUUCCCAGGCACGAAUAGCAUAAGUCCUUGCAGGCGCUCUGCCCUCGGACCUCACAGUAGCAUCUCUUGGUAUGUUUCUACUACUAGCCCCACUUAUAGGGUUCUUCUGUGGUCGACCCCUCACUGGAGCACUACUUGCCUUCAUUUCUUACUUAUUUUCUCUCUCUUCUAUCUCAAGACAAUCACAGGUAAAGUGGUCGAGUGAUCCACACUUGUAGCAGCCACUUGUAGCAGCCCUUCUCAUUUUCUUGGUACUCGCCAAAAUGAUACCUACCACAUUGCGAACAUUCUGGCCUAUUUGGCCGAGCGCUACCGACGCUUGCGACCGAAGUGGUCUGGGCUCUCGAAGUUGUGUUCUGCUGGUUCUUGUUUCUAUUCGAAAACCCCACCAAAGUAUUCAAUCGGGUAGUGAAUUCCUUCGAUCUCUUAGACGAGGACUAAUGUGAUUUCCCCAUCUGUCUCUUCCUUGAGUCUCGAGACUUUAAGGCCGCUUUCCGUCUUUCCUUAAUAAACUCUUCUACUUUACAUGCUCUUUCAACAAGUGCUACAAAUUCCCAUAGCUCUAAGAUGACCACAAACACUCGGAUGUCUUCAUUAAGCCCAUCCUCAAACCUCUUACACAUAGUGGCCUCUGUAGACAUGCACUUCCGCGCAUGCUUACUGAGCUUCACAAAUUCAUGCUCAUAUAUAGUCACUGACAUUUGGCCUUGCUUUAUCUCUAGGAAUUCCUUUUUCUUUUCGUCUAUAAACCGCAGACUAAUAUACUUCUUUCGAAACUCUUUCUGGAAGAAUUCCCAAGUUACGCUCUCUCUCGGUACCACAGACACGAGAGUGUUCCACCACUGGUAGGCCGAAUCUAUCAAGAGCGACACUGCAUACUUCACGCACUCCUCAGGAAUGCAUGACAAUUCAUCAAAUACCCUGAUGGUACUUUCUAGCCAAAACUCUGCUUUCUCUGGGUCAUCAUCUAUAUUAGCUCAGAAUUCCUUAGCCCCUUAUUUUCGGAUCUUAUUCAUCGGAGGUUUCUCUCUUGUAAACAUGUCCACGACUUGUGGAGCUACUGGGGUAUACUGAGGAAUCUGGAGAGGUGGAGUGUUCGAGUUCGCACCAAUGAACUCCGUGUACCAAGCAUCCUUCAUUCGGAGGUAGGCUUCUCUAGCCACUCCGUCUUGGCCCAUAGUCACGGGCUCACUCUCUACUGGCGCGGUCCCCUCAUCGAGUGCCGGCGCGUUACUUUCCACGUCAUCCACCAUGGUUCAAUCAGGGUUCAUUUAAUAUUAAAAAAACAUAAUUUAUAAUCGUUAGAAAUUGCCACACUAUCAAUAUAUAAUUAUGGCAUGUAUGGCUAGACUCAUACUCUCACUAGGUUAGUCCUAGAAUCAACUAAAUCAUACCUCUGAUACCACUAAAUGUAACACCCCAUACUCGUAACCCACACCAAGCAGAGUACAAGGCAUUACCUAACUUGAUCUCAUGCACACCAACAAUCUCGAGUCACCAAGACUUAGUCCAAAAUAAAACUUUUUCAAUUUCUAUUUUGAACUUAUUAUUAUUGGCCUAUGAGCCCCAAAUCGAUCGUUGAACACUAUUCGGAACCAUUUUGGGUCCUUAAACCAACUAUGAAAAUUUUGUUUUUGAAACAGUGCAUACACCCGUGUGGUAGGGUAACACGCCUGUGUGACCAUCUAGACAUGGUCGUGCUGAUGGCCCGUGUGGGUCACACGGUCUAGGCACCAAGGAACACGCCCGUGUCUCUUACCCGUGUGGAAUUAAUUUCUAAUUCACACCUACAGGGGUUUUUACACGGCCAGACACAUGCCCGUUCCAAUGGCCCGUGUCACUCACAAGGCCAAGACACGCCCGUGUCUUAGCUCGUGUGCGAAAACAUGGACAUUCUAUUUUUGAUGUCAGCAAGCUCUAAAUGUCACACGGCCAAGGCAUACGCCCGUGUGCUAGGCCAUGUUCUACACACGGCUGAGACACAGGGCCGUGUCUCUGCCUGUGUUUUUAUUACCAUACAUACUGACAUGAAAUUGUUACAUGCAAGAGACCCACGGCCGAACCACACUCCCAUAGGGCAGACCGUGUGUCACACAUAGCUUAGACACACCCGUGUGUCUACCCGUGUGAGUAAUAUAAGGCUAUUUACCAAGCCUCUUUGUCACCCUUACAUACUUAGUCUCAUACAAAUGCCAACUAAUGCCAAAACAAGCACAAUUUCUCAAAUUAAAUCAGCCACAAUUGACAUUCAUUCAACCAUGAUAAUGCAUCUUUCAUAAACUCAAAAUGAUUGUUAGCCAUCAUUCAAGGCUUAAUUCAAUUUGAAGGAUUUCCAACCCAAGCCAACAUAUUUGGCCAAUUCUCAAAGACACAAAAUACUAAAGCCUAAGUCCUAUACAUGUCAUAUUCAAAAAUAUAAAUCCAACUAUACCGAAUACUUCGAUUGAUAGUGUGAUCGAUAUCUCUGACUUCUAGUGAUCCUUGAGCUAGAUAGGCGGCACUGUAAGGAAAUAGAAAAGAAAGAGAGUGAGCAUAAAAGCUUAGUAAGUUGCAUAUAAGUAAGUGUACAACAACAAUUUAUCAAUAAUCAACAUGUUCAAUAAUACCAAGGUAGGCAUAAACAUAACUUACUCAUUGUCAUCCAUACCAGUCACAUAUUAUACAAUGAAAUCAUAUAUCAUAUGUACCAUUUAGGUACCUGUAUAACUCACAACACAGUUAUACUUUUCUUAAUAUCACACAAUCAAAAUUUUCACCGUUGAACCAUUCGGAAAGCUAUCAGAUAUUCACUAAGCCUUAAACAUGGGUAAGGUGUCGGUGUCUGAUCCCGUGAUUCGUAACAAGUAAUAAAUAUUUAUAAUGAAGAUCAAACCUAGACUAACUAUUAUCACGACGAAAAGGUAAGCACACCUAUCGAACAAUAGUAUGGUAACGGUAAUACCGAGAUAUCGUACCCAAGGAAACCAAAAGUACCAGUAAUAACUAUCUUUUGUUAUCUAGCCUAGGAAUAAAAGGAUUUGUUUAUUAAACUAAUUAUCUAAACUAAUUAACUAAUUUAAUUAAAGCGAAGAGAAAAUUUGGAAAAAGACUUGAAGAGAAGCAAUUGAUAAAGACGACACCCAAUGAGGAAUCCACCUAGAUUUCACUUGUUAUCUGACUCUGAACCGGACAAUUUAUUCACUUGACUUGAUUCGUAAGACUCCCUAACCUAUGUUAUUAUCCCUUUCGAGACUAAUAACGUCUAACCUUCAGUUGAAUUAAUCAAAAUUUCUUUCUUAAUUAAAGCCCCUAGCGAAGCAAUAAAUCACUCUAUGGACUCCCAUAUUAGGUUUCACCCUAAUCCGGAAAAAUCUCGUAACCUUAUUUUUAGGCGUUUGAUCAACUCCGCUUAAUUAUGUCAAAUCUAAUCUUAGGCAAGGUCUAUUUCUCCUCUGCAUAAGUACAUCAAAUCAAGAAUUAAUACCCAGAAUAUUAACUCAAGCAUUAAGAACACAUAAUUAAGAACAAAUCAAGUAUUUAUCAUACAGUUCUGAUAAUAAUAACAAGUCCAUCAUAGGUUUUAUCCCCCUUAGGUAGCUAAGGGGUUUAUUUCAUAAUAAAAUAAGAGUAAAACUCAAAAGUAUAAAAAUAACAAAACAUGAAGAAAACUCUAAAACCCUUGAAGGAAUUUUGAGAGAGAUCUUCAGUCUUGGAGUAGCUCUGGCUUUUGGGAUGGAUCAUCUGGCUUCCUUCAAGUAAUUCCUAGCGUGUGGUUCUGUAUUCCAGAAAAGUUCUGGAAGAGCGGCCCCUUUCUAGGUCACACUUAGGGUGUUUAUAUAGGCUUUGGAUUGGCUUUCUUCCUCCCUAAGUACCCUUUUUCGUGUAAAAUACAACUCUUUGAAAAAGGGACACGCCCGUGUGCCACGACCGUGUGACAUGAUUGCUAGGCCAUGUUAUAUCCGUUAAAUUGCCACGACAGUGUGGGCUCAAUGGCCAGGCCGUGUGAAUUGUGUAAACCUUGGUCGACACCCCCGAAGGCCACGGGCAUGUGAGUGCCCUUGUAGCAAGGCUUAGGCCGUGUGAUCUUCUCGAUUUGGUCUGUUUUGUCCCUUUUUAGCUCGUUUUUGGCUCCUUUUGACUCUUGGUGCUCUCCUGAGUACAAAACAUGAAAUAACCAGAUUAAGAGCACCAAAAUCUACAAAUCUAGUAGUAAACAUCCAUAAAUAUGCUAAGUAUUUAGGGUAAAACUAUGUAUAAUUUGGCGUUUAUCAAUGCCAUGUCCCAGACAUGGUCUUACACUGGCUAUCAUCUUUGAGGCUGAUGCCAUGUCCUAGACAUGGUCUUACACUAGUUCUCACAUAUCCGUGCCAUUGCCAUGCCCAGACAUGGUCUUACACUGACACAUCUCGUAACCGAUGCAUGUCUCAGACAUGUCUUACACUGGCUUACGUCUCGAGGCCGAUGCAUGUCCCAGACAUGUCUUACACUAGUACUCGUCUCAAUGCUGAUGUCGUGUCCCAAGCAUGGUCUUACACUAGCUCUCAUAAUGCAGUCGAUGGAUGUCCCAGACUUGUCUUACACUAGCUCACCCAAAUCACCCAAAUGUUACGGUAUAAAUAUCCAAUUUAAUUCCUAAGCUUCCAACGGAAGUUCCUUUAUCUCAAUUAUCAUUAUACAUUCUCAAUUUCAAAAUCAAUCAAUUCAUGCUAUAUCAAUUCAAUGACAAUACAAACACAUAUAUCAACAAUGUAGUUGUGUUACUAUUACAUACAACUUACCUUGGAUUACAAAAUGUACACGACUAGUGGUUUAAUCGAUUUGAUUGGCUUUCCCCCGGUCUUGGUUUGGAUUUGAAAAUUCUUGAUCUAUAUUAAAAAAAUACACUCAUUUAGUCACUAAUUAUAAUUAGGCAAUUGAAAAUUCACAUCUUCGAUAAAAUGACCAUUUUUCCCUUAUGCUUGAAAAUUGAUUUUUAUCUAAUUUCUUCGUAUUACAAGCCUAGCCAAACCCUUUUUACUCUUAUAGCAACCUCAAACUCUCACUAUUUCACACACUUAUCACUUAUUUUGCAACUUAAGCAAAAUAGUCCCUUUAGGUGUUUUUAUGCUAAUAUCUUUCACAAAAGUUGUCUAUUACACAACUAAGACUCAUAUUCUUCCAUAAAAUUUCAGAAAACACCCUAAAUGCUCUCAUGGAAAAACCCUAGACCAUCAACCAUUUUGCAAGAUAUACCCCUCAUUUGAAAGCUCAUUCUUCAAGGGUCUCAAAAGUACAAAAAUCAUCAACAAAGGACAUAGAAAUCACUUACUUGAGAGGGCUCAAAGUUGCUGAAAUUUUUGAAGCUCUUAGACCUCAACAAUGGCUGAUAUUUUUGGCUAAGAAGAAGAGAGGAUGAUGAGGUGAAACCUUUUUGUUAUAUUAAAAUAAAGCUAAUCAAAAAUUGGUGACCAAAUUUCACCUAAUUUUGACAAUUUUGUCUCCUCUAGACUCUAUAGCCGGCUAUGCCCUCUCCCAAGGGUCUAUUUGCCUUUUAAAGACACUUAAUUUAUGGUUCAUGGUAAUUUAACUCUCUCAGCUAUCAAUUCAAGACUUUUACACUUAGUGCGAUUUAGUCUAUUUUCAUAAUUGGGCUCAUAAAUGCUAAAAUUAAUCCACCAAAAAUUUCAUGCACUCCUAUAAUCAUACUAUGACUCUAAAAUAAUAAUAAAAUAAUUUACGCGACUCUGGAUUUGUGGUCCCAAAACUACUAUUCUGACUAGGCCCUAAAUCGUGUUGUUACAAUGUACAUCAUCAUGGUCCUAUCCUUCUUUUUAACAAACAGUACUGGUGCUCCCCAAUGAGACACACUUGGAUGGAUGAAACCACGGUCCAACAACUCUUGAAGUUGAGCCUUAAGUUCUGUAAGUUCCUUUGGGGCAUACGGUAGGGAGCGCUGGACACCGGAGUUGUACCCGGAAGAAGCUUAAUUCCAAAUUCAACCUAUCAGUUCGGAGGCAAGUAACUCCUUAAGAAAAACAUCCAAAAAAUCUCUCAUGGUUCUGAUAUCCCUAAUCGAAGAGUCAUUAGAAGCAGAAACACUAACAUAUGCCAAGUACACCUCACACCCUUUCCGAACCAAUUUCUUAGCCAUAAGCGCGGAGAUCACAUUAGAAAAAUAAUCCCGACACUCCCCUAUCACAACCACCUCAUUACCCACCCCAGUUCUUAGAACGACCUUCUUAGUCGCACAAUUCAGACUAACCUGGUGUUUGACCAACCAGUCCAUUCCCAAAAUUAUAUCGAACUCCCCAAACGGAAGGUUCAUCAGAUCCGUCAGAAAUAUAGUUCCUUGCACCACUAAGGGUACAUUCCUAUAAAUUUUACUAACCCGAACAGACAGCCCCAACGGACUCAGUACAGUGACCUCACUCGUAGUGCUCUCCAUAGAAAUCCCCAAAGUCUCAAAUACAUUACUAGCUAUGUAUGAGUGAAUAGACCCUAUGUCUAUCAAAUCAAGGUAAGGUAAAUCAAAAAUAAUGAAUGUACCAUUGAUGAUGUCAGGAGCAUCUCUGUCCUCUCAAUGAGGAGCAGUAUAAACCAAAGCAAGCUGCCUCGCCUCUGUCUGACCAGCACCUUGGCCUAGUGCUCUCUGUCCUCGGCCCAAACUAUUCCCACCCCUAGCAGCUCCACGGCCCCUAAGUGGCUGUUGAACUACUCUCUGUGGGUGUGCAGGACCUGAUGUCGAGCUUGCACCUGAUCAGCCCUCAACGGACACUUCUGAAUAUGGUGCUCUAAAGACCCACAUCUCAAACAGGCCCCAAUCCGCCUCUAGCACUCGCCCGGAUGGUGCCUACCACAAUCACUACAUGGUUGUAACCCAAUAGAAGCAAUAGACGAAAUAGGGGCCCCCACUCUAACUGGCCCAUUAGAACUGGCCUUUUUCUUAGGCCGCUUCACAGAACAUAAGGGCUCUGAAUCCCUCUUAUUUUUAUCUCUCUCACGGUCUCUGUUUUGGCGCUCCGCGUGCUUAACAUCCUCAACAAUCUUUGCCUUCUCUACCAGAACCGUGAACUCACGCUCCUUCUGCGGAGCUAUCAGAACCCUCAGAUUAUCGUUUAGGCUAUCCUCAAACCUAACACAUCUCUCAUACUCCGAUGCCACCAUACCUCGAGCAUAGUAGCUCAAUCUAAAAAAUUUGGCCUCAUACUCGGCCACAGAUUGAUCACCUUGUGUGAGAUUCAGAAACUCACGCUUGCAAGCAUCAACGUAACUAGCUCCCACAUAUUUGUUCUGAAAUGUAGUCUUGAAUAACUCCCAAGUUAGACGAUCAGGCUGAGUGCCCUCCUUAGUCGUCAACCACCACUGAUAUGCUUCUUCGCGAAGUAAGAAGACUGCACCGUUUAAUUUCUACUCAGAGGUAUAGUCCAAAUCAUCCAUAAUUCUCUCAGUGGUCUCCAACCAAUACUCAGCCACAUUAGGAGUGACUCCUGUAACACCAUUAAAUAACUCUGCUCCAUUAGACCAGAGUCAUUCAGUUAUUGACCCUCGGCCCCCAGAUCUAAAAUUUGGCCCAGUGACCCUCUUUAAUAUCCUCAGCAUGGCUUGGGAUAGUACGUUAUCCCCAGCCGAGUGGCUCUGAGACCCAGUCUCAGUGGCAGGUGAUACUGGCGUCUCACUAGUGUCCAGAUUUGGCAUGCUGCCCAAAUAUGAGGACUCAGCUUGAGCCCCCCUAAGGCCUCUACCUCGGCCUCGAGUACCACGUCUUCGGUUACCCUAUACACUCAUUGUCUAAUUCGAGUUUAUCUACAUUAAGAGUUUUAUGCAUCAGUUCAAUAUUUAUUAACAUAUAUUUUAUGCAAAAUUUAUUAGAAGUUUAAGAGGUGUUUUCAAAAGUUUUAGUUUUCUAACUAUAUCAGUACAAUCACAAUAAGAACUAUCUACAGUGUUUCAGAAUAGUUUAACCAAGUAUAGAAAUACUUACAAGAUCGAUGCUAGAGACUCAGUGUACCACAUACUUACUUUAGAAUGUUUAAUUUUUUUAAAAAACCAAUUCUUUAAAACCAAAUUUUGGAACCGAAAAUUCACAGUCGAGUUUUGUAACCUGACUCUGAUACCACUAAAUGUAACAACCCAAACCUGGCCUAGACGUUAUGGUCGAAUCCGGAAGUGUCACAUAAGAUGAGUUGAAAAGAAAACAGUUGUCAUUAAAUUAAAAAAUCCUUCCAGUUCAUUUAGCCAUUAUCAAUAUUAUUAAUUUCAAAGCUCACUUUCAUUUAGUCAUUUGGAGACAAAACGUAUUUGUAGCAGAAGCUUGUAAAAUUGUUGUGUUUAAAAGACCGUUCAAGAUUUUAGAAAACUUUUCUUUAGGUAAAAUCGACAAAGCAAAAAGUAGGUAAAAUCGAAAACCCAAAACCAAAACCAAACAGUUAAAAAGUCCAUACAGUCCUCGAAAAUACAACUUAAAGGAAACCAUAAUGCAAAAUAAACUAGUGAUAAUGUGUGGUAACCAUCGAAUUCUCCGCUACACCUAUCCACCUAAAUUUGUGGAUUACCUAUUCAAAUUAAACAGAAAAGAGUGAGUUUACGUAAACUCAGUAUGUAACCCCACAGAAUUAAGCAUACACAUAACAGAAAAUCAGAAUCAGACAGAUAUAGAUUCAUGCAUAAGCCCAUCUCAAAUACAGACACAGUUAUAUAGAUCAAAAAAAAAAAUCAAAUGUCCUACCGCCAUCCUCUGCACACCAUCUCCAACCAUCUCUACACACCAUGUGGGGUUUAAAAACACCCACCCAGCCCUACAUACCACAUUGUAUUGAUGCAGUACAGAACAGAUUAAAUGCAGCCAAGCUGCCAAAAUAUAGGCGUUAAACGCCUUUCAGAACACUUUCUUCAUAUAUAUGUAUCAUCCCAACCCCAAUAUCAGAUACCAAAUAUUCAGUUUCAGACAUACAAAUUAACCAUGUUCACAUGCUUACAUACAGAUAUAACAUGCAUAUACUAUCAUGCUCAAUAUAGAAUAUUAGUCAAACAAAUUAUACAGUUUAGUGUUUCACUAGCAUUUACUGACCCUACAGUAGGCCCAUAGUUGUUUGGGAUGACCCGUGCAACCCUAGGGAAAAAUACAGAUAAAUGGGCCUACAUGCCUAGAUUGGCCUUGCCCGUGUGGAUCACACGGCUUGGCCCAGAUAUCACACGCCCAAUUCAGUUUAGCUUGUGUGGCACACCUGGCCACACUUUAGCCAUCACACGACCGUGUCCUGUACACGGCCUGGCAUUCAUCAAUCACACGGUCGUGUCGUCGCACACGGCCUACCACAAGGCCUACCACAUGACCGUGUGGCAUCGAUAGUUGGGUUUUUUAGCUUUUGCCGAAUCUCAUUUUUCUACUUUUCAGGUACACACCUGGUAUCUUUUUGAUGCGAAAACAAACAUGAGCCUUCUAAAACUGCCAACGAGCGAGAAUCACUAAUACUACUAAGCUGUUGUGACAAAAUCCACAACCUCACGAUCUUCUCUAAGAUAGUUAAUGCACAAAUGCCACACCGAGCCGCAAGAAAACAGUGAACAAUUGGUUGGACCAAAAAGGAAAAUGAAAAAAUGAAAAAGAAGAGGUAAAGAGGAGAAAGUAGAAAUGUCAGAGAGCUUGGAAGAGAAAGAGAAAAAUGAAUUUUGGAGACAAAAAUAAAAAAUAAAAGAAUAUUUUGAUAAUUAGUUUAGACAUGUCUGGGACAUGCAUCGGCCUCGAGACGUAAGCCAGUGUAAGACAUGUCUGAGACAUGCAUCGGUUACGAGAUGUGUCAGUGUAAGACCAUGUCUGGGACAUGGCAAUGGCACGGAUAUGUGAGAACUAGUGUAAGACCAUGUCUAGGACAUGGCAUCAGCCUUGAAGAUGAUAGCCAGUGUAAGACCAUGUCUGGGACAUGGCAUUGAUAAACGCCAAAUUAUACAUAGUUUUACCCUAAAUACUUAGCAUAUUUAUGGAUGUUUACUACUAGAUUUGUAGAUUUUGGUGCUCUUAAUCUGGUUAUUUCAUGUUUUGUACUCAGGAGAGCACCAAGAGUCAAAAGGAGCCAAAAACGAGCUAAAAAGGGACAAAAUAGACCAAAUCGAGAAGAUCACACGGCCUAAGCCUUGCUACAAGGGCACUCACAUGCCCGUGGCCUUCGGGGGUGUCGACCAAGGUUUACACGAUUCACACGGCCUGGCCAUUGAGCCCACACUGUCGUGGCAAUUUAACGGAUAUAACAUGGCCUGGCAAUCAUGUCACACGGUCGUGGCACACGGGCGUGUCCCUUUUUCAAAGAGUUGUAUUUUACACGAAAAAGGGUACUUAGGGAGGAAGAAAGCCAAUCCAAAGCCUAUAUAAACACCCUAAGUGUGACCUAGAAAGGGGCCGCUCUUGCAGAACUUUUCUGGAAUACAGAACCACACGCUAGGAAUUACUUGAAGGAAGCCAGAUGAUCCAUCCCAAAAGCCGGAGCUACUCCAAGACUGAAGAUCUCUCUCAAAAUUCCUUCAUGGCUUUUAGAGUUUUCUUCAUGUUUUGUUAUUUUUAUACUUUUGAGUUGUACUCUUAUUUUAUUAUGAAAUAAACCCCUUAGCUACCUAAGGGGGAUAAAACCUAUGAUGGAUCUUGUUAUUAUUAUCAGAACUGUAUGAUAAAUACUUGAUUUGUUCUUAAUUAUGUGUUCUUAAUGCUUGAGUUAUUAUUCUGGGUAUUAAUUCAUGAUUUGAUGUGCUUAUGCAGAGGAGGAAUAGACCUUGCCUAAGAGUAGAUUUGACAUAAUUAAGCGAAGUUGAUCAAACGCCUAGAAAUAAGGUUACGAGAUUUUGCUGGAUUAGGGUGAAACCUAAUAUGGGAGUCCAUAGAGUGAUUUAUUGCUUCGCUAGGGGCUUUAAUUAAGAAAGAAAUUUUAAUUAAUUCAACUGAAGGUUAGACGUUAUUAGUCUCGAAAGGGAUAAUAACAUAGGUUAGGGAGUCUUACGGAUCAAGUCAAGUGAAUAAAUUGUCCGGUUCAGAGUCAGAUAACAAGUGAAAUCUAGGUGGAUUCCUCAUUGGGUGUCGUCUUUAUCAAUUGCUUCUCUUCAAGUCUUUUUCCAAAUUUUCUCUUCGCUUUAAUUAAAUUAGUUAAUUAGUUUAGAUAAUCUAGUAUGCAAAUUCAUGUUAAUAAACUAAUGAAUUUUAUGGUUAUUCAGAUUUGAUUUAGUUUAAAGAAUUGUUAAAUGUAGUAGUUCAUACAUUUUAUAUUAUUCCAUAUGUCAAUUAUUUAGAGAAAUGAUAUGAGCAUUUGUAAAUGAGAAGUUCUAUGAGCAUGAAUGGUUGAAUUUUGAAUUAAAUUUCAUACAUGUUUAUGAUUUAUGGUUAUGAAAGGAAAAAAUUACUAGUUUUUCAUUAUGUCAUAUUUUUAUGUUUGAGAUGUGACUUUUAUUGAUAUUUAAUUUAGGCUUGUUUCUAUACAUGAAAUGGCCAAUUAUUCUUGGUAGUUAAUUGAUUAUGCAAAACUCUUGUUAAAAGGGUUUUAAAAGUAUUUUAAAUUGAUCUCAUAUCUCAUUAUGACUAAAUAAAAUAAUGAGUUAUUUGUUCCACCUGUUUUGCUCCAUUCCCUGAAGUGAAUGUAACAAUUCAUAAUAAUUAUGGAAAUUUAACUUAUUUUCAUUAUCGACAAAUAGAUAAGAAGAAGAUGGAUGAUUCAAAAUGUUGUCAUAUGUUUAUUCUUAGUAUAGAAUGUUCAAUGAUUUAUAGUAAUUUAUCAUUCCUUGAAGAAGAUGAUAUCUAUAUGGGCCCAUUCAUCCACCGUAUGUAUGGUUUUGAUAUUAUAUGAUUUUGGUAUAUGCAUUUACAAAAUAAUCACAUAUGUGCUAUCAAUUUGCAACCUGUAAUUUGUAAGAUUUCUUGUUUAAAUAAUUAAUUUCAGAUUAUGCAAUUAAGAUAAUUCAUAUUGGUAAAGCUGAUGAGUUUAUAUCUCAGUCUUUUAUUAUCAAAAGCUUGUUAUUUAUGCGCAUAAUGGUUUAGAGAAAUUUUUGAUUGAACGCAUCUGAUUAAUAUCUAAACCAUUACUUAUGAGAACUAAACUUCAUAUUUCAACAUGAGAUUAUGUUGAUUUACGUGUUAUACACAUCAAGCCAAUAAUUUAUAAAUACUCCCCAAUACAAUUGGUUUUUACUCAAGAGCUAAAUAUUUCUCAUCUUUGAAUUUUUGUAUGUGCAUAUAUGUUCCAAUUGCUCCACCACAGCGCUCAAAGAUGUGAGUCCUCAAAGAAAGUUGGGAAUAAAUAUUAAUUACGAGUCUCUUCAAAAAGUCAAACGGUUGUUGAAAAUAAGAUAUUGGGGCCUCGUUUUCAUAAUUUAAGAUCGUAAAUAUUUUUAUUGAAUAUUUGCAGAGUUGUAUUAUAUGUGAAUUGAAGUUUGGUCUGGAAAUUUUGAUGAUUUAUUGAUUAAUUAAGGUAAAAGGAUUAAAUUGAAAAAGAGGUAAAAGUUAAUUACUAUAGAUUUAAAAUAGUAAAGGGACCAAAAUGGUGAUUAAACCAUAGUAAAAAAGUCCAAGCGGUGGUGGAUGUCUAUCAUUCCAUUAACUUUUGGGUUAUUUAUUCAUUUAGUCCCAACUACUUUAAGGCUAAAUUGUAAAUAAGUUUGUUUAAUUGGAAUUUAAUAUAAUUAAAGGAACAAUUGUGUAAUUGGACCCUCCUUAAAUGGCUAAUAAUAGAAAUGAUGAAGAAUUCUUUAGAUUGUGGUAAAUUGCAAUUAAAUCCUAAUUAAAUAAGGAUUUACUAAUUAGUCUAUUUUUCAGUAUGAUUGGAAAUGGUGGUUUCGGGGCCACAACUCCAAUGUUUCAAGUUGUAAAUAUUAAUUAUUUAUUAAUAAUUACGAGGUCAUUAGUGUCGUAAUAAAAUUUGGUUAGGAAAUUUUAACGUUUGGACGGUUAAUUAAGUAAAAAGGACUAAAUUUUAAAUAUAAAAAGAUGGAUUUAUUAGUUAAAAGGGGUAAAUUAAAGGGGUUUGGAUGGUAAAUAAACCACCAUUACCCAUAGUGGACGAUUUUGGCUUUCAUUUAGCUAAAAUUUCAUGAAUUAAUUAAGGGUAAAAUAGUAAUUAAGUAAAUAAAUAAAUUUUUAAUGAAUUAAAAGCCAAAUUGGCUAGGAAAAUUUCAUUGUUUUCUUCUUCCAAAGGCUGAAACACCAUUGUUAAGGCUGGAUUUCUCUAUUGGGUAUGUGUUUGAUGGCCGUUUUUAGUAAUUUUUAUAUUUUUGAGCUUGUAUUAGUUUAAUCUAGCUAACCCGAGAAAUAAUUUGUAAAAAUGUCAAAUGUUAUGGAUUGUGCCAUUAAUGAAAUUUGGGUUUUUCUUGAAGUUUUAUGGUAAAAUAUUAAUCUUGGUUGUUAAAUAGGACUAUUUUGUAAAGUAGUUUUUGAAUGUUCAAGGACUAAAAUGUGAAAAUAGUAAAAAUACAAGGACUUGGUGUGAAAUGAUUGCAAAUAGGGGUAGUUAGGAAAAUCAUUAAUGUUUCGGCUAUACUGGGUUUAAGGUAAAAAUGGUUAAUUUGCAUGUUUGGGGUUUAAAGACUAAAUUGCAUAAAGUAAAAUGUUCGGGGCAAUUUUAUAAAAAUAUCAAAAAGGACUUAAAUGCAUAGAAAGAGUUAAAUUUAUUUUUGGAUUCUGUUAAUUGAAUGAAAUUAAUAUUUUAGGUCAAGAAUGGAUUGAAAAUCGAGGCAUAGAGAAGUUGUUGAAUAGUCCAUAUACUUUGGCAAUUAUUGCAAAUCAGUCCAGUAAGUCCAUACUAUUAUUUCUAUAAUAUAAUCAUUAUUUUUAUACAUUCUUUGUUAUAUAAUUAAAUUCAUAGUAUGCUUAAUAAUUGAUUGGUUGAAAAUAUCUAAGAAAUGAUCAAUUGACAAGUUAUCAAGCUUCGAGUAAGUGAAUACUAAAUGAAUAUUCUACUCUAAUGAUACCCACCAUCACGAUGGCUGAGAUCCUACAUAUGUUUUCGAUUCUCGACAGCUUGUAUGAGCAUCAUCGUGAACUGGUGAAUUGAAUGGCUACUCUAUUAUGAAGACAUAGACCGUUCCGAUAGCUGAGAUCCUACAUAUGUUGCGGAUUCUCAACAGCUUGUGUGAGCAGCAUCGUGAACUGGUGAAUUGAAUGACUACUCUAUUAUGAUGAUAUAGACCAUUCUGAUGGUUGAGAUCUUGCAUAUAUUGCGGAUUCUUGUCAGCUUGUGUGAACAGUCUCGUGAACCCUACGAAAAUGACUAAAUUGAAAAUUGUGUAAAAGUUGAAUUCUAUUAGUUAAAAGGAUCAAAUGGACAUGGAAUCUUAAGUUAAUGGAUUUAAUGAAUAAAUAUACCAUAUCAUUAGUUAAUGGAUGAUUAUGGCAUGAUUUUUGUGUUAUUUUGAUAAUUUAAAAAUGUUAAUUUUGUAAAAUUGUAAAAUUAGAAAUUAAGUAAAAGAUGACAAAAAUGUAUCAUCAUCUUCCUUCUUUCUUUUUUUUCUUGUUGAAAUCAUGAACACCAUAGUUAAGGGGAGACUAGGUUCGACCAAGCUAUUCAUGGUAUAUAAUUUUGUCCCAUUUUUAGUGGUUUUUAUGUUUUUGAGUUCGUAUUAGCUUAAUCUAGCUAGCCUGGGGGUUAAUUCGUAAAGUUAUUAAAAGUAUAGGGACUUUCCAUGAUUUAUUUUGAAUGUUUUUUUGAAUUUAAUUGAUAUAUUAAUAAAUUUGGUUGUUAAAUAAACAUGUUUUGUUAAGUGAUUUUUAGUGAUUUUAAGGUUUAAGGAUUAAUUUGUUAAAAGAAUAUAAUUAAUUAGUAAAAAUGUAAAAUUGUGAUAAAUAUAGGUUUUUAAGGAACCUUAUGAAAAUAUUCUAGAAUGAGAUAUUAUCAAUUGUGGUUAAAUUGUAAGUUUCGAGUUUAAGGACUAAAGUUAAAAUGUUAGGGGUAAUUUCAUAAUUUCACAUUAAAGUGGGUUAUAAGAUAGAAUUAAUUAUAUUAAGUUAUUUGAAUGAUUUAAUUGAAUGAAAUUAUUAUUUAGAUCAAGGAAAGAACUAACAUAAUUUAAACCGAGGAAAGGCUAAAGUGUUGGAUUUGUAACAACCUAUUUUUAGUGAAAUCAGAAUAGUGAUUUCGGGACCACAAAUCUGAGUCAGAGAGAAAAAUUAUUUUAAUAGUAUUGCAUGGUCUGCAUUAUGAUAGGAAUGACGUAUAAAAAUUUCAUUAAAAUUUUUUUUACCAAUUACAUGAUUAAUUGAUUAAAGGACCAAAUUGCAUUAAAUGCAAAAGUUGAGUUCUAGUAGCUAUAGAUAGUAAAUAGCUAUGGAAUUCAAAACUUGAGAUCCUUAUAUGACAAUUAGACCAUUAAAUGGAGUUAGUAGAUAAUUAUGAUGUUAGUAGAUAAUUAUGAUGAUUCAUCUAUGGAAAUUUAAGAAAAGAAAAGGACUAAAAUGGAAAGUGGAAAUAAUAAAAGAUGAUAAUUAAUUAAAAGAUAAAAUAUCAACUUAUUUCAUCAUCUUCCCCAAAUUAUUUCUAUGGAAACCCUAGCUAAGAGAAAAUAAUUUAAGCAAGCUUAAUUGGGUAAGCAUUCUUGUCCCGUUUUUAGUAAUUUUAUUUUUUUGAGAUCGUAAUAACCUAAUUUAGCUAUUUUGGGGAUUAAUUUGCAAAGCUAUCAAAGUAUUAAAAUUUUUCCAUGGAUGAGUAUGCUGAAAUUUUAAAAUUUAUGGUAGAAAAUAAAAGGUUGUUGAUAUAUAAAUAACUUUUGUAAAGGAAUUUUUUAUGAAAUUGUGAUCUAGGGACUAAAUUGAAAAGAUGUAAAAAUUCAUGGAAAAUUUUUUAUUUUUGUGAAAUACAUGAAUUGAUAUUGUCAUAUGCAAAAUUCAUCUAGGCUUGGAAUAAAUAUUAAAUUGCAUUAAUUUCAUUUUCCAAGCCUAGGGACGAAAUUGAAAUUAAUUAAAAGUAUAGGGGCAAAAUGGUACUUUUUGCCUAAAAUAUGAAUUGGAUUGAAUUGAAUAUAAAUUUUAUUAAAUUGAGUUAAAUUUACUCGUAUAGAUCUGGAUAGACCUAGUACGGAAUUCGAUCGGGGAAAAUAAAAAGUAUCGGAUUAGUAGAUUCUCGUAUACAAAUAAAUGUUGAGGUAAGUUCAUGUAACUAAAUUGUGUACAUUUAUAUGUUUAAAUUAAAUUUAUAUAUGUGAAUUUUAUAAUUUUCGUGUAUGUGAAAGUGAUUAAAUAUAAAAAAAUGCCCGAUAAAUGUUAAGUCUCGUUUGAACAAAUGAAAAUCAAUGGAUACAAGUUUCCCGUAUUGGUUGUAGUCCUGCAUAUGUUGCAGACACAACACAGCUUGAAAGAGCAUCCCAUUAUUAGCCUUCUCGAGCUUCCCAUUAAUAGCUCUUCGGAGCAUCCUAAUUGGUUGAGAUCCUACAUGUGUUGUGGAGACACCACAGCUCUUAUGAGCUUUCGGAUUAUGGCUCUUUGUGAGCUUCCCGUUAAUUGGCUAUUUGUGAGCUUCCUGAUAAGGCUCGCUUGAACUUCCGGAUAUAUGGCUAUCUGGAGCUUCCCGAUUAAUGGUUCUUCGGAGCUACCCGAUAUUGGCUCACAUGAGCUUCCUGAAUAUGGCUCUUAUGAGCUUCCCGUUAUAAAGCCCGGAUAAGCUUCCCAUUACAUGGUGAGCUUCCCGAUAUAUUGCUUGAGAGAGUGCUUCCCAUUUAAGUGUUCUUAUGAACACUCCUAAAUAUGAAUUGACGACUUACAGAAUCGUACACUUCAUAUGUACUACCCGAUGUCCAUCGAUAUUUCUUAAGGUUUAACGAGCAAAGUUCUGAUAUAAGUUAAGAUACGAUUUGAAUGAAUUAAUAAUUGUAUCUACCUGAAAAUACAUGGAAAUGUUUAUACGAUGACCUCAUCUCUGUUACUUAUUUGAAAUGCAUUUGAAAUACAUGACUAACUUGCUUGAAGAUGUAUAUGUGAUAGGUUAUUGAUUAAGUUGAUUUGGAUGUUCUUUGUAUGCUUAUUUUAAAUGAAUAUGAAUGGUGAUUCAAUUUCCCGUUAUACGAACUUACUAAGCAUUUAAAUGCUUACUCUAUUUUUUCUCUGUUUUAUAGUACUCGGAAGCUCAUAAAGGUUGGAGCGGGUCAAAGCAAGAUUACACUAUCCUUCAGCUCUUUUUGGUAUAAAUAGCAAAUUUUAAUUAGAAUAUAAUGACAUGUAUAGGUUAAACUGGUCAAAUGUUGGCAUACACAUGUUUUGGUUGUAAAUAGCCAUUGGAAUGGCUUGUAAUGGUCAUGUUUUGAUAUAUAUAUAUGGUAUUAUCAUGUUUGGAGUAUAAAUAUGAUUAUGCACAUAUAUGCAUUUGGUAAGAAUGACAUAAUAAUAAAUUGUCUAUUGGGAAGCCUAAGGGUACACUGGUUGUAUGUGUAAAAUGUCAAGAUUAAGACUUCGUUUUGGCUUGGUUUAAAUGUCUUGAAUUGGUUAGUGAAUGUGUUAAAAUGUUGAUGUAGGUGGAAGACAAGUUUAGGUGAGAAAUAAGGCUUGGAAAUGGCCUUAUUUUAUCCAUACGGGCAGAGAAACAGGCGUAUGUGACACACGGCCUAGUACAUGGGUGUGUGUUUCGACCGUGUGUCCUUUGCAUCUUAAAAUUUCAAAAUAGAAUGCUCAGGUAUUUUUAUACAGGCAGAUACACGAGCAUGUGUCUCAGCCAUAUGUGUCACACGGCUUGGCACAAGGGUGUGUGACUUAGCUGUGUGAACCCUGAACCUUAAUUAUGCAAGUCAGUAUGCUCACACGGCCUAAAACAUGGGCGUGUGGCUCGGCCGUGUGACUAAGUCAAUAUGCAACCUAAUUUGGACAUAGGCUGGAACAUUGCCGUGUGGUUCACAUCGAAUACCCAUACGGCCUGAGAUACGGGUGUGUCACUUGGCUGUGUGAGCCACAUGACCUGGCCAUACGAGCGUGUGUCCCCUACAUAUAAGGAAAAUUUUAAAAUUUCACGAAAAAUUCCUGAGUUCUCGGUUUAGUCCUCACUUGUUUCUAAUGCAUAAUUUGGGCCUCGAGGAUCCAUUUGAGGGACUUUGUGAAAAUUUUCUAAUAUGAAAUGUCUGUAUUUGAUCUGUAUAUUUCGGUAAUGCUCUAUAACCAUGUUUCGGCAAUGGAUAUGGAUUAAGGAUGUUAUAGGAUUAGUCGUCGGCUUUGUUUUCACAGCUAUUUUUUAUCGACGUAAAUUCGUAUGAGUAUUAAACUUAUUAAUUAUUGUUUCAUAUGCAUGCUAUUAAAUGUUAUACUAAAUGUAAUGGGCCAAUUUAGCCCAGGCCCAAAACCAUAAGAUAAACAAAAAUAAAAUGUCCACUGUCCAAUUUACACAACCCAAAAUCAUAACCUGAACCCAAUUACAUAAUACCCAACCAAACCCAAAACCUAAAACCUAGCCCAACAAAUACAUGGCCCAACUAGCCCAAAAAUUAAAAACUAAGAAACCCUAGGGUUUCUUUAGGCGCGUCGCAGCCCCCAGCCCCCAGCCCCCAGCCUACAGCACCACCUCCGUACGCCCUCCACGUUGGCAUGCCCAUGAACGACUUCUCCAUGCCAUACAUACCUACAAAACAGAAUGCCAGCAGGCAAAUAACCGCACAUAACAACAAUACAGCAAGAAAAUAAGAUUUCUUGUAUUUUUUUCCUGUAUAUUUUUCUUGAUUUAUUUUUGCUAUAAAAAGGCCAUUGUAAACACUGUAAAGGAUAUACAAAAAUCAGUGGAGAUCAAACAAAAGAAUACACUUCAGAGGUGGUUAUUUAUCACUAUUUUGUUUUAUUUUUUCCUUCUUCUUUUUUUCAUUUUCAUUCGAAUCUAUGAUAUAUAUACUAAAAUAUAAUAAAAAGGGAGAGGAUAGAUGUACCUCUCAAUUCACUAGCAAAAGGGGAUCUUCAGUCUUCCGAUGGCCGUCUACGGCAGCACGUGUGGCAAAGUUACAGUGGUGGCUUGCUGAAUUUGGACGAAAGGGGGGGAGAGUGAGGGAGUUGAGAGAAAAGAAUUGAGUUUUUAGGUUUUUUUUUUCUUUUUGAAAAAAACCAAAUUAAUUUUUGUUAAAAUUUUUUUGGAUUUAUAUGGUUUAGGAAACGACACCGUUUUGUUGGAGCAAGGUCCGCACGUUGACCCGACCUGUAGAGAGGGUCCGCAUGUUUUGGUCCUGAAUGGGAAAUUUGUGCAUUGGGUCCCUCCUUGUUUUGAUGCAAUUUAAUUGAGUCCCAUUUAGAUUUCUUUUGUUUUUUUAAUUUUUUUUCCUGAAAUUUAUGCGCUGUUUUGAUUUAAUCCGGUUUAAAGGGCAUGUUCAGGAACUUGGGAUAAUUGUGUUAUUCAAUCCCCACGCAUUUGCAUGCAUUGCGCUUUGGUCCUUAUUUCAAUUUCAAUGGUUUAUUUUAUUUGUUAAUUAUCUCUUUUCGUUUGCUUUUAUUUCAAUUAAGUUUUUUUUUUCAUUUUUAAUUUGUAUAAUUCAUUAUUUUUUUAAAUUCAUCUGGCAUUCAUCUUUUAAAAUUUUUUAUACAUACAUUUUGAAUUGCUUUGAUAAUUUUACAUUGUUUUUUUAUUUUUGUUUAAACUAUAAGAUUAUUACUUUAAGAUCCUCUUCUAUGUCAUAUUGUUUUCAAAUUUUGUAUAAUAUUUAAUUUAAAUUACCCUUAUAUAUUAAUAUAUAUAGUUUAUGUUAAAAUUAGUUUUAUUCCAUAAACAUUAUUAUUUCCGUAUUAUUUUAUAUAUAUAAUUUCUUUUAAAUCUAUUUAUAUAUAUUUUCUUUCAAAUCUAUUAUGUACAUAGUUUAUUCGUUAAAAUAUAUUUUUAUCAUAUUUUUGUUAUUUAAAAUUCUUUCAUGUACUAUUACCCCAUUAUAUAUUAUUUAUGUUUUUUAUUAUUAUGUGUAUAUUAUCAAUUUUAAAUAGACAUGCUUUGUUUUUAAGAUAUUUUGUACAUUAUUUGCUCCAAACUUCUUUCAUAAUAUUUAUUUUAAUAAUCAUCUAUAUAUUAUUAAUUUGUUCUUCUUCUAUCAUGUGUUGCUCCUUUGUAAAUUUUCAUAUAUUUAAUAGUCUUUAAAUUGUUUAAAACAUUGAUUCGUACUUUUCAUAUUGUUUUGCAUAUUAUGUGUCAUUUUUGGUUUUCAUAUUGUUUCACAUAUUAUUGUUGCAUAUUGUUUGUUAGUCUUUGGUAUUAUUAUUUAAAUUUUAUUCAUCCAUGUUUGAAAAUUUGUCACAUUUUUAGUCUAAUUUGUUUUUUCUAAUUAGCUAUAUUUUAGUUUUCAUUAAUCUUUGAUUAUCAAUACUAGUUUAUUUUUCAAAAUAGGAUCAUGGGAUUAUUGUUAUUUGUAUUUCAAAUUGUAUGUUCAUAUUAAUAUCCUUGUCAUCUAUUUGUAUAGCGUUGUACUCACAUAUUAUUGUUUCAUGCUUGUAAUUAUGUUUUUAUUUCUUGUUAUUGCAUCAUGAUUCUAAUUCCCAUAUUCGCUCAAUAUCGAUUGUUUUUUAUCUCCAAACAAACCAAACAAGUAUAUUUUGAUUCGGAUUUUAUAAUUGUUUAUUUGAAAAUCUCCCAAAACAAAGGCAAUGUUUGAUGUUUGGAAAUUUGGGAAAUCGUGCCCUAACGUGCUAGGUUUCGAUUUUCCACUUGUCCAAAAUAAUCAAAUAUCCCUUUAAAAUUUCGUCCGUGUUUUCUAAAUUUUAAAACAAGGCAAUGUACUAUGUUUGGAAAUUCGAGAAAUCAUGCCUUAACGUGUUGGGUUUUGGUUUUUCGUUGGACCAAAUAACCAAAUAUCUUUUUGAAAAUGCAUGAGUUCCGAAAAUCAAGAAGACGAUCUUGGUUUCGAAGGUUUAAAAAUGUCAUGUCCUAAUGUGUUGGAUGUGAUAUUUUAUUCCUUCAGGACGAGAGAAUCUUAACAUUCAAUUUGAGUUAUUCAAAUAUUUUUAAAGGAAAUGGUCUUCCAAAAUCUUUUCAAAUUUUUUGACAUUAAGACAUCAAUUAAUCAAUUAGGUACCAAUUUUGAGCGUUACGAGGGUGCUAAUCCUUCCUCAUACGUAACCGACCCCGGACCUGUUUUCUUAACUUUCGUAGGCCAAAAACAAUUUUUUUAAUAAAAUAAAAUGUUUUAUUAGGUGAUCCGAUCACACCUAAACAAAAAGAAUUGGUGGCGACUCCAUACCAUAUUUUAAAGUCGAUCCCCCAUUUCUUUGAAAAUUAAAAAAAAUGGUUUCGACUGCUUGGCGAAUCCGCUGGGGACAUAAGGGAGUCAAGCUGUAAAAUUGAUUAUUUUCUAUCCUUUAGUCGAAAAUUGAAAAUUGGAUUUGAAAAAAAUCAUGAUUUUUUUGUUGCAUUUGUUUGUGAUCCUUAUGAUUGCUGUAGAUUAAGUCUCGUAGAAUACUCUUGCAUUGCAUUGCAUGACCGUUGUGGUUACACCUUUUAAGUGGGAGGGAUAAGCUAUGCCUUCGUGAGGUUUUCUCCUUCGUAUGGGCUAGUUGUAACACCCCAAACCUGGCCCAGAUGUUAUGGCUGAAUCCGACGUGUCACAUUAAAGUUUUUUAAGAAAGCCCAUGCCUCUUUCAACGUCCUUCUUAGUGUUUUAAAAGAUAGUCUUUGCUAAGUUGAUAAAGUGAAUAGAAGCUGUGCACCAGGUAGGUAUCCGUAACAGAGGAGGUGAGCCAUGAAGGCUGCUUAAGUACCAAGCUCUUGAUUGGAUCCAAUCCUAGACAUGCCCACAACCAUUGCCACACUUUGGCGCGAGGUUAGGUUUUGGAAAAAAAAGGUCGAGUUGGAAUUCAUUUAAGCAGAUAUUUUUGAUAAACCGAUUACUUGUAUUGUUGCGCUAUUUUGAAAACAAGUAUCACUUUGAAAACGCGCCCUAAGUCUAACCCAUUUUGGAUAAUUAUCAGUAAAAUAUAGAGUAUAGAAUAAAAUAAAAUAAUCCCAGGAAAAUAAUUAAAAUGGCCUUAUUACAACCCAAAACCGAAUAAUAAUAAUAAUAAUUAGGAUAAGACUUAUUAAAAAAACUAGUUACUUAUUGCAAACUUCGGAAGCGAUCACCAUGGCCACUCUGAAUCCCCUCCGGCUCCAAGUCACCACAUCAAAGCUCACCUACAAGGUUAAGGAAAGGGGUGAGUUUAGAAACUCGGUGUGCAACAAGCCCCUUUCAGAGCCCAAACUAAUAUCAGCAUACUGGGCCAAAGCCCUAAUUCAGUCUCGUCAUAUACUGGGCCGAAGCUUUUCGUUUAACAGUUACUGGGCCGAAGCCUUUUCAUAAAUCAUACCACUAGGCCGAAGCCUUUACUGUAAACAGUAUGGCCCAUAGGCCCAUUUCAAUAUCACAUGAAAUACCAAUGAAUGUAUGCAAGCUCAUUUGGGGAGACUACUCAACCCACCAUCCGCUACUCUCCACCCGUACCAACCAAGCUCUCCAUGUGGGGAAUAACUCAACCCACCCAACCAAACUCUCCACUGGCAGCAUAGCUGUUUUAUCAUUAAUUGGAGGCCUAGCCUCUUUUAAUAACUGGGGCAAAGCCCUUUUUGGUAAACUAGGGCAAAGCCCUUUUCGCACGACCUUCAUUUAUAUAAACCCCAACCCAUGCAUAUAAUGAGUAUAUCAUGGCAUAUCAUGUGCAUCUCAUGACAUAUCAUGUGCAUACCAUGUCAUAUCAUGUAUUAACAAUAUCUCAUGCUUCAUAUUCAUAAUUAAACCCUAGGGGGUAUAAUGGUCAUAUUUACCUAGGGCAAAAUAGUCAUUUUUCAUAUUAUAAGGAUAAUUUCGUAAUUUUACCAAAUAUUAUGGGUUUCCCAUGUUCAUUAACGAUUAUCAAUGUUUCUGAGUGUUUAAACAAUGAUCUUUAACCCACUUAUCAAAUUUGGGCUUUUGGGCCCAAAACCCCUAAUGAGCCCUACGAAUGUCGAUUUUAGCCCACUAAGCCCACUUAAACCAAAUUUUACAACAGUACUAACCGUGUUAACAUGAAACUUUUCCAAAUUCCAUUUUCUAUCAAUUUUACACAAAUGGCCCGAAAAGCCCAUUGGGCCCAGUUCCAGCCCAUUGAGGCCCAACUUACCAUCGUGCACAAAAUUGUUCUCUUACCUGUUCCGUCGAUCCAAAAUCGAUCAUAUCGUAUUUAUUGCAUCUAUAAACAAAUGCAAAAUCACAAGUUCCCAAAAUGCUGGAAUUUUAGCAUUUCGGCUUUUCAGCGAAUAUUAAUCUAAGCUAGUACGAGGGUUAUUACACACCUGUUUUGUGACGUUUACUAACAAGGUCUCCCAUGACAACCUAAAAUUAAUCACCACCAUUCUUAGUUUACAAUUCAUGCUUAUCAAACCCAAAAUCCACCUUACCAUAGUCGGCCAAAGAACCCCUAAUAGCCAUAGAUCACUUACCUACACAAGGUCCGAUGAUUCGAUCCAAGUUUAUCCAAACUGAUACUCCAAGCCUUGCUCCUCCUCCAAAGUUGUCUAUAUCACUACACAAACUAUAAAAAUCGAAUGAAAAGGCCCAGUGAGGCCUAUACCUCAAAUCGACAACCUCUCUAAACUAUAGGAGGUUUCAGCUUUUCUUAACAUUUACACUACUGAAUCAAUUUGGAAAACGAGUACUUGCCACAGUCUUCCCUUUUGUACUGUUUAGACCCAAAGUAUACUUAGCCCUCAACCACCUAGCAGCCUUCGAAUCCUAGAGGUCUACAAGUUCAGUUAUGCCCCUAGAACUAAGGUAUUUCGGCUUUUAGGACCAAGAAAAAGAAAAAGAAAUGGUGUGGUGGCUUUGUAUUUGUGUUGCCGUCAGGGACUUUUAGAGUUUAGCGGAUGAAGGGAUCGGUCACAACAAACGAAGAGCAAAGAAUGAUGCUGGUCUAAAUGAAAUCGGCACAACCAACUUGAAAAGUUUCGGCUCUUAUGGCUAUUCGGCAAGGGUGAUGAAAAGAAAGGGAGUAGUAGUUUGGCUUUGGCAAAAGAAGAGAAAGAAAAAUGGGUGAAAGGAGUGGUGAUUUUGGCUAGAAAAAAAAAGGAAGAAAAGAAAAAUCCCUAUGAUGUUCAAACCAAAGAAAACGGCACCACUAAAGCCCCUAAUGCCGAAAUACUAACCUAAAACCUCUAAACCGAUUUAUCCUCCCAAAAUUCCCACUAUUCGGCCAACACUAAGCCUCCAUUCAAAUCCCCAAAAUCUCUCCCAUUAUCACUCCUAAAUCCAUGCAUUUGACUGAUUCAAACUCUCUCCAACAAAGUUCCAUUCGACUUCAACCUCUUGCAUGCUCAAGACAUAAAAAUAACAACACAAUUGCCAGCUUAGUGAAUCGAACCUUGGCUUUCCCCCAACUACGUACACGCCACUUUUUUUUAGCUCCUUAGUGGCAUCACUUAACCACUUUGCCAAGGGCCCUCUUGUGUCACAUUUUACCCACAUCUUUUAAUAAGGCCACCUAUCCAAUGCCUUUAACUCCUUAAGUACAAAAUACAAAAAUUCUACCGGGUUUUGGCCAACACAUGGGCCUUCCAUAGGCCCAUUUACACACUCCAAUUAUGAAUUUCCCAACCAAAAUCCAAAUUUUAAAAAUUUUACCAAAUUCUUCAAAAUUACGAAAAUCCCGAAAAUCAGGGUGUUACGACUCUACCCUCCUUAAAGAAAUUUCGGCCUCGAAAUUUUACCUGAUCCGAACAGUUGUGGGUAUUGUUGACGCAUUGCCUCCUCUGACUCCCAUGUAGCUUAUUCUUUGCUAUGGUUUCUCCAAAGUACCUUCACCAAUGGGACUAACUUUCUUCUCAACACCUUGACGUCACGAUCAAGUAUCUGCACAGCUUCUUCUUCGAAGGUCAAAUUCGACUGUACCUCAAUUUCUGCAACUGGUACGAUAUGAGUAGGGUCAGAACGAUAUCGCGUUAGCAUGGACACAUGAAAGAUGUCAUGAAUACGAUCCAGCUCUGGAGGUAACUCUAGCUGAUAAGCCACUGGCCCUAUCCGCUUAAGGAUCUGAUAAGGCCUAAUGAAUCGUGGACUCAACUUGCCCUUCUUACCAAACCUUAAUAUCUUCUUCCAAGGCGAAACCUUCAAAAAGACCAUGUCCCCUACAGUAUACUCAAUAUCCUUACGCUUCAGAUCAACAUAAGACUUUUGUCGAUCCGUUGCCUCCUUUAACCGAUUCCUGGUCACCUUAACUUUGUCUUCAAUAUCCACUACUAACUCCGGUCCAAGUACUUGCCUUUCCCCUAACUCUGCCCAACAAGUAGGCGAACAACACCUUCGCCCACACAGUGCCUCGUAAGGAGCCAUCUGAAUACUUGCUUGGUAACUAUUUUUAUACGCGAACUCCACCAACGGCAAGUAAUCCUCCCAACUGCCCCUAAAGUCGAUAAUACAACCCCUAAACAUAUCUUCUAGAAUCUGAAUGACCCUCUCUAACUGCUCAUCCGACUGAGGGUGAAAAGCCGUACUAGAAUCUGAAUGACCCUCUCUGACUGCUCAUCCCAAUGCCUCAUGCAAAUUCUGCCAAAACCGAGAUGUAAACCUUGGGUCUCGGUCAGAAAUUAUCGAUACUAGCACCCCAUGCAACUGCACUAUCUCUGCCACAUACAACUUGGCCAACCUCUGAAGUGAGUAAUCAGUUGGAACAGGUAUGAAAUGGGCAGAUUUCAUCAGCCUAUCCACAAUCACCCAAACUGAGACCUUCUUGGAAGGUGUCAAUGGCAGACCACUCACAAAAUCCAUAGUUACCCUUUCCCAUUUACAAAGUGGUAUCUUCACUGGCUGUGACAAUCCUAAAGGUAGUUGAUGCUCGGCCUUUACUUGUUGACACGUCAAACAUUUUCCCACAAAUUCGGUCACUUCUCACUUAAGCCCAGGCCACCAGUAUAGCUCUCGCAAGUCUCGAUACAACUUACUCCCUCCUGGAUACAUAGCACAAGGUCCACCAUAAGCCUCUCUCAAAAUCAUCAAUCUCAAAUCUGAGUCCUUCGGUAUACAAAUUCUUCCUCGAAAACAAAGAACCUCAUCAACAUUUAAUCCAAAGUCUGGAUUCUCCCCCUUCUCAGCUUGUUGAAACUGAGAAACCAACGACUCAUCCACCAACUACUGCUUCUUAAUCUGAUCCACCCAAGUCGGUCUCACUUGUAAUUUUUUUAAUAAGCUUCCAUCGUCAUACAAGCUUAAACGAGCAAACAUUGCCUUCAAUUCCGCCACAGUCCUUCGACUCAACGUAUCAGCCACGACAUUUGCCUUACCUGGAUGGUACUCAAUCGAACAGUCAUAGUCCUUUAACAACUCUAUCCACCUUCGCUGUCUAAGAUUCAGCUCCUUUUGACUCAACAAGUACUUAAGACUCUUAUGAUCCGUAUAGAUAAUGCAUCUCUCCCCAUACAAGUAGUGCCUCCAUAUCUUAAGCGCAAAGAUCGCCGCUGCCAACUCCAAGUCAUGAGUAGGAUAGUUUACCUCAUGAGGCUUAAGCUGUCGUGAAGCAUAAGCGACCACUUUACCCUUUUGCAUCAACACACAGCCCAAACCUACAUGUGACGCGUCACUGUACACAGUGAAAUCCUUACCAGACUCUGGCUAAAUCAACACUGGUGCCUCAUUCAGAACCUUCUUUAACUUUUCAAAAGCCUCUUGCUACUUAUUUGUCCAAACAAACGGUGCUCCUUUCCUUAUAAGUUUCGUUAACGGCGCUGCCAACACAGAAAAUCCUUCCACAAAUCUUCGGUAAUAACCUGCCAACCCUAGAAAACUUCAGAUUUCUGUUACUGACCUCGAUGGCUAACACUCCAGAAUCGCCUCAAUCUUCCGAAGGUCUACCUUGAUCCCCUCAACAGACACAACAUGCCCCAAGAAAGUUACUUCACUCAACCAAAACUCGCACUUACUGAACUUUGCAUAGAGUUGUUUUUCCCUUAGCACUUGCAGCGCAAUACGAAGAUGCUCAUCAUGCUUCUCUUUCAUUUCCGAGUACACUAAGAUAUCAUCGAUAAAAAUGACUACGAACUAAUCCAAGUACGGCUGAAAUACCCGAUUCAUCAAAUCCAUGAAUGCUACCGGUGCAUUAGUCAAACCAAAGGGUAUAACCAGAAACUCGUAAUGACCAUAUCGAGUUCUGAAUGCCGUCUUAUGAAUAUCCUCUUCUUUGACUCUUAACUGAUGAUAUCCUGACCGAAGGUCGAUCUCAGAAAAUACUGAAACUCCUCUCAGUUGGUUGAACAGAUCAUCGAUUCUUGGCAAAGGAUACUUGUUCUUGAUCGUCAGUUUGUUCAACUGCCGAUAAUCAAUACACAUUCACAUGGUCCCAUCUUUCUUCUUUACGAACAACACUAGUGCGCCCCACGGAGAAACAUUUGGUCUUACAAACCCUCUAUCCAACAGUUCUUGAAUCUGAGCUUUCAGUUCCACCAACUCCUUUGGUGCCAUUCGGUAAGGUGCAAUGGACACUGGAGUUGUUCCAGGUAACAAGUCGAUUCUAAACUCGACUUCUCUGUUCGGAGGUAGUCCAGGAAACUCAUCAGGAAAAACAUCUUGAAAUUCCUUGAUAGUCCUGACUGACUCCAUAGUCAUCCCCUUAGGUUUAGCUUGACUCACAAAUGCUAAAAAUGCCUCACAACCUUUCCAAAUCAACUUCUCAGCCCUUAAAGCCGAGACAACAUUGGACAAAUAGUUCCUUCGUUCCCCUAUGACCAUUAUCUCCUCAUCCUCGGCAAUUCUUAGCACCAUUCUCUUAACAGCACAAUCCAAUGCCGCCCUAUGCUUAGUUAUCCAGUCCAUUCCCAAAAUAAGAUCAAAUUCCCCAAAUGGCAGCUCCAUCAAAUCUCCUACAAAUAUCCUAUCUUGUGUCUCUAAAGGCACCUCCCUAAAGAGUUUAUCUACUUUAACCGAGUGUCUCAAAGGACUUAUCACUGAUACCCCACUCACAGUCUCCUCAGGAAGCACACCCAAUGGCCCAUAUACAUUACAAGCAACAUACAAAUGAGCGGAACCAACAUCAAUCAAAGCAGUGUAAGGUGUGCUAUGAAUGAAGAAUGUACCGGUUAUAACAUCAGGAGCAUCACCUUCCUCACGACGUUGUGCAGCAUAAACCAACGCCGACUGUCAAGCUUCAGCAUGUUCAGCACCCCUUCCAGGUGCCCCACGUCCUCGUCCAUUACCAUUACCACCUCUACCUUGCCCACGACCUCUCUGUGGUGGGGGUCUUCCUCACAGCGGUUGGACACCUCUUUGCUCCGCAACUUGUUCCUGAGCUACUUUCCGAAGACACUCUCUAAACUUAUGUUCCUUUGACCCACAUCGAUAACAUGCUCCAGUUCGUUUCCAGCACUCCCCCAUAUGUACUCUGCCACAGUCCCUGCAAGUCUGCGGUCUAAAGGUAUUCACCGAAACUGCUCGAGCCAGUUCCUCCAUUAUAGCUCUUUUAGCAUUUCUAUAUGCAGCACCCGAGGGUCCAGAAUCCCUCCUGAAUCUAGGUCGAUCCCUCUCACGAUUCUGCCAUUCAGUUUAUUUUACUUCCUCAGCUAUCUUUGCCUUCUCUACCAACGCAGCGAAAUCACGCUCCCUCUGUGGAGCUAUCAGCACCCUAAGCUCAUCACGGAGGCCAUCUUCAAAUCAAACACUGUGCUCAUAUUCGGUCGCAACUAUCCCGCUAGCAUAUCAACUCAACCUCAAGAAUUCCACCUCAUACUCCACAACAGUUUUAUUACCCUAGCCAGAUUCAAAAAUUCCUUUCGACGAGCAUCUACAUAACUAGCUCCAACACACCGCCCCUUAAAAGUAGUCUUAAACAGUUCCCAGGUUACUCGUUCAAUCGGGGUACUCUCCUUUACAGUGAUCCACCACUGGUAUGCCUCAUCUCGUAGCAACGACACGGCCCCCUUCAGCUUUUGCUCCACAGAGCAAUCUAGGUUGUCCAUAAUCCGCUCUGUUGCCUCUAGCCAAUAUUCAGCGACGUUUGGGGCUACUUCAGAUACGCCUCUAAAAACCUCUGCUCCGUUAGUCUGGAGUCACUCAGAGAUGGAUCCCCUAUUCACUGUCCCGGUGCUAGCUCCAGGAACCCUUUCCAAAACCCUUAACAUCGCUUGGGACAAAGUAUCAUCCCCCGCAGCUCGAUCAUGUGACCCAGUCUCAGUUGCCUGUGGCACGGAUGCCUCCUCAGCUGACCUAUGCCCUGAGAAAGAAGAUUCAGCUUGCACCCUUCUGUGACCACGUCCGCGGCCUCGUCCACGAGUCCCUCUUGUACUUAUAUCAAAUUUUCUGAUUACGAAUUUUAUGACAUUAAUUUAAUAUUUCAGUUGUUUAUUACGAGCUGUCUUAUGGAAAUACAGCAGUUCAGAGAUUGUUUUCACAACGUAGUAGCCUAGCUACAGUCUCAAUCCUACUGUUUUAUAGCUCUACCCUGUCUAAAGUAUCAUAGUAGGGUCUCAUUUCUAUCUAUAGCAUCAUAUCAAUAUCAUACGGUGUAAAAGAAAGUAUAUUUACAGACUUGGUGUCGGGGAUUCAGUGUGCCACUUCUUUCUCCAAACCAUUUAAAACUUAAAAACAUGUAUUUGGUCACAAAAAAAAGGGUUUCUUUCUAGAAAUUCUUAAAAAUUGAUUUAAAAUACCUUUGUUUUGAAAUACUUGAUUUUUAAACCCGUUUAAAAUCCACAGCCGAGUUGUUGCAACCUGACUCUGAUACCACUAAAUGUAAUACCCCAAACCCGGCCCAGAUGUUAUGGCCAGAUCUGACGUGUCACAUUAAAGUUUUUUAAGAAAGCCCAUGCGUCUUUCAACAUCCUUCUUAGAGUUUUAAAAGAUAGUCUUUGAUAAAUUGAUAAAGUGAAUGGAAGCUGUGCACCAGGUAGGUAUCCGUAACAGAGGAGGUGAGCCAUGAAGGCUGCUUAAGUACCAAGCUCUUGAUUGGAUCCAAUCCUAGACAUGCCCACAACCAUUUCCACACUUUGGCGCGAGGUUAGGUUUUGGAAAAAAAGGUCGAGUUGGAAUUCAUUUAAGCAGAUAUUUUUGAUAAACCGAUUACUUGUAUCAUUGCGCUAUUUUGAAAACAAGUAUCACUUUGAAAACGCGCCCUAAGUCUAACCUAUUUUGGAUAAUUAUCAGUAAAAUACAGAGUAUAUAAUAAAAUAAAAUAAUCCCAAAAAAAUAAUUAAAACGGCCUUAUUGCAACCCAAAACCGAAUAAUAAUAAUAAUUAGGAUAAGACUUAUUAAAAAAACUAGUUACUUAUUGCAAAGUUCGGAAGCGAUCACCACGGCCACUCUGAAUCCCCUCCGGCUCCAAGUCUCCACAUCAAGGCUCACCUACAAGGUUAAGGAAAGGGGUGAAUUUGGAAACUCAGUGUGCAACAACCCCUUUCAGAGCCCAAACUAAUAUCAGCAUACUGGGCCAAAGCCCUAAUUCAGUCUCGUCAUAUACUGGGCCGAAGCCUUUCGUUUAACGGUUACUGGGCUGAAGCCUUUUCAUAAAUCAUACCACUGGGUCGAAGCCUUUACUGUAAACAGUAUGGCCCAUAGGCUUAUUUCAAUAUCACAUGAAAUACCAAUGAAUGUAUGCAAGCCCAUUUGGGGAGACUACUCAACCAACCAUCUGCUACUUUCCACCCGUACCAACCAAGCUCUCCAUGUGGGGAAUAACUCAACCCACCCAACCAAACUCUCCACUGGCAGCAUAGCUGCUUUAUCAUUAACUGAAGGCCUAGCCUCUUUUAAUAACUGGGGCAAAGCCCUUUUUGGUAAACUGGGGAAAAGCCCUUUUCGCACUACCUCCAUUUAUAUAAAGCCCAACCCAUGCAUAUAAUGAGUAUAUCAUGGCAUAUCAUGUGCAUCUCAUGACAUAUCAUGUGCAUACCAUGUCAAAUCAUGUAUAACAAUAUCUCAUGCUUCAUAUUCAUAAUUAAACCCUAAGGGGUAUAAUAGUCAUUUUUACCUAGGGCAAAAUAGUCAUUUUUCAUAUUAUAAGGAUAAUUUCGUAAUUUUACCAAAUAUUAUGGGUUUCCCAUGUUCAUUAACGAUUAUCAAUAUUUCUAAGUGUUUAAAUAAUGAUCUUUAACCCACUUAUCAAAUUCAGGCUUUUGGGCCCAAAACCCUUAAUGGGCCCUACGAAUGCCGAUUUUAGCCCAUUAAGUCCACUUAACCCAAAUUUUACAAUAGUACUAACCGUGUUAACAUGAAACUUUUCCAAAUUCCAUUUUCUAUCAAUUUUACACAAAUGGCCCAAAAGCCCAUUGGGCCUAGUUCCAGCCCAUCGAUGCCCAACUUGCCAUCGUGUACAAAAUUGUUCUCUUACCUGUUCCAUCGAUCCAAACACCGAUCAUAUCGUAUUUAUCGCAUCUAUAACCAAAUACAAAAUCACAAGUUCCUGAAAUGCCGAAAUUUUAGCAUUUCGACUUUUCAGCGAAUAUUAUUCUAAGCUACUACGAGGGUUAUUACACACCUGUUUUGUGACGUUUGCUAACAAGGUCUCCCACGACAACCUACAAUUAAUCAUCACCAUUCUUAGUUUACAAUUCAUACUUAUCAAACCCAAAAUCCACCUUACCAUAGUCGGCUAAAGAACCCCUAAUAGCCAUAGAUCACUUACCUACACAGGGUCCGAUGAUUCGAUCCAAGUUUAUCCAAACCGAUACUCCAAGCCUUGCUGCUCCUCCAAAGUUGUGUAUUUCACUACACAAACCAUAAAAAUCAAAUGAAAGGGCCCAGUAAGGCCUAUACCUCAAAUCGACAACCUCUUUAAACUAUAGGAGGUUUCAACUUUUCUUAACAUUUACACUACUUAAUCGAUUUGGAAAAUGAGUACUUACCACAGUCUUCCCUUCUGCACUGUUUAGAAUCAAAGUAAACUUAGCCCUCAACCACCUAGCAGCCUUCGAACCCUAGAGGUCUACAGGUUAAGCUAUGCCCCUAGAACUAAGGUAUUUUGGCUUUUAAGACCAAGCAAAAGGAAAAGAAAUGGUGUGGUGGCUUUGUAUUGGUGUUGCCGUUGGAGACUUUUAGAGUUUAGUGGAUGAAGGGGUCGGUCACAACAAACGAAGAGCAAAGAAUGAUGCUGGUCUAAAUGAAAUUGGUACAACCAACUUCAAAAGUUUCGGCUCUUGUGGCUAUUUGGCAAGGGUGAUGAAAAGAAAGGGAGUAGUAGUUUGGCUUUGGCAAAAGAAGAGAAAGAAAAAUGGGUGAAAGGAGUGGUGAUUUCGACUAGAGAAAAAAAAGAAAGAAAAGAAAAAGCCCUAUGAUGUUCAAACCAAAGAAAACGACACCACUAAAGCCCCUAAUGCCGAAAUACUAACCUAAAACCCAUAAACCUAUUUCUCCUCCCUAAAUUCCCACUAUUCGGCCAACACUAAGCCUCCAUUCAAAUCCCUAAAAUCUCUCCCCUUAUCACUUCUAAUUCCAUGCAUUUGACUGAUUCAAACUCUCUCCAACAGAGUUCCAUUCGACUUCAACCUCUUGCAUGCUCAAGACAUAAAAAUAACAACACAAUUGCCAGCUUAGUGAAUCGAACCUUGGCUUUCCCCCAACCACGUACACGCCACUUUUUUUUAGCUCCUUAGUGGCGUCAAUUACCUACUUUGCCAGGGGCUCUCUUGUGUCACAUUUUACCCACAUCUUUUAAUAAGGCCACCUAUCCAAUGCCCCUAAAUCUUUAAGUCCAAAAUUCAAAAAUUCUACCAGGUUUUAGCCAACACAUGGGCCUUCCAUAGGGCCAUUUACACACUCCAAUUAUGAAUUUCCCAACCAAAAACCAAAUUUUAAAAAUUUUACCAAAUUCUCAAAAAUUACGAAAAUCUCAAAAACCAGGGUGUUACACUAGUGGAUUGCUUUCGGGAUACAUUCGUACCUAUGUCUUCGUGAGAUUUUCAUCUCCAUAUGGCCAUAGGGAAAUGCAUUCCCCUGAAUCAAACCCGAUUCUUAUUAGCCUAUAAUGGGUGAGGAUUAAGGAAUCUAUUGGUUCAAGUACCCUUUCCUUAGAAUCGAACCACAUAUAGAAAGACAGGAGCCUACCCUAGGUAGAGCCACGCCAAAUCUUAGGUCACCGAGUUAGGUGUUCUAUAUUGUUUUUUCUCUUUUCUGUACUAACGUGUUUUGUUUUGUCUAUGAUUGCAUUGCAUUACAACAUCAUAGAAAGAAUGUGUUGAUUCAUAUUCGAUUGCUAAAUAAAAGAGCUUGUCAUGGAAAUGGAUUUCUUGAUAAAGUCGAUUAUAAUACGGUUGUCUGAAUAUGGUCUAAGUAAACACAAUGAAAAAAGGCUAAUAGUUCGUGGAAGAAAACAAGACUUUGUUUUAUCACCGUAGAUUCAAGUCGAUAAAGAUUAUUCGAGAGCCAUCACAUCUUGACUUUUUUAAAGGAGCUAACAAGCAUCGUGAGGAUAAGUGAGUAAUAAGUCACAGCCUGGAUCAAGCAAAAAGGAAAAUGAGGACAUCUUUUGGAAAAUUCGUAAGAUUCAACCAUAACAUCCGGAUAUAAAGAGAAGAGCGUGUCUUCGCCUGGACUAUAAGGGCAAUGCCAUAUAUGUAAUCCAUUUUAUGUAAAGAGAUUUAUUUUCUAGAAAAGUUGUUCUAAUGGAAUUGAAUUUAGAAUCAACGUAUCUCUUUUUUUGCAUUCAUUCCAUGCAUCUGCAUUGCAUUGCAUCAUUUUCAUUAAACUUUCACAAAAGGACCUUAAUUAGGUAAAAUAAUUUCAGUUAACCUGGGAACCGAAAAAAGUCAAGCGACUAAGCAUCUUUACGGUACAUGGAAAAGGACCAAAUAUAUGGAUCAAAGGUUUGAAAGACUCGAACAACUUCAAAAAGAAAUGCAAGACAAGUUACAAAUGCAAAUGCAAGAGCAGCUUGCUAAGGUCCAACAAGACAUGAUAGACGAAAUGCUGGCGUCCCAAAGGAAUAUGAUGAAUUAGUUGUCCCAAUUGUUGACUAAGGGGCUAGAAAAGGGAAAAAGCUUCAUGAUUAAUACUGGGAAGGACAAUGAGGAGCCUCUCUACCCUUCAGGUUUCACCCCGACAAAUGCUCAGACAUGUCUGCAGGGUUUACCUAUUGCUGUCAGAUCUCAGCAAUAUCAGGCCAAUAUCUCGGCACUAGUGAAUUACCCAAUAGGCUCAAGCUUCAAUCCAGGGGGCAAUCCAACCACUCCCCUAGUUCCUGACCUAGAUGACAUGAAAAAAGCAAAGAUAGAACUGCCAAAACAACUCGAGGAUCGGUAUAGGUGGUUGGAGGAAAAAGUUAAGGCAAUGGAGAAUGUUGACUACUAUUGUGGGGUUGGCACCAAGGAUCUGAUUUUAGUCCCCGAUCUAGUAUUCCCGCCAAAAUUUAAGACUUUAGAGUUUGAAAAGUACAAUGGGACUAAUUAUCCUGAAGCUCACAUCAAAAUGUUCUGUCGAAGAAUGACAGGAUAUGUCAAUAACGACCAACUAUUAAUCCAUUGCUUCCAAGGCAGUCUAAUCGUGUCAGCAGCUAAAUGGUACAAUCAAUUGAGUCGUGCUAAAAUCAGUUCAUGGAAGGACUUAGCACAAGUUUUUAUGAAGCAGUAUAGCCAUGUAACGGACAUGGUACCCGACAGAAUUACCCUACAGAAUAUGGAAAAUAAGCAAAAUAAGAGCUUCAAGUAGUAUGCCUAAAGAUGGAGAGGGGUAGCAACACAGGUCCAGCCGUCUCUUCUGGAAAAGGAGACCACGAUGCUUUUCAUCAAUACUCUGAAGGCCCCGUUCAUUAACCAUAUGUUGGGAAGCGCUACUCUAAGCUUUUCAGAUAUAGUAAUGUCAGGUGAGAUGAUUGAAAAUGCGGUAAGAAGUGGGAGGAUAGAUGUUGGAGAAAACACUAAAAGGUUAACCCUGAGAAACAAAGAAAAUAAAGUUAGUAUCGUGAGCAUGCCUUCCAAAUUGGUUAACAUAGGCCAGUCGAGGGCUGUACUAGCUAUCAAGGCUCUUCAAGGCAGGAAUCCAACUCGAGGCCAAGUACAGAAAGGCUCCGGUUUACACCCAUCCCGAUGUCAUAUAAGAAGUUGUAUCAGAAUAUUUUUUAUGUGCAUAUGGUGUCUCUGUUCUAUUCAGAACCCGUGCAAUCUUUAUUCCCAAAAUGGUAUAAUGAGAAUGCUCAAUGCGAGUACCAUGCGGGAAUAAAGGGACACUCAAUCAAAAACUGCACUACAUUUAAAAAGUUGGUCGAAAGGUUCAUUGAAAUGGGAAUUGUGGAGUUUGACGAUUCCUUAGAACCUAAUUGUUCUGACAAUGCAGUAAAUGAAAUAUUUGAAGGUGGGGGCAAAAGAGUUGCGAUGCCUUGAACAAGUCAAAAACCUGGAGGGAACCAAAGAAUAAAAGUUUCCAAACCCUUGCAUACUUGGGAGUGUUUUGAACGAUGGGACUAUGGAAGAGAUUCUUGUAUUUUUUUAGAGCUAAUCUAGAGUAAUAUUCAAAGCAUGCUUGUUGCUUUAAGCCUAGAGGCAAUAAGAAUCCUUUUGUGAAAUAGGCUUGUCUCCAGAAUUUUUAUUUCAAUAAAAUGCAUCUUCUUGAGAAAAUGUUCUUUCUUUCUUUCCAUUUCAUAGUAUACAUUCUUUUGUUCUUUCGUAGGCCAAAAAUAAUUUUUUUAAUAAAAUAAAAUGUUUUAUUAGGUGAUCUGAUCACACCUAAACAAAAAGGAUUGGUGGCGACUCCAUACCAUAUUUUGAAGUCGAUCCCAAUUUUUUUCAAAAUUAAAAAAAAAAUGGUUUUGACACUAAGUAUAAUUAAAUUGAUAAUAAUACGAUGUUCUGGAUGUUGGGAAGAAAAAUAGUUCCAUUUGAACCUUGAGAAUACUUAUGAUACAAAUGACAUGUCAUUAGGGAUUAUACGGUUUUGGGUGCUGGUCUUGGAUGUCCUACUGAUGGCUGAGGUCCUACAUUUGUUGCGGAUUCUCCACAGCUUGUGUAAGCAACAUCCUGAAGUCAACAUCCCAACUCAUUUCCAAGCUCGUGUGAGCAAUAUUAAAAAGGUUACAAUUACAUGAAAAGUCACACUUUGUGCGGGUAUUUCCCGAGUAUCCAGUGUUGUUGAAUAUGGUUCAUCGGCCAAUUUAGGUGAAAUGGAAAGGUACGUAUAUGAAAUAAGCUAUAAUGUUGAGUAUAUGAAAUGAGCUAUGAUGUUGAAUAUAUAAAUGGAUAGUAUGAUAUGUGCAAUUAUAUUGUAAAGGGAAUCAAAUGAAUAUGUGGUAGAUGAUUUGUAUAUUGAGAUUAUUUCAUGAAAUGUUCCAUGAAUUGGGUGAAACUAUAUGCUCAUUAUAUACCCACUAACCUUGUAGAGUUGUGUGUAUAAGAUGGAAUGUAUGCACUUGUAUAAUGAUUGAAUGGUUAAAAAUAACAUAUGUGGUAAGUUUAAGUUCACAUUAUACGAACUUACUAAGUAGUAGUUGCUUAUGUAGUUAUUUUCUCUAUUUUGUAGAUCAUCGGAAGCUUGAUAAGUUGGAAUCUUGUCGGAUCUCUAUCACAUUAUCCUUCAACCACUUUGAUAGUUUUGGUUGUUUUGGCUAUGGUUAUAAAUGGCAUGUAUAGAGCUUAUAUGUAAUAGAAGUUUUGAUUUAUGCUAUUUGUCCAAUGUGAUAUGCUUAUGUGUUGUAUAUAUGUUUUGUUUUGACUUGUAAAUGCAUAGGCAUGUUUAUGUCUUUUGGUCACUUUUAAAUGUAUUGUAAAUAUAUGGCUUAUGACUUAUUCAUAUAUGGUUGAAGCCAUUCAAUAAUGUGUGAAUAUGGUGAUGUAUGUUUAGGUUAUAAUGUAGCUUUCAAUAAAUUGAAUUGAUGUGUGAUUUGAGUGCCUUUUGAUGGCAUAUUGGUUUGUUAUAGGAUGAGUGAAUAUCUAACAUGUUUUUGAUGUUUUGUAUGUUUUAAACAUGUGAAUGUUGGUAGAAUUGGUCUAUCUUGCUAUGUAAGAAUUGGUUUUAACAUGGCUUGCUUUAAGGGCAAUUUAUGUUGCACACGGCCUGGGGCACAGGUUAUCACACAGCUAUGUGUGCCCCACAUGGUCGUGUGUCAUUAUUGUUUUUAGGUGCAUGUUUCACACGAUUUAAGACACGGCAUGCGACAUGAUCGUGUGUCUCAAGUUAGUAUGUAACACUAUUUGGCACACGAACUACGACAUAACCGUAUGGGCCUAUUUCGAAUACCCACAUGGGUGGACACACAGGCUGGGACAUGGCCGUGUGUCCAAAUUUCAAAUGUCCACAUGAUCUUGGCUAUGUCACACUGGCCACACGACCAUGUGACCCUUAUUUUCCCAAAAUUUUCUAUUUUGUUUUAAAUUGAUCCCUGAUUGUUUCCAAGUUGUUUUAAGGCCCCGAAGACUCGGUUUAAUGCCCAAUAAUGUAUUUUACUAUGGUUAUAUUGAGCUAUUGGAUGUUGGUAUUAAUUUGCAUUUUUUUUGUUUUGAAGUUAAACAUCCUAUUUUGUAUGGUAAUGCUUCGUAACCCUAGUUCGGUGACAGAUACGGGUUAUGGGUGUUACAAUUCGGCAGCAAAAGAAGUCUUGAAAUAGGUUAUUCCUUAAAAUCAUGAUAAUUGGUUUUUUCACUUCCAAACAUCUCAGAUUGGUUAAUUUCUAAUCUACAAUCUUCUGAGCUAUUUGAUUCCUUAGAAGUUAGCUGGGUAAGCCUAUUUGGUCUUAUAGCGUGGAGGAUUUGGAAGAAUAGAAACCUUUAUGUUCUCCAAGGACUAACGUGGGAAGUGGCUAAUAUUAUUAAAGUUUAUAUCACAUGGGCAAAAUAAUUUUAGAUUACACAUAAUAAAAUUAUGAAUCGAAGACGUACUACUACUCCAAGGAACUCUCUUCCGGAUAAUCAUAUUUAUUUGCAUACAAAUUAAGCUAUUAAUUUGAGUACAGGUUAUGCAUUUGCAGAUACGGAAUCAUCAAGGGAAUUGGAUUUUGGACUUUAACCAAUCUCUGGAGAUGUGUUCGGGUUUUGAUGCUAAGCUAUAAGAUAUUUUCGAUGGGUUUAUUCUUCUACAAGAUCGAGGUUUGAAUAGAAUAUUGAUUCACACUGAUAGCCUUGAGGUUUUUCAUGCAUUGUAAAAGAGUAUUACAACUAGUUCGGGCUCAGCAAUGAUUAGGUGGAUCCAACAUAAGCUACAAAGUUUUGACUGUUGAGAGAUCAGGUGUAACACCUCAAACCCGGCUUAGACAUUGUGGCCAAACUUGAGAGUGUAAUGAAGAAGGGUUUUGAAACCAAUGAUAUUUCGAUAAAACAUCCAAGUUUAAAACAUAUUCAUUUAUAUAAUUAUUAUUGAAACAGUUAUAUGUUAUCCUUUCAGGUUAACCAAAUCAUUUAGCAACGAAAGUUUGAAAAAUCAUUUAAAACAAAACCAUGCUCGUAUUUUUAAAAUUUAACAUUUGUUCACGUGAAAUCUGUGUUUUGUUGAGUCAUCGCAGUUUUAGAAAUCAUAACGCAACUAAACCAAAAUUUUAAACCAAACAGUCCAAAAAGUCGGAAGAGUCCAAAAAUUACAAAACUCUCAUGAAAGCCAGAAAUUUUAGUAAAAACCAUUAAAUAAUAAUGAAAAUAGUUCCCCGUCAAGUGGGUCACCACUAAGCCUCCAUCGUACCAACCUGCCAAUGUCUGUGGAUUACCUAAACAGAACAGACAAAACGAUGUGAGUUUACGAAAACUCAGCAUAACCCAAUAGAAAUAGUCAUGCAACAUACACAAUAUUCCAUAUAUAGUUAGAUACAGAUUCGGAUCUAAGUCCAUAAUAGAUACAGAUAUCAGAAUCAGAUAAAUAGAACAGAUAUACAGAAUCCUACCCCCAUCCUCUAAACACCAGCUCCCGACCAUCCCAUCACACAAUGUGGGGUUAAAAAUACCUACCCAUCCCUACACACCAUAUAGUGUCGAUGCGACACAUCACAGAUAAUAUACAAUCAAGUUGUCAGGUUAUAGGCGAAAGGUCGUCGUACAGAUCACUUCCUCCACAUAUACAAUUCCCAACCCAAACAUAGAUACAAAAUACAAAAUUAACAGAAUUAACAUGCUUGUAUACAAAUAACAUAUAUAUAUACUCAAACAGAAUAGUCAUACAAACAUAUCAGUGUUCUGCUCAAAUCAGACUAUUAGAACAUCAGAUCUCAUGUAUUAGGGUUUAGUUAGCCCUUACCAACCCUACGGUAGGCCCACAGUCGAUGGGAAUGACCCGUACAACCCUAGGGAAAAUUUCAAAAUUCUGGGCCUACAUGCCCGUAUGGCCUGCCUGUGUGGGGCCACACGCCCGUGUUGCCCACAUGCCAAUCUGGCUUAGUUACAUGCUCGUGUCCUGCGCACAGCCACGCCUUCGUCAGACACACGAUCGUGUCUCGCACACGGCCAACCAUAUGGUCGGCCAAACGCCCGUGUGGUGUCAACAGAUUGCAUUUUUGGCUUCGUUGAAGUUCAAUUUUUUAUGUUAAGAGUACACAUCUGGUAUGGUUUUGACGCUACAGCACACCCGAGCCCACCAGAACCUAAAGAUAGCAUUUCAACGACCUAUUAGCAACCAAUUUAUGAUUUCACAAAACUAAACUGAGAAAUGCUCAUAAACUUACCAUCAUAAAAUCGACCACACGCAAUAAACUAAAUUGUUGGAGCGAAAAUCACUGCUUCACCACCUUCUCCUACACAAUAAUCCGUAGAAAUCAGAUUCUCUACAAUCAAUGUUAAGCUAUUACAACGAAAAAGAAUUGAAAAGCUUACCAAAACCGCACGAAGAACAGAAAAGUGAACAAUUAUUGAAGGGAAUGGAAGAAAAAUAAACAAGGAAACAGUGGAGGAACAAAAAGAUGAAAUGAUAGAAAAAUGAAGAGGUAGAAACUGACGUCAAAUUUUGGGAAGAGAGAGAAAAAUUAUAAAAAUAAACUAAAAUAAUAAUAAUAAAUUAAUAUCAUAACUCCCCAUAACAACUACAUCCAACUACUUCAGACUCCCAACUCCACCGAGCCUCUAACAGCCAACCGAAACAAAAAUUAUCACCUACACUCAUGUAGGGAUUCGAAUACAAGACCUCCAACGCACUAACUCCUUACCACUCAAACUAGCAAGCUCAUUCUAAUAUAAUUUUACAAACAAUUUUAUAUAAGCCCACCCACCACGGAUAAUGCUUGAAUAAAAAAUAACAAAAUUUUCGAAAAUGGGACUUAAACCCAAGACCUCAUACACACCCUUAGAACACUUAACUAUUAAAGCAAAUACACAUUUAUAUUAGAUUUCACAAAAAACAGGCUUAAAUUAUUCAAGACGUUACAUCAGGCAUGUUCCAAGGGAAGCCAAUUUAGUCGCAGGUCGGAUUGCCAAGGUUGUGCCUGUGGAGAUAAAGGGAGUUAACAUUUUGGUAUCUGCUCCUACAGAUCUUUUAGUGUUUCUUGGAAGUGACAAAGUUAAUGCUACUUUUGAUUGUUUCAGUGUAGUAUAAUCAUUUAAGUUUUGUUUCUUAUCACAAAAAGAAAAAAAAAGAGUUAAUUGCACCAUACUUUUGCAAAGACUCUGAUUUAAAUUGGUCCUUAAACUUUAAAAUAUUUUAAUUAUAUCUUAAAGUAUCAAUGCUAUAUUAAUUAGGUCUUUUUGUUAUUAAAGUCGUUAAAUGACAUGAAAAUCUUCUAUAGCUAAAUUAAUAAUAAAAAUUUUAAAGAAAUAAAAUGUUGUCACAUAAUUUCUAAAAGAAAAUAAAAAUAAAUUAAAACUAAAAAAACUGAACACUAAAACUUCUACAAAAGCUUCAAAAAUAUCAAAACUAAGAUUUUUAAAAUAUCUAUUUUUACAAUGUUCAUUUAAAAUUUUCAUUUUAAAUCAUGACACAUAAGAUACGAUGUUAAAUUAAUAAUUUUAGUAACGAAAGGAUAUAAUUGAUAUAACCUCGAUAAUUUAAAAAUGUAAUUAAAAUAAUUUAAAGAUUAAAGACUAAUUUAAAAUGAAGGUGUAUAGUUUAAGAAUGUUGGAUGUAAUUAAAAUGAAUACUUUUUAAAUUAAUAUGGAGAAGUUAAUUUAGUGGUAACUGGAAAAAAAAAGCUGCAUGAGAGCUAAUAAGUAAGUUUUCUUUUUUAUUUUAAAUGCGUUUAGUGAAUUGGUGUUAUUUAAUUUAUAUUAUCAGUUUAAUUAAGAAUUUUAUAAAUAAUAUAGACAUGUGUAUCAAUUACUAAAAUUUUUAUUUUUCAUUGUAUGAUAUUUUUAAAGAAAAAAGUGUUUUCUUAAAUGAUGUUGUAACAUAAGAAUAAGAAGAAAUUAUUGAUGUUAAAAUUUGAGCCUUAUGAUCUAUUAAAAUAAAAUUUGGAUCUAACCCAAAACAGUAAUUUUUUUUUUUCAAAUAUGAUAAGCGGAUUAGAUUAGAACUUGCUUGAUGUCAGUAAAUUACUUUUCAAAAUAGUCACGAACUUUAAGUCAAAAUAUGACCACUUAUAAAAUAUAUGUUCCCAUCAUCAUAAUAUGUUUGAUUUUGCCUUUUACCUGGCUAAUUGGAAUAUAUACAUAUAUAUAUCUAUAUAUAUAUGCUAAUUGUCACUAUCUUUUCAAGCAUAUAUUCAGCUGGCCGAUCAAUUAUAGAGGAAUAUAUGUUUUGUUAGCAUCCUCGCUAUUUCAGAAUUAUGUAUUAAAGUGAGAUUUAAUAACUACGAGAUUUAUGAUACACUUUCUACUCAGAAUGUAAAUGAAAAAGAAAAUUAUUUAAUAAAUAUAUUUAUUAAAAAUUCACAUAAAAAUCAGCUGAUAUUUUGAUUAUAAUUGUGAAAUUAAUUGUUUACUAUGCAUGAAUUUAGAGCUGUCUAAGAGUUGGGUUAUCCGUCCGAAUCCAAAGACUUGAUCAAAAUAUGGGAGAAUUUGGACAAGUAAAUAAAAUCCCAAAAAUGUGCUUGGGAAAAUUUAUAGGCUUAUUUUCUACUCAAAUCGGGUUUCAAGUAGAGUUUUUAAAUCGAACUUGGCUCAACUCGAAUACAUAUAUUGAUUCUAUUCCUUUGCCGGGUAUGGAAGAUUUGAAGGUGCACGAUUACCUAGUAAGACUGGGGAUGUCUGUGAUAAUUUGAUGGCAGACACAUUUGUAUGAUCCCGAUAAUUGUGCAGAAAGGUCCGGAUAAAAUGAUUUGGCAUCGGUCUAGUAAGGAUUAUAUUUGGUGAAAUCAGAAUACAAGUUAGCCUCUGAUUUGUAUUCCAAUUCUGUUUGGAAUGAAAGUGAUGGUCCUUGAUUGAAGAUUUGGAAUGGCCAUUUCCCACCGAAGGUCAAGGAUUUUACUUAGAGGUGUCUCAGAAACUUUAUUCCUACCAAGGCAAGGUUAAUUGAUAAAGGUUUAAAUGUGCCUUCGAUUUGUAUCCGAUGUGGAGAGGUGGAAAUGCUUGAUCAUGUUUUUAUUUCUUGUGCGUUCACUCGGGUGUUCUGGCAAUAUUCCGGACUUCCAUAUCCGCAUCUUGAUGUUCUCCAUUUUAUUCGCACUUUGCUUGAGUCAGUUGAUGUUAAUAUAGUUUACCAGGCUCUUACUAUUUUGUGAAGCAUUUGGUUCCAUCGUAACUUGUGAUUUUGGAAGGGUGAGGUGUUUUCCUCGUAGUGUGUUGUCGAUUUUGCUGACAAUUUUCAUUGGCAAAGGUUGGAGGCUCAGUCUGUUUUGGUAUAACUCUACCAUUAGAGCAUCCGACUACCUCCACGGCUCAUUGGUGGAAGCGACCUGCUGUUGGUAUCUUAAAAUGCAAUGUUGAUGGAGCUUUAUUUCAAGAUGAGCAUUAUUCCAGCUUUGCGGCAAUCGUUCGGGAUCAAACUAGUGCUGUUAUUAAAGGUUUGGUUGUUGGGACCCCGCAUUAUUGAUAUUUUUGCUAUUCGAGAAGCAUUAUCUUGGCUUUGCGCUAAUAGAUUUUAUCAUGUUGUGAUCGAGUUAAACUACCAGCCAAAAGUUGAUGUAUCUAAAUUUGGUAUCCUUGUUCAGGAUUAUAUUUAUCUCAGUUUGUUCUUCUUUGAUUUCUCUUGUCUUUAUCUAUCAUAAGUUCGCUAGGGGUUUUAUCUUAUUCAUCUUUUCAUGAUUUCACUGUUCGAUCGGUUUAAUGUUAUCUUUCUUAUUCUUAGUAGUAAUAUUAUUUCAAACACUCAUUUGGAUGAGACGCAUAGGUCUGAGUGUAUGAGGUAAACCUAUUAGCUUGGGUCUUUAGUUGUCUCACUCAUGUGCUGUUCUUGUUUUCCUUCUCUAUUUUAAUAUAGCAAUUUUUUCUUCUAAACAAAUUAUAUAAAACCAACCUAAAUCCAAAUAUUAUUUAUUUCAAAAUCUAAACCCAUCCUUAAAAAUAAAUAAAUAAAUAAACCAAACUUCUGUUGACAAAGCGUUAAAUAAGUCAAUGAAUUGAAAAUCAAUACUUUCAGCAGCUUUAUUUUUUAAAAAUAUUUAAUAACUCACAACGAAAUUAAUUAGGUAGAAUAUUUUUCCAUAAAAAAGUGUGGAAAAUGAUAAAUAGAUAAGGACUUACUUAUAACUUAAUAGAAAAUUAAUUUAAUUGUUUUCUUUAUUCUAUUUCAUUUAAGAUUAUAUUAUCCUUUAUCAAACAAUUUAAUUAUAAUCGGUUUUUAAUUUUAAGUAAUACACCAAACAAAUUUUAUAAAUUAAAUUUAACAUUCAAUUUUUCAAUACUUAUUUUUACAACAAUUAAAUUGAAUACUUAUUUUACAACAAUUAAUUUUUCGUUAAGUUCCAAUAGUAGUACAUCAACUCUCAACCGAAUAAGACAAAUUAUGGAAUAAUGCUUUACUAAAAAGAAAAUCGUUGAUUGGACUUACUCUAGCAACAGUUCCACUGGCAACAAAAGGAGCUUCAAAUUUCAUCCUACACUUGGCUUGUAUUCAUCUCAUUGCAAGUUUACUGCUAUUCAAAAUUUAUGCAUUGUUUUUCUAAUUUGGAAAUGUCAAAAUCAUAUGCAAUUUUAGUUGAACUUUUAUGAAUUGUUUUUUUUUAAAAAAACAAAAAACUGGAAUGGCAGUAUCUUUAAAUAAUCAUUUUUCUAUAUUUAUUUAUGAAUUAUCAAAAAUAAAUAUUUGUAAUUACAUUACAAUUUGAAAAAAAUUCUAAUUUUAAUUUGGUCAGGCUUGGACAAAAUUUUAAGUCCAUAUUUUAGAUUAGCUUAGAUUUGAGCAAAGAUAAUAUCUAAAAACCCUCUUGUCUAGGUUUGGACCAACCGGGCUCAACCAGCCUAUUAACACCUCUAUACAUGAUGUUUUGGGUUCAAAUAUUAUUAUAAUCAAAUUUUUAUUGAUUUAUUAUAUGUAAAAGAGAUAAAAAAUUCUUAUAAAAAUAUUAAAAAAUAUAUUCUUAUAAAAAUAUAAUCUAAUUCGUCUAUAAGAAAAUAUUUUAAUAAAUUUAAAAUUAAAUUGAUGUUUAAUUUAAUCAUAACACCAACACAUUAAAACACAUAAAAGUAAGUAGGAUAUAAAUUAACUGGGCAGUGUUGAAUGCCUCGUGGUACGGAAAACAUGGCCAAAAAACAGCAUACUAAUCUCUAAGAAUUUUGGAUCCAUUAUUCUAUCCCAUUGAAUUUGGAAUUUCCAACCAAGUUUGUGAUUCUUUAUUCCGUCUCAACUAUGGAUUGAAUAUAUACGGGUCAUCAUCCUCCUAUUUUCGCCUUUUCUUCUAUGACUUCCUUUAUGUCUUUUUCAUGUUUCAAAGGUAGAAUUUAUGCAUGUAUUUGGCCAUUUGCCAAUAAUUGCACUUUCACGAAACUAGUAGUGUAUUGGUGUUGGCAGUAUACUCAAAGUUUUAUUAUUAUUUUGGUAUCCAAUCGCGUUGAAAUUAGGGUAAAUUAUUAAAAUAGUCACUUUUAUUUGCCUCAAGUUACAUUUUAGUUACUUAUGUUACAAAUGUUACGUUUUAGUCACUUAUAUUAUCGUGUUAUAACAUUUUAAUCAUUGAGUUGUUAAUUACCAUUAACGGUGUAACGGUAAGCUGACAUGACAUAUUAAAUCAUCAUUUUAAAUGAAAAUUUUAAGUUAAAAUUUUACAAUUGGUCUCUAUAUUUUUUCAUCUUAAACAAUUUAAUUUUUUCUCUUUUAUGUUCUUUUAACUUUCUUUAUUUUCUUUAUUUUCCUUUCUCUUUUGCUUCUCCCUAUAUUUUCCUCCCUUAUUCAUUUCUUUUAACAUAGUUUUUCUAUGUUUUCCAUUUGUUAAAAUUAGUCCACAAGCUCGCCUCAAUAAAAAAAUUAAAUUGUUCCAAAAAGUAAAAGUAUAGGGACUAGUUUUAACAAAUGAAAAACAUAGAAAAACUAUGUUAAAAGAAAUGGAGAAGGGAAGAAAACAGAGGGAGAAGCAGAAGAGAAUGAAAAAAAAAGAAAGUUAAAAAAACAUAAAAGAAAAAAAUUAAAUUGCUCAAAACAAAAAAUAUGGGGACUGAUUGUAUAAAUUAACCUAAAUUUAUUGUUUAAAAUGAUGAUUUAACGUGUCAUCAGCUUACCAUUACACUGCUAGUAAUAAUUAAUGGCUCAGUAACUAAAAUGUUACAACGCGAUAACGUAAGUGGUUAAAACACAACAUUUCAAACAUAAAUGACUAAAAUGUAACUUGAGGUAAACAAAAGUGACUAUUUUGGUAGUUUACUCUUAAAAUUAUGUUAUAGGCCAGAUUGGAGGACUUCCACUACUACAUUGGAAAACCAAAUGAAUGACCUUGAAAUUAAGAUGCAAUUUGACCCAAUGGACAUUCUUGUUCUGGAGGGACUUCUCUCAAGUUAUAGGGUGUAUAGGAAGGAGGAGCUUGCAUGGCUUCAAAAAACGAGUAAAGAAGAAUUAACAAAAUUUAGCAUUUAUAGGUGCAAAAUAUAAAAUUAGUUUUCCAGAAUCAUUUGCCUCUAUACAUGGCAAAGGUUAUGCUAUUGAUAUGGAAUUUUUGGAAUUUUCUUUUAACUCAACAAAAAGAGCCAAGAAUAUCGACGUAUCAAAAACAUCUCAAAAUAACUGCAAACACCUUAACAAAAAAUGUUGGAAAAUAUUGAGUGGAGAACAUAGAUCUGGAGACAAUAUUGAAUUAAAUAGUAGACCUCGAGGCGCAGGUGACACUUUCCAAAGAGAACUGUUUACCUCCACACAAAGUUGCUAGAGGGUUAAGACAAAGGUCCUUCCGGGAUACAACGAAGCUUUUGAAUUUCCUUUGAUUAGCAAAAUCGAGGAAUUCCUUAACUCUUACUCUAAUUUUUGAAAACAAGAUUGAUUGUAAUUGUAUUUUUUAGCACCAUAGACCCUCUAUUUAUAUAAACUUAAUGCAUACUACUUUGAAGACUCACAACCCUUUACAUUUGAUUUCCAUUGGACAUACUUCUUAGAAAAACAUGUCUCAUGGAAUCAAAUGUAUCCUUUGAAUAAAUCAUCACUUUCUAAUAAGUGCUCAUGAAUACUUAUGAAUUUGCACACGAGCUGAUACACAGGCAUGUGAGCCAAGUUAGUAAGUUACACUAAUGAGCACACGGUUGGACAGACAGGCAUGUGGUAUAGCCAUAUGGCUAUGUUUGGAGCCACACGGUCUAGACUCUGUCACACGGCCUGGACGCACGGUCAUGUGACCCCUGUAGGUGAAAUUUUUUAGUUUUCCAGAAAUGUUCUAAUUUGUUCCAAUUUGGUCCCUGAUUGCUUGAAAGCUAUUUUAAGGCCUCGUAGACUCAAUUUAAGGCUCGCAAAUGCAUGAUUUAUUCCAUUUUGAAUUUCUUAUAUAUUUAUUAAAUAAAUUUGAAAAUUAAUUACUAUUGGUUAUAAAAUGUUUCGUUUUCUACAGUAAUACUUUGUAACCCUAUUUCAUCGAUGAAAACGGGUUAUAGAUGUUACAUGUACACCUUAUUGUACGCUUGAGACAUGGUGGAUUCACUAUCACAAUAUACGGAAAUGGCGAAUGUACGUUGUGGCCAUAACUUUAUAUCUAGCAAGAGAUAUCUUAGUCAUUCCACUUCUUUGCCAGUAUCCGCCAAAGCUAUAAAUUCAACAUCCAUAGUUGACUGUGAAAUGCAAGUUUGUUUCUUGGAGACCCAACUAAUGGCUCCACCUUUGAUCGUAAAAAUCCAUCCCGAUGUCAACGUAUUGUCACUUAAAUUUGUAAUACAACUUGCAUCCGGGUAACCUUCUAGUACCGCGGGAUAAUCACUAUAGAAUAAUCCCAAAUUUUUUGUUUUCUUAAGAUAGCCAAAAAUCCAACAAAUUCCUUUCCAAUGAUCGGUACUAGGACAAUUUCUAAAUCUUACCAUUUUGCACACAGCAAAUGCGAUAUCGGGUCUAGUACAAUACGUUGCAUACAUUAGACUUCCAAUUACAUCGGUGUACUCAAGUUGCACUACAACCCUGCCAUUAUUCUCACUUAACUUAAAGUUUGAAUCAUAUGGAGUGUUCGAAUCCUUGAUAUUCAAAUGUUUGAACUUUUCCAAUACUUUCUCGAUGUAGUGAGAUUGGCUUAGUGCAAAGCCUCUUUUAUGCUUUUUCAUCUUUAUAUCUAGAAUUGUAUCUACCUUGUUAAGAUCCUUCAUCUUAAAAUUCAAGGCUAGAUACUCUUUGGUCUCAUAAACAUAUUCCAUGUUCGUCCCAAAAAUUAACAAAUCGUCUACAUAAAGAUAAAUAAUUACACCAUACUUAUCGGUAAAUUUAGUGUAAAUAUAUUUAUCCACACCAUUAUGUAAAAAAACCAUAUGACAAGAUAAUUGAGUCAAAUUUCUCAUGCCAUUGUUUAGGCGUUUGUUUUAAGCUAUAUAAUGACUUGAUCAACUUACACAUCUUAUGUUCAUUUCCAGGAAGCACAAAGCCUUCUAGUUGCUCCAUGUAGACGUCUUCUUCGAGAUCACCAUUCAAACAAGCCAUCUUAACAUCCAUUUGAUGUACAUGUAACUUAUGGAUAAUGUAAGUGCUAUAAGAAUUCAAAUGGAGGUCAUCCUAGCGACUGGUGCAUAGGUGUCAAAAUAAUCUAGGCUUUUCUUUUGCCUAAAUCAUUUAGCUACCAACCUAGCCUUAAAGGUUGGAGCACCCCCUAAUGGAGUAUUCUUCCUCGAUAGGCUUCGAUCCUUGAUGAAGAUCAACUAGAAUCCAAGAAUUGUUUGGUAAUAUUGAAUCAAUUUCAUCAUUGAUCGCCUCUUUCCAAAAUGUCACAUCCCUAAAAGUCAUGGUUUCACCAUAGGAUUGUGGAUCACCAUCCACAUUAAACAUUAUGGUGAUCUUCCUAAUUAUGAAUUCUUUAUUUCCCUCAACAAGAAAUACUAGCGAUUGCGAGGAAAUGGAAUCAGGACCAAAGUCCAUUACUUUUCUCACUCUUUGACUUUUUCUCGGCUUUGUAUCCUUAUUGUCACAAAGACUUCUUUUGGUUUGAUCAUUUGAGAUCAUUGGUUGAUAUUUUUUCUCGAAUCUAUUGAAUCAUCGAAAACCUUAUUUUCAAUGAAUACAACAUCUAUUGUUUCAAUUCCCGUAUUUGACACUAAGUCAAGAACACAAUAAGCCUUAGAGUGUUGGGUAUAUCCAACAAAUGCACCUUUGAAGGCUCUUGGUCUUAACUUUGUUCUCCGUUGGUCAGGAACUUUAUAGUAAGCCAAGUACCCUCACACUUUGAAAUAAUCUAAGUUUGGCAUCCUACCAUUCCAUAACUCAUAUAGAGAUACUUUGAAUUUUCUCGAUGGUAUUCUAUUAAGGAUAUAACACGUAGUCAAUAAUACUACACCCCAUAGAUUAUAUGGAAGUUUAGCAUUUAACAACAUCAAGUUAACUAUAUCUACUAGAGUACGAUUCUUUCUUUCUGUCAAACCAUUUUGUUGCAGAGUAUAAGGAGCAGAACACUCAUGUACCACACCUUGUUCCUCACAAAAUACAUUAAAUUCAUUUGAAAAAUAUUCACCACCUCUAUCAUUACGAAGCACUUUGAUUUUCUUACUAAACAAAUUCUCAACCUCAUUUUUAAAAUGUUUAAACAUAUAAAAAGCCUCGUCUUUACUUUUCAUGAAAUACACAUAAGUAAAUCUAUAGAAGUCAUCUAUAAAAGUGAGAAAUAUCAUUUUCCACCUCUUGUUAGGGUUCCAUUUAAUUCACAAGCAUUUGAAUAGAUUAAAUCUAACACUUGUGAAUUCCUUUCACACUUAUUAGGAAAUCACUUCUUGAUAAUUUUUUGAUUAAAUACAAAUUUCACAUUUAUCCAUAAAAUCAUCAUUACUUAGAUUGAUAUAACUAUUCUUUUGCAUAUAUUGUAAAGUUAUAAAAUUAAAAUGUGCUAAACAUGCAUGCCACACAGGAGAAGACUUAACAAUAUAAGUAGAAGAAUUGACUUUAUUCAUAUUAAUGCUCAACUUGAAAAAACCCUCGUUACAAUAUCCUUUUCAUACAUAUAUAUCACCCUUAAGCAAGACAAACUUAUCAAAUUCCAAGAUAAUCUUGAACCGUUGUUAUAUAGAAGACUCUCAGACACUAAAAUAUUUCUCACAUCGGGAACAUGUAACAAAUUGGUCAAAGUCAAUUUCUUCCCAAAUGUGAAGUUGAGUUCCACUGUACCUUGACCGAGCACCUUAACUGAUUGAUAGUUGCCCAUAAGCACUUCGCAAUUUGCCACUAGUUCAUAACUCUCAAACUGUUGUCGGUCAUUACACACAUCGACAGUAUCUCUAGAGUCAAGCCACCAAUUACAGGACUUAUCGACCAUGGCUAUGUUGAGUUUGGUAAUCAUACCAAUCUCCAAACUCUCGAUUCCUUCCGUAACCAUGGUCACUAAGUCCCUGUCUUCCACCAUAUUGGCUUUGGAAGUUAUGGCAUCAUGCUUAUUUUUGAGAAAUUUUCAAUCCUUAAUAUAGUGUCCUUUCUUAUUGCAAUUAUAACAAAUGCAAUUUUUUUUCCUUGUCUUGCACGUCAUUGGUCUUAGAUGUCGCCUUUCUCUUACCAUUUUGAGAGUUCUUGGACUUGUUCACAUGGUUCACUUUAGAACUUUGGGGAAGAUACACCGCAUCACACUUUUGAGUUUCCUCUUCAAUAACAAAUGCCUAAGUAUUUUCUCCAUAGUGAAGUCCUUUUCCAUAUGCAGAAGUUUCUUCCGAUAAUUCUUCCAAGACAAGACCAACUUUGAAAUAAUAGCGCCGACUUGUAAAAAUUCUAGAAUAACAACAUUCAAGUCACGGAGCCUGCUUACAAGGACUUGACUUGAUCCAUGAUUAGGAUACUAUCGAGCAUUUUGAAUUUGAAAUACUUCAUCAUUAAAAAUUUAUCAGUACCUUGUCAUUCGGUGUUAUAUUUCUCUUCAAGAGCUUUCCAUAUUUUUAUCAGGGAUUGCAUCAACAUGUAGAGAUCAUACAAUCGAUUAGACAAGGUGUUGAGGAUGUGUCAUCGACAUGUGAAAUUGUCUUUUUCGCUCUUUUUCUUGAGUUUAGCCACUUUCGCAAUUUUCUCAGGGUUUACAUUGGGGGCAGGAUCCUCCACAGGUUGUAGGUUUGGAUCCAGAACAUAUGCCACAUUUAAGACAAUAAGAAGCAACAACAUCUUAUCCUUCUAGCAAUUGAAGUUUGAACCAUCAAAUCGGUCAAGUUUCACAAACUCUUGGUUCAUCACUUUGAAUGCGAUGGUAGCCUCUGCUGCCAUCUCCAAAUUAGUUCUCUUUGAUUGUUGGAAAAUAUUGAGUGGAGAAGAUAGAUCCAGAGAUGAUAUUGAAUUAAACAGUAGACUUUGAGGCGCGGGUGACACUUUCCAAAGAGAAUUGUUUACCUCAACACAAAGUUGCUAGAGGGUUAAGACAAAGGUCCUCUUGGAAUAAAAACAAAGCUUUUGAAUUUCCUUUUAUUAGAAAAAUCGAAGAAUUCUAUAACUCUUACUCUAAUUUCUAAAAACAAGAUUGAUUGUAAUUGUAUUUUUGAGGACUAUAACCCUCUAUUUAUAUAUAAUCAAUGAACACUAUUUUAGAGAGUCACAAUCAUUUACAUUUGAUUUCCAUUGGACAUACUUCUUAUAAAAACAUGUCUCAUUGAAUCAAAUGUAUCAUUUGAAUAAAUCAUUACUUUCUAAUAAUUGAUCAUCAAAAAUUAUGAAUUUGCAAUUUACAAUUUCCAACAAAAAAAAUUCUAAUCACUGCAGAAAAAAAAAACUAAUUAGGUUUUACUUAGAGUAAAAAGAAAAUUGAAAGAAUAAAAAAAUGAAAUAUAUAUAAUUAUUUAUUUUCUUUGGAGUACUUGGUAGGAAGGAUGAAAAUUUUGAAAGAAAUAAUUUUCUUCCCAUUAAUUGCUCACUAUAGUUGAAAAGUAAGAAAAUGAAAUAAAACUUUUGAAAAAUGCAUAAUUCGAACUAACAUAUUUGCAAUUCUCAUUUUCUCUUCUCUUAUAAUUCGAAUUUGGAAGGAUAAAUAAAUAAUUAACACAAAUCCCACAAGCCUUUACAUGUUGAGAGUUUCCUACAACCAUAUGAUAAACAAGAGGAGUCAAAUUCGAAAUUCUAUUUUAAAGAGAAGUGAUAUUUAUCCGGACUAUUGCAAAUUAGCGUCAAUGACUGAAAUCAACUUCCUUCUCAUGAGGAGUUUUAUUCAUUACGGCACCUUCACUGACAACAUCCAUCAUAUUUCUUUCCAUAGGUUGGAGUCCUUCAUAAAAACAUUGGAUGACUAAAUGUUUCGAAAUUCUAUGUUAUAGGCAACUAGCACAUAGUUGUUUAGUCGAUUCUCGGAACGAAUGAGAUUUGUAAAGUGUCUAGAAAUACAUGCCAUAUAAAUCUGUGAUAGUGUGAUGUGUAUGAUCCGAUCUAAUCUUUGUUUUACAUAUAGACAGAAAUAAUUUUCAAUCGAGCUAUUUCAUAAAGUGUUGAAAGUGACACUAAGGUGUCUGAGUAAGAAUGUGUUUAUGAUGAGUCGAAACUUGGAAAGGUAUGAAGAAGAGUUCAUGAUAUGGAUGUGAUGAGGUACGAAAUGAAAUAGUCAUAAAUCGAGAAAUAUAAGAAAAGUGAAAUGAAAUGGAAGUUUAUCUUGUGAUGAGCGCAUCUAUGUUUAUGUGACAUUCAUAUGAUAUUAUGUGCCUGACUUGUUUGAUUAAGUAAAUGCUAUAAGUAAACUUACUCAAAAUUCAUGGAAUGUAUGUUUAAGUACACUUGUUUGAAAAGGAUAAUUGAAAAAUUCGGGUAACAUAAUUAUGUAUGUUAAUUUGCUUGAAGUGAAUUAUGUAAUUGUGAGGAUAUGAUGUUGAUGAUAAAUGCUAAGUCAUAUGAGUGUAUUUAUGAGAGUCCAGUUAGAGGCUUUACGACCUCACCCCCUUAUCAAUGUGGUAUUUUAUAACAAAAAUUCACGAUAAUUAUGUUGAAUAGUUCACAAGUGUGAAACUAAAGAGUACAGUAGUGGAAUAAUUAAAAAUGCAGACGGAGUUAAAAAUAGUUUGACAAGUGAACACAGUUUUGAAAAAGAUAUCAAAUUAUUUUAAAGAUUAUUCAAAUUACGUAAUGUCACGGUUAAAGAAUAAGUUAACCUCGGCUAAUCGACUUAUUCAGAUAUGAUGUCUAAAAUAUGUGUUUGCUGAAUUUUUUUUCGAAUUGGUUUUCGUUAGGGAAUGGAAUGAUGCAGGGUUCAUGAUGAUAGAAUUAGUAAGAGAAAUGAUAAUUGAGUAGAAAAGAUGUCUGUGUGUGUGACAGUUAUAGUUGAAACGAAUAUGAUGAUCUUUUUUAGGUAUUAUAUAUAUUCUUUUAUCCUCAAGUGUAUGUGUGUGGUUAUUCAAUUUUUGAUGGAGUUCUUAUGUUGUGAGAAUGCUAGCUAACUAUGAUGUUAGACAAAAGCCCUAUUGGUCUGGUCGGUUUAUGAUAAGUAUUUCUUCAUCUCUUUGGAAUUUUAUUCUAAUAUGUUAGAAUGAAGUCGAUGGUAAAAAAAUAAAUAAAUAAAAAUAAAUAAAAAUAUUCGAGGUUCAAUCGAAUUGUGAUUUUGAGAAGUUAGUAAAAGUGUUUCAUGAGUGUUGAAAGCAACUUCUUCUGAUAAGAUUUUCGGGGAUGAAAAUCCCUAAAGGGGGGAGAGUUGUAACAGUCUAAUUUUCAGUGGUGUCGGAACAGUGAUUCGAGAUCACUAAAUCAGACAAAUGAGUAGGAAAUAUUAUUAAUUUAGUGAGUAUAAGUUAAAUGUGAAGUUAGGAAAAAUUUUGAAGUACUGAAUAGUGUACUAAAAAUAAAUAUUAAAAUAAUUAGAAUCGAAAACGAGGUAUCGAGACCUCGAGAAUUUUAAAUCGAGCCAUAAAUAUUUUUAUAAAUAUUUAUGGAGUGUUAAUAAGUUAGUAUUAAAGUUUCGUCAAGAAAUUUUAAAGUUCUGAUAGUUAAUUGAACAAAAAGGACUAAAUUGUAUUAAAUGCAAAAUUGUGGGAAAUGAUUAAAUAGCUUAAAUGAUAAAAGAAAGAUGGUUUAAAAGGAAAAUAGACCCAAGGUCUCUUUGGGCUGGACGGCAAUGGCAUGAAAUCAGCAAGAAAAUAAGGAGAAUUAAGGGAAAAAUUGGAAAAUUGCAAAAUUUACUUAAUAAAGCUAGGACUAAAGUGGAAUUAUCUAGAUUUCUCUUUAUUUUUUCUGCAUUCUCAUCAGCAAAAACACCAUGGAAGGGUUCCCUUAAGCUUUUGUUUUCAUAUUUUUACUUCAGGUAAGUUCAAUUAUUGAUUAUUUCUUGAAUUUUUUGUGUUUUUGUGACUUUUACAACUAGGUCCACUUGUUAAAUUCAUUAGUUUUUGAUUCUAUGAAAGAAAUUGAAAGUUUCCAUGAAUAUGUGCUAGAAGUAUAUGAUGAUUUGACAUGGAAUUAGAGCUUUAAGUUGUUUAUUUGCUGAUUUUAUUGAAAGAAUUGAAUAGAAAGUGAAUGUUUGGGACCUAAUUGUAAAAGAGUUUGAAGUUAGAGUUUUAUGUAGAAAUUCUGAAAUUAAAUAGUUAUGAAAUAACUUAUAAUGUCUAGGAAAAGUAUUAAUUGAGAAAAUUAUCUUAAUUGAGGGGUUAAUUGAGCAAGGACUGAAUUGUAUGAAUUGUGAACUUUGGGGCAAAAUAGAAAUCAACAUUUUGCACUAAAACUGUUUUGGACAACAGCAGUAGUCUAACUUUGAAAAAUCACCAAAAAUUGUAUAAAUGGAAUUAGAGGAUGAAUAAAAUAUUCAAUUAAAGCUUAUUUAGUCUAGUUUCUUAUAGAAGAAAUGAUGUAAGCAAUGGAAUUGUAAAUCAUGAGAUAUGAUAAAUUUUGUGAGACAAGGUCAGAAUGAUUUCGGGUUCCCUUGUUCUUACUUUGUAAAAUCAUAAAAAAUUUGAUAAAAAUAAUUAUGGGCUUAAAUUUAUAUGUUUAGAAUCCUGAAUGAGUCUAUUUUCAAGAGAAACAAAUGGUAACAUCAUUCGAAAUUAUGAAAUAACAGAACAGGGGAGACUUUAAUGAAUAAACUGUAUUAAUUGGCCCAACCAAAAAUUAUGAAAUUUUUAUGGUAAGAAGAUAUAUGAGUCUAGUUUCAUGGAAAAUUAGAGGAUCUUAAUUUUGAGUUCCGUAGUUCCAGAUAUAAAUAAUUUAGUGACUACGACACGGGUGGAUAGUCUGAAUAUUCACAUAAGUAAUUAGUGAAAAUUAUAGAUAAGGUUACUUACGAGUGUGUUAUUUAUACCAAGGAUGUGGAUGGAGAGGAGGAGGAGGAAAAAUAUAUGAAUGACUCGUGUAUAAAUUAAACACAUGCCCGAUUAUAAUCGAUAAGUGUUGGAUUAGAAAUGAUAUAAUGUUUUAUGUGGAAUAUUUAUUAUGAAAUUAUGAUUAUCGUUAUAAUACAAAAUUUGUACUUGUGAGUUUAUAUGGAUAAAUUUUAGUGAUUAUUUGUUAAUUUUAUGAAUUUCAUGAUGUGUUAUUUCAUAUGUAUUAAUGAUAAAAUCGUGAAUGAUGUAAAAGCAUGAAAAUUGAAUAAAUGAUCAAAUUGAGCAUUUUAGUUCAGUGACAAGAUGAAUUGAAGGAAAAGACCAUAGUUGGACCAUGGCAACAAGUGAUAAGUGAUAGCUUCGGCUACACUUAUCUGAUCAAGGAUAAGUGGAAGUGAUAAGUAAUAGCUUCAGCUACACUUAUCUGAUCAAGGAUAAGUGAAAGUAAUAAGUAAUAGCUUCGGCUACACUUAUCUGAUCAAGGAUAAGUGAAAGUGAUAAGUAAUAGCUUCGGCUAUACUUAUCUGAUCAAGGACAAAUGACAAGUGAAAAGUGGUAGCUUCGGCUACCUGAUCAGUGAAAAGUGGUAGCUUCGGCUACCUGAUCAGUGAAAAGUGGUAGCUUCUGCUACCUGAUAAGUGAAAAGUGGUAGCUUCUGCUACCUGAUCAGUGAAAAAUGGUAGCUCCGACUACCUGAUCAAUGAAAAAUGGUAGCUCUGGCUACCUGAUCAGUGAAUAGUGGUAGCUUCGGCUACAAGUGACAAGUGAUUUCCGUAUAAGACCAUAUCUGGGAUAUGGCAUCAGUGAGAUAUGUGAUUCGUGUAAGACCAUAGCUGGGCUAUGGCAUCGAUAUGUGAUAUGUGAUUACGUGUAAGACUAUAGCUGGGCUAUGACAUCGAUAUAUGAAGAUGUGUAAGACCAUAGUUGAACUAUGACAUUGAGUACUCAAUUCCGUAAGACGUUCACUAAUUUGACAAAGUUUGGUAAGUGUUACAUGGAAUUAUGUGAUACAGGAAGUACGAAUUGAUAAGAUAUGAGUAUAGAACUUGGUUGAUAAAUGAAUUCAUUUGUGAUUAUAUAAUUGUUCAUCUUGAAUGUAUUGUCCAUAUGUAUUGAUAAUUCAAACGUAUUAAUGAAUAAAGUUCCGACAUUAAAUAAAUUGAACACGAGACAAAUAAUUAUAAAAUUGAACUCGGAAUUCAUGAAAAUGAUGAUUAUUGAUAUAUAGAGACAUGAGACAUUGGUAUAUGAAUAUGGAAAAUAUUUGAUAAAUGUGUUUAUUCAUAAUUAUGGAAUUAUAUACCUCAUGUGUACUAUUUGCAUAAAGAUGAUAUUUCAAAUACUUUGGUUAUUUAAGCUUAAAUAUGAAACAGUAUGAAAUCAAGAUAAGUUGUUAUAAAAAUAUAUUUAGAUUACAGAGAUAUGGCUGAUAUAUGUUGUAUGAUUACAUAACGUGAAAUUGUGUAUAUAUAUGAGAAAUUUAAUGAGAAAUGAGCCCAUACACGUUUCUUGUUAUUUAUAUGAAGUGUACGACUGACAAGGGUGAUGAAGUUAUAAACAGAGAGUUACACGGGUUGAAAACACGGGCGUGUGACUCUCUAAAGUGUGAAAAUUUUCUAAAGUGUUGCAAAAGUUUCAUAUGUUUAUGGUUUGGUCCCAAACCACCCUAAAUGUAUGUUUUGGGCCCCAUAGGCCCAUAUAAGGGACGUUAAACAUAUGUAUGAAAGUUUUUAAUUUAGAAGAAAUUUUAUGGCUGAUUUUUACAUGUGAAGACUCUUCAUGUCGUUCUACUUGAUGCCACAACUUUUUUUCUUGAUAGAUGUAACACCUCUAACCCGUAUCUGUCGUUGGAUAAGGGUUACAGAGCAUUACCAUACAACCGAAAACAUUUAAACUUAAUAUCAUUCAAUAAUAUAAUCACAUCAUAAAUCAAUUAUAUAAAUACAUACCGUCCUUAAAUCGAGCCAUCGAGGCCCUAAAAAACAUCUUAGAAGUAAAUUGAGACUAAUUUAAAAAAUUUGGAAAGCUUAGGAAAAACAUGUAAAAUUUGCAAAACAGGGGUCAUACACCCAUGUGCCAAGCCGUGUAACUCACUGAUUUGCACCUUAAAGAAAUCAUCAAAUGACACAUGGCCAUGUCGUUAGGCUGUGUGUCUCACACGGUUGAGUCACACAUCCGUAUGGACCCAAAUUUACCUCAAAUCAAGCCAUUUCAAAACCAUCUCAUGCUUUAACAUUUAGACCAAUUUUGUACACUUUCAAAGCACCAAAAGUUCACCUAAACACACAUACAUUUGCCACUUCCAAAAUCUUAAUUCAACUAACCAAUAUCCCAAUCAAGGUACCACAAUUAAUAUCAAAAUAUCACCUACCUGGACAUGUUCAUAUGCCUAAUUCUAUGCAGACAAUUCUAGACCAUUUAAGUAUUAAAAUAUACCUCAUUUAGCCAUUCCCAAAACAUACAAAACAUACCAUAAAAAACCAUUAUCAAGCAAUAAAAACUUACCAAAAGAACCUUAUAUACAUGCACUUAUAAGUGACCAAAAUGACUUACUUAGGCAAGCAUUAUAAGUUCAUCAACAAACCAUAAGCAUCAAAGCACAAACAUACCAAGUUACCAUUUUACAUGUUUAUCAAAAACGCCAUUAUAAACCAUCCUAUACAUGUUACCCUAUACAUGCCAUUAUAAACCUUAACCAAAUUACUAAAAAACUACCGAAUUGUCCACUGGAUAGUGUGAUAGAUCUCUGACAAGCUUCCAAACUGAUCGAGUUUCUGACAAUCUAUAAAACAAAAGAAAAUGAUUACGUAAGCAAUGAAUGCUUAGUAAGCUCGUAUGAACUUAGAACAUAACUUACCAUUUCAAUAAUGAAAUUUAUAGAAUAAGUACAAACCGUUACCAAUGCCAUAAGGUUAGUAAAAGCCUAUAUAACAUUAUCAAUCUCACAAGUUACUAUAUUUGUUCAUAAUUCACAUGAAAUCAAUCACGUAUAAUAUAACAUUUAAUUAAUCAUCCUUACUAUAUGAUCAUGUUUCAUUCCAUUUACUUACUUAUUGUUUCCAAUACCAUGAGUUUAAUAUAAGCUUAUUCAAGCAUCAUCAUGCUUACAUAUUAGUAGAUUCAUUGAUAAUCUUUUAAACUCAUUUAUAACAUAAAUAGAUUUCAUAAGAUACAUUACAUAAGCAUAAACCUUUUCAUACCGUUAUGAACCUUUCCAUUAAGUCACCUAUCGUUUCAUUCCUUUUCUUACCCGUUGAACCAUAUAGAAUUACAUAUACUCGGGAAAGCUCACACGAAGUGUACCUUUACAUAUAAUCAUAAUCUUUCCUUUACAUCAAUUCUCACACGAGUUGUGGAAUGGGCAUGCUCACACAAGCUGUGGGUCAGAAUAUAAGUUAUACGAUGUUGCUCACAUGAGUUAUGGAGAAUCCACAACAAAUGUAGGAUCCCAAUUAUCGGUAGGACAUUCAAGACCAACACCUGAAACAUGAAAUCCCUAAUGACAUGUCAUUUGUAUCCUAAGAAUUCUUAAGGUUCAACCGAGACUCGAUAUCCAUCAAUUCGUCAUAAUAUGGAUACGUUCACAUAUAUAUUGAUUCAUUUUCAUUAAAUACAACAUAGUAAACAUUUAAUUAAAUUAAUAUUAUAAUGAUUACAGUUCAUACAAACUUACCUAACUAAAUUGCAGCAAUGACUAAGUACAGGGGCUAUUUGGUAAUUUUCUCUUCUCCUCGAUUUUUCACUCAUUCUUGAUCUAAAAUAAUAGUUCCAUUCAAUUCACUAAUUCUAACAAAAAAAUCAAAUUCAUUUUUAUGCAAUUAAUUCAUUUUUGAUAUUUUACAAAAUUUCCCCAAAAUUUAUCCUUUUUGCAAUUUACUCUCUAAACCUGAAACUUGCAAUUUCAUUAUUUUUAAUAUAAAUCACGCUAGCCAAUUUUUACCCAAUCUUAUAACAGCCCAUAUUUAUUCAAAAUUUACAAUAUUUUCCUUGAAUUUUACCAUUUUCAUAAAUCAAUCCCUAAACUUGAAAAUCAUCAAAAAAUACUUAACAAAAUACUUAUAUUCAACAACCAAGCUUAAUAUCAUAAAAUUCCAAGAACAUCACAAAUUCACCCAUAGUAAAUUUCUGUAUACUUAACAAUUUAACAAAUUAACCCUCAGAUUAACUAGAUUAAGUUAAUACGAUACCAUAAAUAUCAAAUCCAUUAAAACCGGGUAGAAAUUACCUACCAUGCAUGAAGAAAUAGCUUUUUAGCUUGGCUUCCAUGGAGUAUUUGGUUAGACAAAGAAAGAGAUUAAAAAUGAAAAAGAUGAUGAUAGGUUUCAUCUUUUAUUUUAAUUUUACUUAUUUACCAAUUUACCUUAUUAACCUUUUUAAACCAUUUAAAUUUCAAUAAAAUUUAUCCAUAUUUAUCCACUAAUAUAAAAAAGGUAUAUUUACCUUUUAAAACCCUUAGCUUAUGGUUCUUUAGCCAAUUAAUACAAUUAAGCUAAUAGCAAUUGACUUUUGUAUCCUUUACAAUUUAGUCCUUUUUAAUUAAUUAACUAUCUAAACAUUAAAAUUUUUUAACCAAAUUUUAAGACGGCCUUAAUAACAUUCCGUAAAUAUUUUAUUAAAUAUUUAUGGCUCGAUUUAUAGAAACGAGGUCCCGAUACCUCAUUUUUUAAAACUACUUGACUUUAUAGUCAUAUCAGUUGGACCUAAUUAUUCAUUCAAAUAACAUAAUUUUCCAAUUCAAAAUUUAUUUUAAUACUAUAAUUAACUCAUAAAUAUUUAAUAAUAUUUACGAGCUCACUUGUCGAAUUUGUGACCCCAAAACUACUAUUUUUGACACUACUAAAAAAUCAAGCUAUUAAAAUAGAAGUAGCACGUCAAGUAGAAAAGAAUUAUCAAGAAAUAACCUUAUUAUGUCAAUUCAUGUGGUUAUAGAUUCAGGAGGUAAAUAAAAUAGUCAAUUCUUCACCUUGUCGGCUAGCGAAGAGGGUAAGGCUCUUAGUUUGAUUUGCUCUUUGAUCAGUCAUUGCCGUCUCAUAGUAGAACACACUACAUAAAAGCCCUUCAAGCACUUAUGAGGAUCUUCGUUUGUUUGACCAUGAAAAGUAAGCAAUAAAUGAAUUAGUCCAGAUUUUAAUUCAAAAGAUACCUCUAAUUUAGGAUAUUGAUGCACAACUGUUGUUGCUUCAGAUUCUACGUAGCUAACUCUCUCAUUGUUGGUUCUAAACGAGCCAUUGGUUCUUCUCCUUUUUGAUUUGGUAGAUGAAGGCGACUGGUUAAUUCUCUCUUGAACUCCCUUCCUUAGUCUUCGAGCAGUUUUCUCAAUCUCAAAAUUGUAUUAGAGUUCACCUACAUGAGAAGACCAAAAUUUUAAUUAAUAUAUUUUAUGGUUGAGCAAAAAGAAAGACUGAAGCAUAAAAAGGAACAUAAACAAAAUAAAAUUAAAAAUAAUAGAUAGAAAAAAGUAUUAAAAUUAAUCCUCGACAAAAACGCCAAAAUUUGUACAGUUUUCAAGACCUAAAAAAGUAAAAUUCUAUUAAAAAAAUAUAAAUUUAGUACAUAGCAGUGAGUAGAGUCAUAUUUAUAGAGAUCGGUAAUAAUUUUAUUUCUUAAAUAAAAAAAAGGAAAAUAAAUAUGAUGGGGGUUUAGAAAAUAAAAUACUAAAAUUAAAUUUAAAUGUUAACCAAGAAGGUAAUAAUUAAAAUUGAAGAAAACCAACAUGAUGAAGCUCUAGCCAAAUGUAAAAUAUAUCUUUGAUUCACAAGUUUAAUCAUUGAUGCAUAGAUAAUUUUAUUGUUUUUUAAUAAACUAGUUAUAGUUGCUGAUGUCACGCUUAGCAAUCAGUCUCUUUUUUACCUUAUCGAUAACCAAAAGCUCGUUGAAAUUAUUCCCCUUAUCAAUGAACAACCCCAUAAUUUUACCCUUAGAAUUUAGUUUACUGAUAAAAUUACGAACAAGAUAAACUUAAUUUUAACCAACAAACGCACCAAAUAGAGUUUAUUUAAGCUAGAUCGCAUGUGUACACAACAUUGAUUGCAUACGUAAUUAUGGUAUUUUUCACAAGCAUUAGAAUGAAUUAAAUAAUUAUAAAUUUUUUUUAUUGACAAAGUAAAUAUUCUAAGUUAUCAAAUAUGAGUCCUAUAUUUAAAAAAAAACCUAAAUAUUUGUAAUUAAAUUAAAAAAACAUGUGAAUACUAAAGAAGAAAAAAACAUGUAAAUUUUCACAUAGAAACUGUCAGGCUAGGCCAUUUUUAGACACUUUUGGACUUUUUUUGAGUUUGAGUUGUGAAAUAAUUUUAGUUAAAAUUUUCAAUUCCAUAUGAAAUGGUAUAUUAUAAAUUCAAAAUAAAACUUUAUAAUUUAAGUUAUAUGACUAAAAUAUUACAGCAGUAUAAUGAUGAAAGUCUAAACUACAAAAUUUACCAAAAAAGUUGUAAUAUCUUUUUCUCCCAAUAUUUCCAUAAAUCUAUAAUAUAAAAAACAUAAAAUUAAAUAAUAUAAUUAACAACUUAAAUAAUAUAAUUGAAUAGUAUAAUUCAAGAAUAUUACAAAUAAAUUAAUAUUGAUGCACUUAUAGAAACCAAGGCUUCCGCUCAAUCACGAGAGACGCUUUCCCAAGACAAUCUUACCGUAAUCAAAAGGAGGUCAAUCCACAACCGGCUAAGCCUUAACCUAAACCAUGCUGUUCAUCAAGAUUAAAUAUCUCAUCGAAAAAGUCGUCCUGUUGUCUUUUGGGUUGCUAUUAGCUCCAUUGGCCAUGGAUUCUACAAGAAAGUUGUGUUGACAUUGAUGAUUUGGUUUAAGCUAUUGGUACCAGUAUUGUCAAAGCGUCAGGUAGAAUGUAUAACAGAUGGCUUGACCAUUGCUGACUUUUACCAAUCCAGCAUGUUUUAAAACUUGGUGGUAGUUGCUGCUACUGGUUAUGUAUCGAGUUGCUGGGAUACUAGUUAUGUUUCAUUGUGCUAUUGGAAACAUGGUUUGUUGUUGGGAGUUUAUUUGUUGUCAGAUUUUCUAUGUUAUGGUUCCUGGUUUGUUGUUUGAUGAUUCGAUGGAUGGAUGCAGAAGUUGGAGAAACCAUAGAGUAUAAAUUUAGUCAAAAGAUAAAAUAGUAAAGGCCAUUUUGUUUUAUUUUUCCAUAAUAUUAUACAAAUAGUCACCAUGUAUAUAUACAUGGCACUGACAUGAUUGUGAAGGCCUACACACUUUCUAAUGGUUCUACUGGCUAUCAAAUUUUUUUACUAUAAUAGUAAUACAGGUAAUGCAGCAGCAAGUAUCACACUAUUAUUUAAUUUUGAUAGCCUUAAUUACCACCACAGCUUGAUGAAGAAGCAAAGGCAGUUAUGCCUCUAACUCAAAUGAUGCCUUCAUUGUGGGUGAACGACUCACGGGAUCAAUUUCAAUAGAUGCAUUGUAUCCAAACUUUGUAACUUUAAAUUUUGGUUUUCCUCUUUUCUCAAGGUUGGUUUUGAUUUGCCCCCAGUGAACAGGUUGUCUCUGGAUAUCAGUAUAGACCUGCAGCAUGCAUGCAAAUGGCAUGCAAAUGGUCAUAGAUUAAAUGAUUAUAUAUACGCAUUCUAACUAGUUAAUUAAUGAUAAGAUUGAAUUGAAUGCAACAAAUACCUUGCUGUUCUCAUCUAGUGGGUUGCUCCAGGCAACAACCCACUUGGUUCCAUCACGUCGCCUGUACACAAGACCAGCAACUGAACCAUGACUAUCAGCAUCAUCAGUCACUGAUUCAUGUGUAAACUCACUCGAAUCUCCAUCUUCAAUUAUUUCUGGGAAAUCCGCAUAAUGAGAGCCUUGCCAAACUUUCUUGUCAGUCAAGGUUAGAGCUUCGCUGGAAGAGUUCCAAAGCUUGCCGUUUGUGCAUUGUUGAGCUCUUUUCAUUUGAAAAUUAGCCAUGGUAGCUUUGUAUGUGCUUUGGUUAGCUAAAGUUUGUUUUGGUUGUGUUAUGCUUCAAAUAUUGCAAUACACACCUACUUAUAUACUAGUUUACACCAUGCAUGCAUUGUCCAUAACAACAACGUUUAUGCGCAUGAAAUUAUUUGACUUCAUUCACAUUAAAACUUUUUUAUAUUCUUUUUCCCUUUUUUUAUUCAUAUUCUUGAUGUGUCUUUUCACUUUUAAGUACAAAUUCUUUUCAAUUAAAGAAAUAUUUUUAAAGUAUUUGGAUUUUUUUGAUAAAGUAUUAUUUUUUAAAUUAAAUAAUUAACAAUAUAAAGGUAAACUACUUUCAUUAUGAUCUAAACUAUUAGUAAGUUUAUGUUUGGUUAUUCAAUUUAAAAAAAACAAGCUACAAAUUGAAUAUUAAACUAUUCAAAAAGUUUAUUUAAGUCAAUGAGCUAUUAAAGUUGUUGUUGUAUGACCUUCUCUAUUUGCACCACCUGUAUCUAUCAAAAGUUCUCAUUCCCCUUCUCUUCUACAAUUCACUUUUUUCUCAAGAAAUAACUUUUAACCUCGUGAAUCUGCGAACCAAAAUUCAAACAAAUUUUUUCUCCCAUCACUGACAUUGAUAGUCAAAUCAACUUGGAUAUAAAAUAUGUUCUACUACUUGUUAAUGGUUUUUGAUCCACCAUACCGAUCAUUGAAUCAUUGCUUGAAGCUUGCUAGCAGGACUUUAAAAUAAAACUUUAAUAACCUAGUGACUUCAAUAAAAACUUUCAAAUAGUUCAAUGACCAUUUUAUAAUUAUUUAAAAUUGAAUAACUAAAACAUAAAUUUACUAAUAAUUUAAUAUGAAUAAAAUAUAAUUGUUGGGGACUCAAACUAAACUCACAUCACAUAAUUAAAUAAAUAAUUUCAGCGGAUGUAUUACAUAAAAAAAUUAGUACAUAAUAAAAAAAGUCAUCUCAAAAUUAAAAGCUUCAAAAACAUACUUAAAUCUUAAUUAUAUAUUUUUAAGAAUUAUUGAAAUAAUUUUCUUUUACUAACUAGUGUCAGUUUCUAGUACUUACACAACUCCAUGUACAUCAUUAUCCUGGUAACCUAAUAGUCACCAAAGCAUAAGUAUACAUACAACUAGCGUGACUUAAACCCAAGCCACAACUGGAAUGAUGAACACCUUUAACUAUCAAGCUAUUACAUGAGAUUCAUAUUAAAUUUUAAUAUGUUAAUGAUAUGUUUGAAAUAUUUUUUAUAUUGAUACUGUAUUUGUAUUAAUAAUUAAAUAACUUUAAAUGUAAUUUAAUUUUAAUAACAUUAACCAUUUUUCCAUUAAACUUUGAAUCCCUUUGAAAAAAAUAGUGAUUUGUGUAUUAAGCAUAAAUUUUUGUUGGAAAAAAAGGGAAUAAAACUUUGCAUUUGAGAUGCUGAAAGGCUAAGGUAUUAAAGCAAUGAGACUUUUAGUAUGGAGCUGAAUUUUGUUAUAUUAUAAAAUAUGCUUUAAGUUUCAAGACAUUAUUAGUGGAGUUAGAUGUGUUUAGGUGACACUUUCAUGAUUUUGACAAGUUAAUUACUUGUUAUAUGCAAUGUUUUGUUUUUCAGUUGAUCAAUGAAUUAUUUUUCAUCAAAAUUCUUCUUGUUUCUGUUUCAAUCCAAGCUAUAUUUUCUUGUUCUUCUAGCUCGUGUUUCUUAUUUUGUUUAGCAAGUCACUAUUGCUUAAAGCUUAAGACUUUGCUGUAAUUGCUUAGUGAUAACUCUCAACUCCAAUAAUUUGUAUCGGGAGCUGAUUUCUUAGAUGACCUUUCUCUUUUCUACUUUAAAAAACAAUGUUUUCAUCAAGUUUCUCUCCAGCACCACCACCAGUAUUCAAUAGUGAAGCCUACCACAUUUGGGUAGUCAAACUGAAAACCUACCUGCAGGCAUUUGACUUUUGGGAAGCUAUCAAUGCUGAUGUUAAACCACCACCCUUGAGAGCUAACCCAUGGUAGCUCAAAUCAGGCAGCACUUUGAUGACAAAGCCAAGAGGUAUAAGGCAAUGUCAUGCAUCCAAAACAGUGUGUCAGACUUGAUUUUCACAAGGAUCAUGGCCUGUGAGACUCUAAAACAGGCUUGGGACAAGAUUAAAGAAGAGUUUCAAUGCACUGAAAAAACAAGACAACAACAAAUUUUAAACUUAAGAAGGGAUUUUGAAAACCUAAAGAUGAAUGAGUCAGAGAUAGUUAAACAAUACUCAGACAGGAUUAUGGCUAUUGUGAACAGCAUCAGAUUGCUUAGAGACCAAUUCAGUGAAGCCAGAAUAGUAGAGAAGGUUAUUUCAACCUUACCAGAGAGAUAUGAAGCCAAAAUCUCUUCCUUGGAAGACUCAAGAGGUCUGUCAAACAUCUCUUUGACUGAACUAGUCAAUGCCCUCUAUGCUCAAGAACAAAGAAGAGCUAGCAGACAGGAUGAGCAUCAAGAAGGUACCUUUUAAGCCAAGAGCAAACCAACAUCGAGCUCCUUUGGCUAUAAAGGGAAGAAAACUUGGUCAAACAAGCCUAGAAGAGAUGGAGCAAGAAGAAGGUAUCCACAUUGCUCUCUUUGUAAAAGGAUUAGCCAUUCAGAAGCAAACUGCUAGUAUAGACCUGAUGUGCAGUGUAAAAUUUGCAAACAAAUGGGCCAUGUUGAGAAAGUGUGCAAGAACAAAAACUAACAAAAGGAACAUCAAACUCAGCAGCCUAAAACAGAAGCUCAAAUGGGAGAAGAGAGUUGUAGUCAGGAAGAACAAGUAUUUUUUGUCUCUUGCUCAGCUACCAAAAGAAAAGCCACAAAAGGGUGGCUGAUUGAUAGUGGUUGCACAAACCACAUGACACCUGAUGCUGCUAUUUUCAAGAGCAUUGAUAGAAGCUUUAACACUAGAGUAAAAGUGGACAAUGGACAUUACAUUAAAGAAGAAAGCAAGGAGAUGUGCUGAUUGACACUCCUUCAAGUACCAAACUUGUUUCUAAUGUUCUAUUAGUACCUGAAAUUGAUAGAAAUUCUAAGUAUUGCUCAGAUUUUUGAAAAGGGAUACUCUGUAGUAUUCAAAGGCAAAGAGUGCCUGAUUAGUGAUCCAAGUGGAUCCAAUCUCAUGUCAGUAACCAUGACUGAUAGAAGCUUUCUUGUUGAUUGAAACAAGAUUUCAGUUAGUGCCUACACAACUGCAUUAGAUGAAUCCAAACUGUGGCACAAAAGGUUUGGCCAUGUCAAUUAUAAGUCUUUACUGCACUUGUCUAAAGAAGACUUUCUUGAAAAUUUCACAAAAACAGUUUGAAAACAGGAUGUUUGUGAAGUGUGUCAGCUAAGAAAGCAAGCUAGACUACCAUUUCCUACUAAUAAGGCCUAGAGGGCCUCUAAAAAAUUGCAAUUUGUCCACACUGAUAUGUGCGGCCCUAUAAAGACUGAAUCUUUGAAUGGCAGCAAGUAUUUCAUCAUUUUCAUUGAUAACUACUUAAGAUUCUGUUGGGGCUAUUUUCUCAAGUAUAAAUCAGAAGUAGCUUCAGUGUUUUCAAAGUUCAAGGCUAUAACAGAAACUCAGUCAUGGUGCAAGCUUAAGACACCAAGGUCAAACAAUAGGACAGAAUACACCUCAGCAGUGUUUCAGACCUUUUGUGAGGAAUCAGGCAUUGAACACCAACUCACCAACACCUAUACACCUCAGCAGAAUGGUGUUAGUGAGAGAAAGAAUCGAACUCUGAUGGAUAUGGCCAGAUGCUUGUGUUUGAAAGGAAUUUGCCAAAAAGCUUUUGGGCUGAGGUAGUUAGUACUGCAAUAUACCUUCAAAACAGGCUACCAACUAAACCACUGCUUGAAAAAACACCAUUUGAAGCUUGGUUUGGGUUCAAACCAUCAGUUUCUCACUUGAAGGUCUUUGGUUGCAUAUGUUAUGCACAUAUUCCUGUAGUCAAGAGGGACAAAUUGGAAAAGAAGUCUCAGCCUAACAUUCUAGUUGGCUAUAGCAAUGUCAAGAAGGGCUAUGAGAUUCUGGAUCCUACAACUUACAAAGUCUUUUUGAGUAGAGAUGUUGUGUUUGAUGAGAGAUCAAGCUAGAAUUGGGAUAAAAGUGAACCAGAAUGUGCUGGUCAAGACUUGGUGACAGGGCAAACCGAAGCUGAUAAAAAAUGUCCUAAGAUGGACAUAUAUCAUGAGCCUGUUAGGGGAACUAGACCACUAAGUGAAAUAUAUGAGAGGGAAAAUGUAACUAUUAUUGAGCCAAUUUGUUUUGAAGAAGCUCAAGCUCAAGAAGGCUAAAGGCAAUCCAUGCUUGAUGAAACGAGCAUGAUUCACAAAAACCAGACCUUAGAGUUAGUUGCAAGACUAGUUCACAAGAAGGUCAUUGGAGUAAAAUAGGUGUUUCAAGCCAAGCAUAAUACUAAUGGAACUUUGAACAAGCUAAAAGCAAGGUUGGUUGUGAAGGGGUUUUGUCAGAAAUAUGGGAUUGACUACCUUGAAACAUUUGCACCAAUGGCAAGGCUUGAUAUAAUCAGAUUAUUGGUUGCAUUAGCUGCUCAAAGGUAAUGGAAAAUACAUCAACAUGACGUAAAAUCUAUCUUCCUCAAUGGAUUUCUUGAUGAGGAGAUAUAUGUUGAACAACCAGAAGGUUUUAAAGUUGCUGGUGAAGAAGACAAAGUUUACAAGCUAAAAAAGGCCUUCUAUGGCUUAAAAUAGGCACUAAGGGCAUGGUAUGACAGAAUUGACACGUAUCUAGCAAGCUUGGAGUUCGAGAGAAGCAUUAGUGAGCAAACACUAUAUGUAAAAAAGGAAGGUGAUGAAACACAGCUCAUAGUCUCCUUGUAUGUGAAUGACUUACUGGUAAUAGUAGGAAAUAACGCUAUGCUGUCUGAAUUUAAAAGCAAGAUGGAGACUGUGUUUGAAAUGUCAGAUUUGGGUGAAAUGUCCUGCUUCCUUGGCAUGGAAGUGUCUUCGACUCAACAAUGAAUUUUCUUAAGCCAAAAGGCAUUUGCCUUGAAAAUUCUGAAUAAAUUCUCCAUGCAAAAUUGCAAGGCAACUAGCACACCAGUUACUGUUGGAGAAAAAUUAUCAAGCCAAUGUGAUUUCGAGAAAAUGAAUGAAUCAACCUAUAGGAGCCUAGUGGGAUGUUUGCUUUACUUAACAGCCACAAGGGCAGGCAUAAUGUAUGCAGUUAGUCUCAUAUCUAGGUUCAUGCACUGUUGCAAUGUGAACUACUUUCAAGCUACAAAGAGAGUCCUCAAGUAUAUUAAAGGCACUCUGAGCUUUGGGAUGAUGUUUACCUAGGUUGACAGCAUGAAGCUCCUUGGUUUUGCUAACAGUGACUAGGCAGGAUUGAUAGAUGACAUGAAAAGCACCUUAGGGUAUCUGUUUACCCUUAGUUCAGCUGUUUUCUAUUGGAGAUCAAAGAAACAGUACAUUGUAGCUCAAUCAAUAGCUGAAGCAGAAUAUGUAACAGCUGCAGAGUAAUUUGGUUAAGGAAGAUCAUGGUAGAUAUAAACUUGCAUCAAAGAGAAGCAACAUAGAUCAAAUGUGACAACCAAUCUGCUGUUGCAAUUGCAAAGAAUCCAGUGUUUCAUGGGAAAACAAAGCAUUUUAAGAUCAAGUUGCAUUUUGUUAGGGAAAUGGAACAAUCUCAAGAAAUCAGACUGGUUUAUUGCAGUUCUGAAGAUCAGUUAGCAGAUUUCUUGACAAAGCAUCUUUGUGUGUCAAGGUUCAAGAAUUUGAGAGCCAAGUUGGGAGUUUGCAGCAUGGAAGCCAAGGAGGACUAUUAGAGGUUGGCUUACAUGCAGCUCUUGAGAUCGGGCCAUGCAAUUAGCAGCUAAAGCACAUGCAGCUGUCAUUUUGAUGUUUUUGAUGAUGUCUUGUUUUAGUUACAAUUGAACUAAGUUUGUAAUGAAUUUGUUGUAAUUUGGUGCUGAUAGAUUUGAUAAAUCAACUUAACCAAGCGUGCAAGCAAUGUUUUAUAAGUUUCAAGACAUUGUUAGUAGAGUUAGGUGUGUUUAGGUGACACUUUCAUGAUUUUGACAAAUUAAUUACUUGUUAUAUGUAAUGUUUGGUGUUUCAGUUGAUCAAUGAAUCACUUUUUAUCAAAAUUCUUGUUUCUGCUUUAAUCCAAGCUAUCUUUUCUUGUUCUUCUAGCCCGUGUUUCUUCUUUUGUUCAGCAAGUCACUAUUGCUUAAAGCUUAAGACUUUGCUGUAAUUGCUUAGUGAUAAGUCUCAAGUCCAACACAUGGUUUGUUGGUGGGAGUUUAUUUGUUGUCAGGUUUUCUAUGUUAUGGUUCCUGGUUUGUUGUUUGAUGAUUCGAUGGAUGGACGCAGAAGUUGGAGAAAAGAUAGAGUAUAAAUUGAGACAAAAGAUAAAAUAGUAAAGGCCAUUCUGUUUUAUUUUUCCAUAAUAUUAUACAAACAGUCAACCAUGUAUAUACACAUAGCACUGACAUGAUUGUGAAGGCCUACACACUUUCUAAUGGUUGUACUGGCUAUCAAAAUUUAUUACCAUAACAGUAGUAAAGGUAAUGCAGCAGCAGGCAGCACAUUAUUAUUUAAUUUUGAUAGCCUUAGUUACCAGCAUAGCUUGAUGAAGAAGCAAAGGCAGUUAUGCCUCUAACUCAAAUGAUGCCUUCAUUGUGGGUGAACGACUCACGGGAUCAAUUUCAAUAGAUGCAAUGUACCCAAACUUUGUAACUUUAAAUUUUGGUUUUCCUCUUUUCUCAAGGUUGGUUUUGAUUUGCCCCCAGUGAAUAGGUUGCCUUUGGAUAUCAGUAUAGACCUGCAGCAUGCACGCAAAUGGCAUGCAAAUGGUCAUAGAUUAAAUGAUUAUAUAUACGCAUUCUAACUAGUUAAUUAAUGAUAAGAUUGAAUUGAAUGCAACAAAUACCUUGCUGUUCUCAUCUAGUGGGUUGCUCCAGGCAACAACCCACUUGGUUCCAUCACGUCGCCUGUACACAAGACCAGCAACUGAACCAUGACUAUCAGCAUCAUCAGUCACUGAUUCAUGUGUAAACUCACUCGAAUCUCCAUCUUCAAUUAUUUCUGGGAAAUCCGCAUAAUGAGAGCCUUGCCAAACUUUCUUGUCAGUCAAGGUUAGAGCUUCGCUGGAAGAGUUCCAAAGCUUGCCGUUUGUGCAUUGUUGAGCUCUUUUCAUUUGAAAAUUAGCCAUGGUAGCUUUGUAUGUGCUUUGGUUAGCUAAAGUUUGUUUUGGUUGUGUUAUGCUUCAAAUAUUGCAAUACACACCUACUUAUAUACUAGUUUACACCAUGCAUGCAUUGUCCAUAACAACAACGUUUAUGCGCAUGAAAUUAUUUGACUUCAUUCACAUUAAAACUUUUUUAUAUUCUUUUUCCCUUUUUUUAUUCAUAUUCUUGAUGUGUCUUUUCACUUUUAAGUACAAAUUCUUGUCAAUUAAAGAAAUAUUUUUAAAGUAUUUGGAUUUUUUUGAUAAAGUAUUAUUUUUUAAAUUAAAUAAUUAACAAUAUAAAGGUAAACUACUUCCAUUAUGAUCUAAACUAUUAGUAAGUUUAUGUUUUGGUUACUCAAUUUAAAAAAACAAACUACAAAUUGAAUAUUAAACUAUUCAAAAAUUUUAUUUAAGUCACUGAGCUAUUAAAGUUAUUGUUGUAUGGCCUUCUCUAUUUGCACCACCUGUAUCUAUCAAAAGUUCUCAUUCCCCUUCUCUUCUACAAUUCACUUUCUUCUCAAGAAAUAACUUUUAACCUCGUGAAUCUGCGAACCAAAAUUCAAACAAAUUUUUUCUCCCAUCACUGACAUUGAUAGUCAAAUCAACUUGGAUCUAAAAUAUGUUCUACUACUUGUCAAUGGUUUUUGAUCCACCAUACCGAUCAUUAAAUCAUUACUUGAAGCUUGCUAGCAGGACUUUAAAAUAAAACUUUAAUAACCUAGUGACUUCAAUAAAAACUUUCAAAUAGUUCAAUGACCAUUUUAUAAUUAUUUAAAAUUGAAUAAAUAAAAGUUAAAUUUACUAAUAAUUUAAUAUGAAUAAAAUAUAAUUGUUGGGGACUCAAACUAAACUCACAUCACAUAAUUAAAUAAAUAAUUUCAGCGGAUGUAUUACAUAAAAAAAUUAGUACAUAAUAAAAAAAGUCAUCUCAAAAUUAAAAACUUCAAAAAUAUACUUAAAUCUUAAUUAUAUAUUUUUAAGAAUUAUUGAAAUAAUUUUCUUUUACUAACUAGUGUCAGUUGCUAGUACUUACACAACUCCAUGUACAUCAUUAUCCUGGUAACCUAAUAGUCACCAAAGCAUAAGUAUACAUAUAACUAGCGCGACUUAAACUCAAGCUACAAUUGAGAUGAAUACCUUUAACCAUCAAGCUAUUAUAUGAGAUUCAUAUUAAAUUUUAAUAUGUUAAUGAUAUGUUUGAAAUAUUUUUUAUAUUGAUACUGUAUUCAUAUUAAUAAUUAAAUAACUUUAAAUGUAAUUUAAUUUUAAUAACAUCAACCAUUUUUUCAUUAAACUUUGAAUCCCUUUGAAAAAAUAGUGAUUUGUGUAUUAAGCAUAAAUUUUUUGUUGGAAAAAAAGGGAAUAAAUUUUUUGUUGGAAAAAAAGGAAAAAAACUUUGCAUUUGAGAUGCUGAAAGGCUAAGGUAUUAAAGCAAUGAGACUUUUAGUAUGGAAAUGAAUUUUGUUAUAUUAUAAAAUAUGCUUGAAUGGAAAGUUUUGUUUUUAUUUUCAUUAUAACAAACUAAAAUGAAUUAAUAUAUUAACUAAUAAACAUGGCUAUCAAAUUGUUAAUUGAUUGGACCACUAGAGGUUCUUCUGCAUUCUUAUGAUGUGAUUCUGGUGUUUAGCUUUGUCUGAUGUUACUCCUUUGUUAUGUUGGAUCCUUGGAAUUUGCCUCAUGAUUUUUCUCAAACGCAUAAUAAAUUUUACUUAAUUUUUCGUCAAUUUAUAUUAAAAUAGAUAAAUAAAAGUUAAUAUCUGUUAACUUUGCUGAUAUCACACAUACGUGAAUGACGCAUUAACAAUAAAUUAAUAUUUUAAAAUUUCAAAAUUUAAAAUUAUUAAAAAAGUAUAUAAUAUAUUUUUAAUCUUUUAAAAAUUAAUCAAUUGCUAACGUAGUAUACAUGUGGCAGUCCAUGUAGACUGACGUUAACAAAUAAUAUAAGUUCAAAAAAUAAAAUAGACAAAAAUUUAAGUAGAAAUUUAAAAUAAUUUUUUUAUAAAAUUAAAAAGUCAAAUAAAUAAUUAAAAAAAACACGUAGAAACAUACAAGUAACAAUUUCAACAUUGAAGUUAUCUCUACAGAAAAUACGGAUCUGUAUAUUCUUAUUCAACCAUGAAUUCAAUAUAUAAUUUUUAACUUUAAAUAUGAGAUAAUAUUUGAUGCAUUGUUAGUUUUUAAGUUUUAUGUACCAUCAAUUAAUAAUAUGAAACAUCAUUACUGGUAUAAAAUAAAAAGUAUUGAAAGACUUGAAAAUAAAUACAUUUAAUUUUAUUUUUUUAUUUAAACAUAAUUAAAUAUUAGCUAUAAUUUUUAUUGAUCUUUCGGAUUUUAGAUUCCAAUUUCUUUUGGGUUUUUAUUGGAAAAUAUGGACAUCACAUACAUAAUAAGGAUAAUUGAUAGGUUAGCCUAAAUUAAAACUGAUCUAAUUUGGUUAGAAUUUUAUUGGGUUUUAAUUAUUAAAUAAAGUAUGGGUUAAAUAUGUGUAGAUACUCUAGUAAUUGAGUUCUAAUCAACUUCUAAUUAGAAUUUGAUUAGAAUUAAUAUGCCAAGGUCAUAAAUAUUAGGGUUAUGGUUCCCAAAUUAUACACAAUAUAUCUUUUCUAAUAUCUCAUCAUUAGGAAAGAGAGAGUAGAUAUUUUCUGAAUUUCUUGUGGAUCAAAUCCUCAAGAUAUGGUAAAAAUUUAAGGAAUUCAUGGAUUCAAGUAUGCUUCCGCAUGUAGUUUUGUUCUUGAUUUAUUCUUGAUGAUUUGACAUGAUAGAUCCUGGUUUAUUCAGUUUUAUUUUAGAUUUAUUUUAUAAAUCUAAUAAGUGGCAUCCGAGCCUCGUCAUGUUGACUCAUUAAGAACGAAUUAAUUCUCUAUUUUUUUUGAUUCAUUUAUUUUUUAGAUUUUAUGAAUUUAUUAUCUCAAUUAUAAACAUUAAAUCUUUUAAAUUUAUAUUAAAUAUUUUAGGGUUUGAAAUAGAAAUUGGGCAAGUGAUAAUGCUUAUGAGGAUUUAUGUUGAAAUUUUAGGGUUUUAAAUUUUUUUUAUGAAUUUGGUUUUUGAGGAAAUUGUUGUGUGAAUCAAAUUAUAGUUUAUUUAUAUUUUUAGAUUAAAGUUUUGUUAAAAGUUGAUAUUGAUGCUUGCGUUUCAUUACGAAAUCAGACACAUUGAUUUUUCUUUAAUAAUUAUGCAUCUAUUUAAAAUAUAUAUAUAGAAAUUGAUAUAUGUUUCGUUUAUAUAUAUAUAUAUAAUAUGCAUGCUUUAAUUGGUUUAAUGCAUGUUGUUUUGGAAAAUUAUAUAAAUAUAUAUGAUUAUCUUUUAAUUUGAUUGAAAGAUGAAAUUAAGGUAAAUACUUUGAAACAAAUAAAUUCAGAUUUUAGCUUUUAAUUAAGGAUGUCUACUAUUUUAAAUAAAUUAGUUGAAAUAAAAUGCCACCAAAAUGACAUCUUUUGUGUAGAUUAGUUUAUUUGAAAUAUUAAGAUGAUUAUAUGUUUUUAUGAUUCAUGCGUUUAUUGAUUGACCCAAAGUUAAAUUAAUAUUUGACAGAAUUUCAACGACAUAUGUGGUGAUAAAUGUGUGACAAUUUUAAGGUAUUUUAUGUGAGCAAUAAGUUAGUCCAAAGAUUAAUUCACGGUUUGACAUAAUUUAUUGUCAAUGUUUGAUUGCUACAACAAGAGUACCGCUUACUGUUAAUAUUACUGUCCAAAGCUUUGAUAUUAAUGUUGUGUUUGGUAUCUUGUGAUGGGAUUAGUCAUUAUCUUGAAUUUAUUAUUUACUUAUGAAUAUUGAUUUAAGCUUGUUUUUGUUCUAUAUUUAGCUAAUUCAUCUUCUACUGCCACAAUAUCUGCUAAUAUAAAUUCUAUACCUAUGCUUAAUAGGACUAAUUUUAAGGAAUGAAAAAGGAACUUACUUAAAGUGCUUGGUUGUAUAGACAUAGACCUUACACUAAGGGAAGAACAAUCUGCACCUCUCACUGUGGAAAGCACCCCUGGUGUUAAGAGGGAUUUUGAGAGGUGGGAUCGUUCAAAUCGCAAGAGUCUAAUGAUCAUGAAACACAGCAUUUUAGAAGCUUUUAAGGGCACAUAAUCUGAAAGAUUACUCAGGCCAAGGGUUUCAUUGAUGAAAUUGAAAAAUCUUUUGCUAAAAAUGAUAAGAUUUAGAUGACAUCACUUCUGACUUCUUUGAUGUUUAUGAAGUAUAAAGGUCAAGGAAACGUAAGGGAGUACAUUAUGAAGAUGUUCCAUACUGCUUCAAGACUUAAGACACUUAAGAUCAAACUUUCUGAGGAAUUGUUUUUUCUUAUGGUUUUGGUAUCGCUUCCUGCCCAGUUUAAUCAAUUUAAAAUUAGUUAUAACUGUCAAAAGGAGAAAUGGAUCCUAAAUGAGUUCAUUUCUCAUUGUGUGCAAGAGGAAGAAAGGUUGAAGGAUGAUAAGUCUAAAAGUGUUCAUUUGGCCAAUGCCCCUAAAGAUAAGGGCAAUAAAAGAAAAUAUCAGAAUAAAGCUGCUAAAGGUCUAGCUCAAAAGAAACAACAAGAAGCUAUAGAGAGUUGUUUCUUUUGUAACAAGUCUGGACACGUAAAGAAAGAUUGUACCAAAUAUCAUGCUUGGCAUGCAAAAAAAGGUAUAAUUCUUAAUUUGGUCUAUACUGAGAUUAAUUUAGCUUUAAUACCUAGAAACACUUGGUGGAUAGAUUCUAGUGCUACUACUCACAUAAGUUUUUCUAUGUAGGGUUGCCUAAGUUACUGAAAGCCAAGUGAUGGUGAAAGACACAUCUUUGUGGGCGAUGGAAAAUCAGUAGAAGUGGAAGUGAUUGGGAAUUUUAGGUUGUUACUAGGAACUGGUUUUUAUUUGGAUUUAAAAGACACUUUUAUUGUACCGUCAUUUAGACAGAAUUUAGUUUCUAUUUCUUCGUUGGACAAAUUUGGAUAUUAUUGUUCAUUCAAAAACAAUCAAUUAAUUUGUCUUUAAAUUCAAAUGUUAUUGGAACUAGUUAUUUAAAUACUUAUGACAACCUUUAUUUUCUAGAAACAGUUGCAUCCUAGAAUGAAACCUUGCAUGUGGAAUCACAUGGUAUUAAACACAAAUUAAAUAAGGAAAACUCAUCAUCAUUAUGGCAUAGGUGCUUAGGUCAUAUCUCAAAAGUUAGAUUUGGAUACCUUGUGUUUGAUGGAAUUUUAGAGUCCCUUGACUUCACAGACUUUGAUGUAUGUGUUGAUUGCAUUAAGGGAAAAUAGACCAAAACCAAGAGAUUAGGUGCCAACAGAUCUUCAGACGUCUUAGAAUUAAUUUAUACAGAUAUUUGUGGGUCAUUCCCUAUGGCAUCCUAGAAUGGUCAAUAAUAUUUCAUAACAUUGAUAGACGAUUAACCACGUUAUGGGUACCUAUAUCUCAUUCAUGAGAAAUCUUAGUCUUUGGACAUGUUCAAAGCUUAUAAAGCUAAAAUUGAGAAUCAACUCAAAAAAAGGACUAAAAAUGUCAGAUUAAAUCGUGGUGGUGAGUACUACGGUAGAUAUGAUGGCUUAGGAGAACAAUGUCUAGGACCAUUUGCGAAAUUCCUAGAGAAAUGCAGUAUUGUCCCACAGUACACCAUGCUAGGAUCAUCUAGUAUGCCUGGUGUAGCUGAAAGAUGAAACAUGACUCUUAAGGAUAUGGUAAAGAGCAUGAUUGCUCAUUCUACCUUACCUGAGUCCCUCUGGGGAGAAGCAUUAAAGAUAGCAGCUUACAUUCUAAAUAGAGUACCGAAUAAAGCAGUUGCAAAAACACCUUAUGAGCUUUGGACAGGUCAAAAACCUAGCCUAAAGCACUUUCACACUUUGGGAUGUCUAUCUGAGGCAAGGCCUUAUAGGCUACAUGAAAAGAAAUUGGACUCCAAAACAGUAAGCAACUACUUUAUUGGUUAUUCUGAGCGAUCUAGGGGCUAUAAAUUUUAUGAUCCCAUAAUAAGGAAUAUUUUUGAGAUUGGAACUACAACAUUUUUUGAGGAUGUUGAGUUCGGGGAGAAAUAAGGUUAGAGACAUUGCUUUUGAGGAAGAAUUGGGUUCUAACUCAAUUCCUACUAUCUUUUUUUAUGAUUUUUAGGUUCUUAUACCUAUCAUUGAUCAAGAAGUGAAUCUAGAACCUCUAUAAGACAAUGUUGAACAACUCCUCAUUCAAAAUGAGGUGAUUGUUCCAGAAGAACAAACUCAACAACCUCAAGAACAAGUGUCAUUAAGUAGGUCUACAAGAGAAAGGAGAAAUGUUAUUCCAGAUGAUUAUAUUGUAUUUCUCUAAGAACAUGAGGAUGAUAAUGGAAUGAUGGAAGAUGAUACAAUCAACUUUCAUCAAGCCAUGAAAAGUUCUAAUUCUCAAAAGUGGAUUGAUGCCAUGAAAGAUGAGUAUAAAUCUAUGCAAGACAAUAAAGUUAGGGAACUUGUCCCAUUACUUGAAGGUGCAAAACCAAUUGGUUGUAAAUGGAUAUUUAAAACCAAGAGGGAUACAAACGGUAAUGUGGAGAGGUAUAAGGUGCGUCUUGUAGCUAAACGAUAUACUCAGAAACAAGUUAUUGAUUUUACAGAGACUUUUUCUCUAGUUUCAUCAAAACACUCCUUCAGGAUAAUCAUGGCGCUUGUUGCUCAUUUUGAUCUUUAGUUAUAUCAGAUGGAUGUUAAGACUACGUUUCUUAAUGGCAACAUUGAAAAAAUAAUUUAUAUGGUGCAACCAGAAAAUUUUGAGUCGGAAGAUUCAAAGAAUAUGGUUUACAAAUUGACAAAAUCCAUUUAUGGACUCAAACAAGCUUCCUUUUUAUGGUACCACAAGUUUCAUCAAAUAAUUAUUUCGUUCGAUUUUGAGAUGAAUAUUGCUAAUAAUUGUGUGUAUCACAAAUUCAAUGGGAGUAAGUACAUCUUUCUGGUUCUUUAUGUUGAUGACAUUUUGCUUGCCGCUAAUGAUAUAGGCUUAUUGCACAAAACCAAGAGGUUUUUAUCUAAGCAUUUUGAGAUGAAAGAUCUUAGGGACGCCACUUUUGUUUUAGGAAUUCAAAUACAUCGAGAUCGAUCUUGAGGUAUUCUUGGAUUAUCACAAAAGAUUUAUAUCAAUAAAGUACUCAAAAGGUUUGGCAUGCGGAGUUUUAGACCAAGUGACACCCCUGUUGCUAAAGGAGACAAAUUUAGUCUUACUCAAUGCCCUAAAAGUAACCUUGAAAUUCGGGAAAUGAAAAAGAUUCCCUAUGCAUCAACUAUUAGGAGUUUAAUGUAUGCUCAAGUAUGUACGCGUCCGGACAUUGCAUACAUUUUUGGGAUGUUAGGCAGAUAUUUAAGCAACCCUGGUAUAGACCAUUGGAUAGUAUCCAAAAGGGUUAUGAGAUAUCUUCAGAGAACAAAAUAUUACAUGCUUACUUAUAAGAGAUCAGAUUUUUUGGAGGUUGUAGGGUAUUCUGAUUCUGAUUUUGUCGGGUGCCAAGAUAGUAGGAAAUCUACAUCAGGCUAUAUUUACCUAUUAGCUGAAGGAGCUAUAUCUUGGAAAAGUGUCAAACAGACACUUGUAGCUUCGUCCACUAUGCAGUAGAGUUUGUAGCAUGCUAUGAGGCAUCAAACCAUGGAAUAUGGUUGCGAAACUUUGUCACAGGGAUGCACAUUUUGGAGAAUGUAGAAACAACACUCAAAUUAUUUUAUGACAAUAAGUCAGCAGGGCUGUACAUGAGUUCAUCUAAGUCAAAGCAUAUUAACAAAAGUUUCCAUCUCUUUAUUCAUUUUUAUAGGCUUUACUUUUGUUAGGAUUUGUCUUUCAACAAAAUCAAUUUCAUAUGGUAAUGUUACUUCAUGCUUUUUCCUAUUCCAAAAGGCAUUAGAGAUGUUAGAAUAUAUUGUUGACUCGAUUUCUGUUUUGAUUUGAUUUAUUCUUUUUUGAUCUUUUGUUUUUUCUAAUUGUUCAUUUAAUUUUUUUAAAACAUAUUUCUUCUUUAAGAAUAAAAAAUUAUUCUAUUUAUGAUUAAUUAAAUUAUUGAUUCGUAAUGAAUAAAAAUGUUAAUAAGUUAAGAUUUUUAAUAUUGUGAUUUGUUACUUUGUAAGGUUUGAGUAAAGAUAUAAAGGGGUUCCUAAUAUAAUGUCUUAGGUAAUAUCUUUUAUCAUUAAAAAACAUGUUUGAUGUUUGAUAUCUUUAUUACAAAUUUCUACAUUAGGGAUUUUGAUAUGUGUCUUGAUUUUCCACAUCUAUAACAUUUUAUCGUUUUAUCUUUUUUUUUCGAUUUUUGUUGUUUCUGUUAUUUACUAUAUUUCCUAUACUUUGAUUUUUUUUAUAAUAUUCUGAAAUAUUCUUUCAUAUAUUUUUUCAUUUUAUAGGGAAACAUGUUUUUGAAGAAGAAGGUUCAUUUCUAAUGUCAAAUUGGUGGCAGAAUGAUAGGCAAUGGUAGCAAUUUAAAAAUUCUCAUAGUAGAAACCCCUUGUAGGAAAUAAGAAAAUAAAAUGAUGUUUCCUUAGAGAACCAAUUCUUCUACAAGCUUUACCUCUAACCAAUACCAAGAGUUUGAUCAAACCUCAAACAACAAUGUUAAUGAAUAAGAACAUUAUGAAAAUGUUCACCGAUGUAUACUAUUUUUAAACCCUUCAAAUUUUUAUUUUACACUAGUAAUAAUGUGUCAUUUUAUUAUCACUUGAUGGUACAUAAAAUCUAUGCACCUAUGGUUAGGGGUGAACAAAGCUCGAUUCGAUUUGAAAAAAUUGAAAAAAAAAUCAAAUUUUGAGUAAUUCGAGUUUCGAGUUCGAGUCGAGUUGAAUUUUACAAUUCGAAUAAUAGAUUGGUGUAAAUACCCCUUUAAUCCAUGUCAAUUUUGAAAAUGAGCAAAUUGAUCUCUCUCAACGAAAAAUACAAAAUAACUCAAAAUAAUUUUUAAAAUUCAAAAUAUUUAUAAAAAUUCCAAAAUUUAUAUUUUUAAAAAAUAAAAAUAUUUCUAAAAAAUAUAUAAAGAAAUUUAAAAUUUUAUUUUUUUCUAAAAUAAUAAAUUUAGAGACCUAAAUAAGUUAAUUAAUGAUUCAAGUUUAUAAUUCUAAAGUAUCUUAUUAUUAUUAUUAUUAUUAUUAUUAUUAUUAUUAUUAUUAUUAUUAUUAUGCUUUGAAAAAGUUUUCAAAUAUAUAUAGUUUCAAUUGUAGGUGUUCUAGCAUUAAAUUAAUUAUACUAUAGCAAAAUUUUAAUUUGAUAUAUUUAAUUUUUUAAUUAACUGAACAAUUUCACUUGAUUCGAUUCGACUUGAAUUUCAUUUCACUCAAUUCAAUUUGAAAAAAAUUAAUCAAAUUAGAAUGAUAAAAUAGGAUUUAUCAACUUGAUUAACUUGAAUUUUUUUUACUAGAUUCAAUCGAACGCUAACCCCUACCUACGGUACAUUAAAUAUUCUCCCUAUAUUAUUAUUAUUAUUAUUAUUAUUAUUAUUAUUAUAGUUUUGGCUUUAUUUUAUUUGCACUUUGUAAUGACGUGAGAUAUUUCUAAGAUUACAAAUUAUUAUUAUUAUUAUUAUUAUUAUUAGCCAUAAAAACAUAAAAACUUUAAUUAUAUCAGAAAAUACAAAAAGUUAUGGUAAAAAACUUGACUCAGAAGUACAAGAGAGCCACAACUACCUCACUGUAAAACUAACUUCAAUAUCAGUUCGAAGGGGGAGUAGGAAAUUCAUCCUUGUCAAGAAUGAACACCAAAGAAGUUGGUGGUUGUCAAGUCCAACCUGUAACGCCUUGAAUAGUUUAAAUAUAUUUUUGUGAAAUUUGACAUAAAGGUGUAUUUGCUCAGUAGUUAAGUGUUUUAGGUGUGUGUAUCAGGUCUUGGGUUCAAGUCUCAUAUUUGGGGAAAAAAUUUAUUAUUAUUUAUUCAAGCAUUAUCCCUGUUAGGCAGGCUUAUAAAAUAUUGUUUGUUAAUCUAUAUCAAAAUGAGCCUGCUUGUUUGAGUGGUAAGGACUUAGUGUAUUGGAGGUCUUGUGUUUGAAUCUGUGCGUGAGUGUGAGUGUUAAUUUUUAUUUCUGUUGCCUGAUAGAGGUUCGGUGGAACUGGAACUCUGAGGUUGUUGGAUGAGAAUCUGAUGUCAGUUUUGGUGGGAUUUGUUGUUAGUGGGUUAGUCGGGGGAGUUAGGAUUUUCGUUAAUUUUGAUUUAUUUUACUUUUUUUUUAAAAUUUUUAUCUUUUCCCAAAAACCUCUCCCCUUUUUAAUUUUUUUUGUUUCCCACUAUCAAUUUUCUUUCUUUUUCAUCUUAUCGAUUUCUAUCUUCAUCUCCCUGUUAAAUUACAGUGCUUCGAUUCCCUUUUUUUGUACGUUUGGUAAGUGGUGGUAGUAAGGUUUUUGCUUGAGUUAAGGAGAAUUCUUUUAAAUCCGUUUAAAAAUGAUGUUGUCUUUUUCAUUAGUUCUAAUUUUUGGGUUGUUGGCAGCAGCGAAUCGGCAGGAUCGGAGCUCUCUUCUUGUGGAAUCGUAAUAUCGAGGAUCAUUCGGGAAGUUGGGUAAGUAAUGAACGCUUGGGUCUCGCUGUGAUCAAUUUAUUAUUUUGAUUUAAUUGAGGAUGCAAGACUAAUUUUGGGACGUGCUUUGUCGAUUUUUAGGUUCUUGUGGUCUCAGGAUUGUUUUCACAGCAAAAACAAACCAGGUGUGCACCUUAAACACGAAAAUUGAGGUUCGAAAAAAGCCGAAAAAUUGCACUGUUGACGCCACACGGGUGUGCACCCAGCUGUAUGGUUGGCCAUGUAUAAGACACAGUCGUGUGACUGACGAAGAUGUGGCCGUGCACAUGACACGACCUUGUGUCAGUGUGAGUGUAGUCGUGUGGGCCACACUAGCUAAGUCAGAUUGGGCGUGUGGGUUUAGGGUCAGGCCAUGUAGGCCACAUGAGCAAGGCCAAUCUAGGAGUGUGGGCCUACGUGGGCAGGCCACAUAGGCAUGUAGGCCCAGAAUUUUGAAAUUUUCCCUAGGGUCGCACGGGUCGUUUCGAUUGACUGUGGACCUACUGUAAGGUCGGUAAAGGCUAACCAAACCCUAAUUCAUGUGAUCUGAUAUUUUGAUAAUCUGAUUUGAGUAGGACAUUGAUAUGUAUGUAUGACUGUUCUGUUUGAGUAUAUAUAUAUGUUAUCUGUAUACAAGCAUGUUAGGCAUGUUAAUUCUGCUAAUUUUGAAUUUUGUAUCUGUGUUUGGGGAGAGAUUUGUAUAUGUAGAGGAAGUGAUCUAUAUGGCGACAUUUCGCCUAUAUUCUGGUAGAUCGACUACAUAUUAUCUAUGAUAUGUCGCAUCGACACUAUAUGGUAUGUAGGGAUGGUUGGGUAUUUUUAACCCCAUAUGAUGUGAUGGGAUGGAUGGAGAUGGUGUGUAGAGGAUGGGUGUAACGCCUUGAAUUUUACACCCAAAAGUUUAGAGAUUUGAGCAUAGGGGCAGUGGGGAGACUGCACAUAAAUGAUUAGUUGUGCACUCAAGUGACAAGAAUGGGCCUGUUGGUCUGGUGGUUAAGUGAGUCUUAGCAUACCUUGAAGAUCCGGGUUCGAGUUACGGGAGGCAUUUUUUUUUAGAGUCAUUGUUUUAUUUUUGUUUGUUUUAGUUAAUAAAUAUUUAGCUAUUAUAUUUUGUAAUUGUAUAUUGCUAUUUUUAUUUUUGUUUUGGACGUUCUUCUGUUUCUCUUUUUGGUUUUUGUUUCCCUUGCUUUUCUUUUUGAGGAUUAUUCGGAUUGCUUUUGAAAGUGAAUUGUCUAUGGAUUUUGGGAUUUGCACUCCUCCUUCGACUUCUUCGUCGUUGGGUCCAAUCACAACACAGGUGUGGGAUUCAAAUCUGGUUUACCUUUUCUUAUUAAUUGAUAUUUCAUUUUUUUGAAUUCCUUUCUUUCAGCUUUUCGUAACUAUACAUUAACCCCAUUCAUUUUUGGGUAUUGAGACAUUGUAAGAGAGGGGAAAGCACUAGUAUCUGAUGUACUCUUGGUGUGGUUAAGGUUAGGGACUAUUAUGGUGGCUUAAACGACGGUUUUGGACUAAUUUUGAGUGGUUUCGUGACCUCCCCGAUGACCACAUGGCUGUAUAACUCGGCACACGGCCGUGUGGAUUUAGGAACUAGGGUUUCGGGAUAAAUUGGGUACCAUACGGCCGUGUGGCUGAUUUGGGGAUUUUAUCAGAAUUCACACGAUCGUGUCCCUUCGGCACACGGGCGUGUGAGUUAGAGAAUUAGGGAUUUUGGAUUCGGAGUCAUAUGGAUGUGUGGUUGAUUUGAGGAUUUAAAGAUCCCACACGGGCAUGUGUUUCAGAACACAUGGCUGUGUCUGGUGGGCAUAUGGGCGUGUGAGACCCUCACACAGUAAUGUCUCCCCUGCACUUUAUUUUAGCGAUUUUUGACAAUGUUACAUGACCUGUUCACACGGCCGUGUCUGUAAUAUCCCGAAUUAGGGCCUAAUCGGAAUAGUGGUUUUGUGACCACAAAUCCGAGAUAGAAAUAAUUAUUUUAUAAUUAUUUUGAUGAUUAUGAUAUGAUUGCAUGAUUGUGUGAAAAUUUCGUGAUGAAAUUCUAUGCCUAAAGUGCUUAAAUUGAAAGUAAGGACUAAAUCGAAUAAGUUGCAAAACUUGCAUUCUAGAAGUUUUUUGUAUGAAAUUGUUUUGGAAUAUUAAUGAGGAGGUCUUAAAUAGCAAUUUGACCAAUUUUAAGUUCAUGGAAAAAAUUAGGACAUGGAAGGAAUUUUUGGAAAGUUUAGUAGUAAGGGUAUUUUGGUCAUUUAGUUAUUAAAAUGAAUUAAAAACAAAAUUAAAAGCCAAUUUUUGUCCAUCUUCUUCAUUAGGCCGAAAUUUCAAGGGUUCUCCAUAGCUAGGGUUUGUUUCAAGCUUCCAAGCUCCAUAGUAAGUGAUUCCAAGCCCCGUUUUUAAUGUUCUUUACGUUUUUGGAAUCCCGGUAGCUCGAUUAAGCUUAUGUUAGCAAUAAUUCAACCUAGGGUUUAUAUUUGGAAAAAUACCCAUAGGUGAAAUUUGUGUAUUUUGAUGUUUUAUGAUAGAAUAUGGGGUUUUAAAUUAUGUUAGACAACUUGUACUACUCGAUUUUAAGCAAAAACGAGUAAAAGGGCUUAAUCGGUAAAAAUACCUAAUAGUCACAAGUACAUGUUAGAGUGAGAAUUUGAUGUUGCCAUAGAAGAGAAAAGUGAUCAGCAUGUUGUAAAACAUAAGAAUAAGGAAUAAAGUUUAAUCCCGAGCCUAGGGGCAAAAAUGUAAAUAUGCAAAAGUUUAGGGGAAAAAUUGUAAUUUUGCCAAAAUUUGAGUUAAGGAUUAAUUUGAUAAUGUGGGUAUUAAAUGAGCUAAAUGUGUUAUUUUAGAUCAAGAAAGACGUGGAAUCGACCUCAAUCAAGGAAAAGAAAAGAUUGUGGACUAAAUUGCAAAAUCUUUAUAUUUUGGUACCAAGGUAAGUUCAUGUGUAAAUGUAGUAACAUAAUUGUCAUUUUAACCAAUUUAAUGUUGUUUAUAUGAUAUGAUGCUGAUUAUUAUCAUGAAAUAUUAUGCUUUGUGGUUAUUGUUGAAUAAUAUGUAAUUAUGUGAAUUACUUGAUGAGUAUGAACUAUCACCGAAGUACCGAUUUCGAUAUUCCGUGGAAGACGGCAAAGAUGUGUGAUCGAGGAAAACGCCCGUUUGAACCUUAGGAAUAGAUUAGGAUACAAGUGACAUGUCACUAGGAUGGUUGAGCAUCCAAACUCGUUGAGUUGAGUCCGAGUUCACUUAUGGAUGCGAAUGUCCGAACUCGUUGAGUUGAGUCUGAGUUCGUGAAAUGUAACUAGGCAUCCGAACUCGUUGAGUUGAGUCCGAGUUCACUUAUGGAUGCGAACGCCCGAGCUCGUUGAGUUGAGUCCGAGUUCACUUAUGGGCGGGUUACAUGGUAGCUUGAUUACAUAUGAGGCUCUUAUAUGCAAAUUAUCCAUGUAUCCGAAUUAUAUUCCGAUGUGUUCAACGGGUAAAGUUUUACUCAAAUAGAGGAAUACUCGAGAUGAAAAGAGACGUAUUGGUAAGUGAUGAGAAAUGGAUAUUUUGUACAGGUAUGUAUUUAACCCUCGGGUUGAGUGUUGAUUACAACCACGAUAAGGUAAUAAGAUGAUGGAAAAUGAUUAAAAAAUGUGAUAAGUGUGUUGAUGAUAUAUGCUAAUGUUGAUUAGUUUGAUUGUUUGUUAUGUUAUUUAUUAUUUACAUAUGAACUUACUAAGCAUUUAUGCUUACUCCCUCCUUCUUACUCAUUGUAGUUUUGGACAAGCCAGUUCAGGAGUCGGGAUAGGUUGAAGGCUCAGUCACACUAUCAGGAAGAUUUUUGGUAAAUGGCUUGUAAAUUUAAGUAUGGCAUGUAUAGCAAUAUACUUAUUUUGUGUAAAUGAUCUUAUGAUAUGGUGACAGAAUGGUUGAGAAAAUAUUUGAUAAUGAUAAAUUAUGAAAAUGGUAAGUUUAGAUUAUGUUUGAUGUUAAGGAAAACUAUUAUGAUACUUAGUGCAUAAAAACUCAUAAGAGGGAUGAAAUUUGCCAUAAACAGAAUACUGCAGCAACACUGACCCGAGUUUGAAAAUUUACUAAAAAUCAUAGCAAUUAAAUUUGGUGAUGGACUACAUAUCAAAUUUAAGCUUAUUAUGUCUAGUGUCACAUGAAACAAAUGAAACAGGUAAAGGAAUUAUAUGUUAGAAGAUAUUUGAAUUUUAGUGAAACAGGUUCAUAGCAGUUUCUGAAUCCCCUGCUCCUACUUUAGAAAUUCACCAUAAAUUUUAAAGAUAUAAUUAGGUGGUGUAUUUUAUAUCCUAAGAAUACUUAUUGAGUCUAGUUUUAGGAGAAACAAACCUCAUAGUCAUAUGAAUUUUUUACAUAGAGAAAUGUGGUUCAUAGUAAAUAGAGGUCAGACCAGUCAAGUCCUGAAAUAGGGGUAACUUUAACUAAUAAACUGUACUAAUUGGCCCAUUCAAAAAUUUUAUAAAAAAUUAGUAGAUAGGUAUAUGAGUCUAGAUUUAGGGAAAAUUUACGGAUCUUGAUUUCGAGUUUCGUAACUCGAGAUAUGAUUUUUCUUGUGACUGUGACGCAAGUAGCUUAAAAGCUGUGAAUAUAGAAACAAAUAAUCCAAAGUUCUAAAAAUGUUAAAUUAAGCUUAGUAACACCUCAUACUCGACUCCGGCGACGGUCUCGGGCGUGGGGGCGUUACAGUGUCCCCGCUUCACACAAGCGUGUGCCUCUAUCACACGGGCAUUUGGAUCACCACACGGCCUAGUUUGUCCCACACGACCGGGGCACACUGGCAUGUGGCCCUAUUUUGCUAGAUUUUGGUUUUAGGGCAAAUGUAAGUGCAAUUGGGACCUUGUAUGUUUCAACCCUUAGCUAAGCUUUAGUGAGGGUGUUUAGACUCUAAUCUGAGUUUGGAUAAUGUGUUAUUUGUGAUUGGUUGUGUGACAUGUUUGAUUCUGAACUUGGUUAGCUGGGUGAGUGUGUGAGCAACUAGUUCUAUCUGACUGUCUGACUACGUGUUAUCAAUAUGCGAGGUUAUUUUGUAAUUGAUACUGAACUCAAGUAAUGAGUGUGCACAUUUCUGAUUCUGAUUGACCAUAUAUGAGUGACUGUCUCUGGUUAACUAUCUGGAAAUUGAUAUUUUGAGUUUUGUGCAUCUGUCUGUAUACAUACAUUUGCAUGAAAUUGUUUUGGGUGGGACUUUGAAGAGAAGGAAGAUUGACUAAACUAAACUGUUAGCUAAUCUUUUGGUUAUUAGCCUUAAUACCCAGAGGGUUAUGGGCGGUCCCAAUACCCUGAGGGUCGUGGACAAUUUGACUGUACUGCGGACUACUACAUUAUACAGAACAUGCAUCAGUAUCGCUGCGUAUCAUUGACUGAACUAGAAGUUUUAUUACAACCUAAUAGUAUAGCGGUUUACCGUAUUGCGCUGUACCGCAUGUACGUUAGCUACGCUACGUACAACUAUUUGAUCUGGCAGUUUAUACUGCAUGUCUGUACCGCGGUUUAUCGCAUUGCAUGAUACAGCUUAUACUCUAGCUUUGCUGCAUAAUAUACGUGACUGGCAGUUUAUCUACAUACUGUUAGCCUCAAUACCCAGAGGGUCAUGGGUAGUCACAAUUCCUUGAGGGUCAAGGACAAUCCUGAUGGCCAAUGUUGCCGGAUAACCCGGGAUGACAUCAAUUGGAGUGCAGGGUUGGAUGGUCCUUACGAGGUCCAGAGUUGAGUGAUUGGUGGGAUGAGUUUAAAGCUCUUAUGAGGAGUAAUGAGGGACGAAGAGGUGUGUUGGCUAGAUAGGUGGGUUUCUCAUAACUCAAUUACAUUCAUAUGCAUCAUAUUGACUGCUCGACUGAAAUGUCUGAUUGACGGUUCGAUUGAAAGGCACUUGUGCCUAUGAGAAUUGUGUAGACUUUGACUGUAACUGUCUGACUAGAUAGUUCUUAUCACUGUUGAGAAUUACUGCUACUGUGCCUGAAUGGUACGUGAAACUGUGUGCGUCUGAUUGACUCAUAUGACUGUAAAGUAAUAUGGUGUAUGAUUGAUUUUGGGCGAAUUCGCUCAACUGUCAUCUGUCUGUCUGUAUGUUUUGCUUUUGAACUACUUCUAGUUCCCUAUUUUCGUUUUUGUAGUUUAAUUGGUUUGUUCUCACACUAAGCUUGAGUAGCUCACCCCCUCUUUUUUUUCCCCUUUUAGGUACAGUUUUGGAUUCUGUUGAUGGGAUCAGUACGCGAAGGUCUCAGACAGUCUCAGUGAAAGUGGAAUAUUAGUUUGUGAUUUUCAGUUUUUUUUUAUUCGUACUGUAAGAUUUUAUAAUAUUAUGGUACAAUUACUAUUUUAAACUUUUAUUCGUACAUGUUAUUCUCUUGUGGAUGGAAUUUUAAACAAUUAAACGUUUUGAUUUGUUUUAAGAUAAAAAUUGUCAGAAAUGGAAUUUUGAACGACUUGUUUUUGUAGAAAUCUUCUCAGGAUUGCUUUGGUGAUCAAUGUAGUAUUUCGAAUUCAGUCUUUACUUCUAGGCCGGGUUUGGGGUGUUACAAGGGGGGUAGGAUUCUGAAUAUCCAUUCUGUUUAUCUGAUUCUGAUAUCUGUAUCUAUUAUGGACUUAGGUCCGAAUCUGUAUCUGACUGUAUAUGAAAUAUGGUGUAUGUUACUUGGCUAUUUCUGUUGGGUUACACAGUGAGUUUACGAAAACUCACAUUUUUUUGUCUAUUCUGUUCAGAGGUAAUCUAUAGACUUAAGCGGGUUAGUGCGACAGAGGCUCAACAGUGACCACUUGACUGAGAUUUGUUUUUAUUUAGUAAUAAUGGUUUAUUUUAAAAUCUGGUUUUCUUAAGAGUUUGUAAUUUUUUGGGACUCUCUGGACUGUAUGAUUUUAACUUUUGGAUUUGGAUUUUGUUUUGUAUUUUUUUCCGCAAUGUUGACAAAAACACUAUGCAAACAAAUGGUUUUAACAAAUAGUUUUUAGAAAAACGAGCUUGGUUUUGUUUAAAAUGAUUUUGAAACUUCUACUUUGAAAUAAACAGUUAAUUUUAAAGAACAACUCAAAAUAGUUUUAGUAAUGUAUAUGUAUAAAUGAAUAUGUUAUAAUACCUAGAUGAUUUAACUAAUAACUAAACAUGAUUUUAUCGAAGUAUUUUCAGUUUCAAAACCCUUCAUCGUAACAUUCCUAGAUUCAGCCAUAACGUAUAGGCUGUGUUUGGGGUAUUACAUUUAGUGGUAUCAGAGCUAGGUUACAAAACUCAGGCUGUAAAUUUUGAGUUUCAAAAUUGUAUUUCAAAAAAGAAUUGGUUGAUAAUUUAGAUCAUUUUGAGUAAGUAUAUGGUACACCGAGUCUCCGGCGCCAAUACUCUAAGUAUCUCUAAAUUUAGAAAACACUAAAUUAGUACUUUUUAAAAUUGUACUAAGUUAGUUAGAGACUAAAGCCUCUGAAAUACUUCUGAACUUCUGAUAAAUUAAGUAUAAAAUAUCUGCUAAUAAAUACUGGAACUGAUGCAUAAAAUUCUAUAAUAUAGAUAAAAUUGAAAAUACGAUGAGCGCUCGUGGAACUCACGGUCGUAUUAUUUGUGGUUGUGGUGGGUGUCGUAGGAGGGCUCGAGCUAAGUAUUCUUCUCUGUGUAGUAUGCCAAAUUUAAACACAAGUGAGACACUAGUUUCACUUGCUAUUGAGACUGGGCCUCAAAGCCGCUCGGCGGGGGACGACGCAUUGUCCCAAGCCAUGUUGAGAGUAUUGGAGAGGGUCGUUGGACCCCAUUCUAGAUCUGGGGUUCGUAGGUCGGUAAUUGAAAUACUUCAGUCCAAUGAAGCUAAGUUGUUUAGGGGCGUCACUAGAGUCGCCCCUACUGUGGCUGAGUAUUGGUUAAAGGCCACUGAGAGGAUUAUGAACGACAUUGAAUGCACUCCUAAGAAGAAAUUGAAGGGUGCAAUCUUUUUGCUUCGUGACAAAGCUUAUCAGUGGUAGUUGUCAGUUGAGGAACGUACUCAACCAAAUCAUCUGAACUGGGACUAACUUAAGACUGCUUUCUAAGGAAAAUAUGUGGGUACAAUUUAUGUUGAUGCUCGUAGGCGUGACUUGAGCUUAUGAAUCUCAUGCAAGGUGAUAUGUCUGUGGCCGAGUAUGAGGCCGAGUUUCUAAGAUUGAGCUGCUACGCUCGAGCUAUGAUGGCAUCUGAGUAUGAGAAAUGUGUUUGUUUUAAGGACUGUUUAAGGGAUAGUCUAAGGGUUCUGAUUGCUCCGCUGAGGGAGCGUGAGUUUGUUGUUUUGGUAGAUAAGGCGAAGAUUGCUGAAGAGGUUGAGCACGUGGAGCACCUAAACAGGAAGCGAUAGAGAGGUAAGAACAAGAGGGAUUUGGUGCCCUCUAGUGCUGUUUAGAGGCCUAAAAAGUGGGCUAGACCUGAUUCGCUUGUUAGAUUGAGAGUUCGUGUUGCUCCUACUGGGAUUCAGCCUUGUGGUGAUUGUGAUAGGCCAUCCGAGCACGUGUUGGAAGAGAUUAGGGGCUUGUCUGCGGUGUGGGUCUUUGGAGCAUGGGAUUAGAGAAUGUCCACAUCGUGCUGAUCAGACGCAAGCUUUGGGACUGAGUUUUGAUCAACCUCAGAAGGCAGUACAACAACCACCUAGGGGCCAUAGACCGGCUAGGAGUGGUAAUGGUAUCGGCUGAUGACAGAAAGCACCGGGUAGAGGUGCUAAUCAGAUUGAAAUGAGGCAGCCUGUAUUGGUUUAUGCUGCUUGAUGCCGAGAGGAUAAUGACAUUCCUGAUGUGAUCACGGGUAUGUUUUUAAUUUUUGAUGCUCCAUAUACUGCUUUGAUAAACAUAGGUUCUACGUACUCCAAUGUAGCUAGUACUGUUUCUAGGAACUUGGGGAUUUUUGUUGAGUGCGCUUCUGGUGAUAUUAUUGUACUAAGUCCAUUGGGAUAGUCUAUUCGAGUAAAUAAACUUUAUAGGAAUGUUUCGUUAAAAGUAUAAGAGGCUGCGUUUUCAGAAAAUUUGAUAGAGCUACCAUUUGGGGAGUUCAACUUAAUUCUGGGUAUAGACUAGUUAGUUGAGCACCGAGUUAGGUUCAAUUGUGCGACUAAAAGGGUUGUUCCGAGGACCGGGGAUGAUAAGGAAGUGGUUGUGAUCGAUGAGCAUCGAGAUUACUUGUCUGAUGUGUUCUCCACUUUAGUGGCUGAGAAAUUGGUUUAGAAAGGGUAUGAGGCGUAUUUGGCCUAGUCAGUGUUUCAGUUCUAGGAACUCUUCUGUCAAGGAUAUUAAAACAAUGAAGGAAUUUUUAGAUGUUUUUCCUGAGGCAUUACCAAGUUUACCUCUAAAUUAGGAAGUUGAGUUCGGCAUUGAGCUUCCAUCAGGUACAGCUUCGGUGUCUAUCGCUCCAUACCGUAUGGCACCGAAGGAGCUUACAGAGUUUAAGGCUCAACUUCAAGAGCUUCUAGAUCGUGGUUUCAUCCAUCCUAGUAUGUCUUCGUGGGAGGUAUUGGUUCUGUUUGUAAAGAAAAAUGAUGGUACCAAGAGGAUGUGCAUCGACUACCGGCAGUUGAAUAAACUGGCUGUGAAGAAUAAGUACCCACUUUAGAGGAUUGACAACCUAUUUGAUCAGUUCCGUAAGGCUACGGUAUUCUAAAAAGUAGAGCUUCAUUCUAGGUAUCAUCAGCUUAGGGUUAAGAAAGCUAAUAUUCAUAAGGCAGCUUUUAGGACUCGUUAUGGGCACUACGAGUUUCUAGUUAUGCCCUUCGAUUUGACGAAUGCUCCGGCUACAUUCAUGGAUAUGAUGAACCGAGCUUUUCAGCCGUAUCUGGACCAGUUCUUCGUAAUCUUCAUUGACGAUAUUCUGGUGUACUCUAAGACUAAGGAUGAGCAUGGUGCGCAUCUUAGAGUAGUGCUUCAGAUGCUCCGAGAGAAACAACUCUACGCUAAGUUGAGCAAGUGUGAGUUUUGGUUGCGAGAGGUAACUUUUCUGGGACAUGUGGUUUCUGCUGAGGGGAUUCGAGUUGAUCCUUGAAAGAUUGAGCUUGUGCUUGAUUGGAAGCAGCCUAAGAAUGUUUCUGAUAUCCGUAGUUUUCUGGGUCUUUCGGGUUAUUAUUGGCUGUUUGUUGAAGGGUUUUCACUAAUUACGGCUCCUUUGACUAAGCUUCUGCUCAAGAGUGUUUCUUUCGUUUGAACUGAUAUGCAAAAAUCGAGCUUUGAAAAGCUCAAGUCCGUUUUGACUCAAGAUCCUAUUCUGAUAUAGCCUGAAUUUGGUAGGGAGAUUGUGGUGUACAGUGAUGCGUUGCACAUCGGUUUGGGAUGUGUACUGAUGCAAGAUGGUAAGGUUGUGGCUUAUGCGUCCUGUCAGCUUAAGUCAUAUGAGGGGAAUUAUCUGAUGCAUGAUCUCAAGUUAAUCGCGGUGGUGUUUGUGUUAAAAAUCUAGAGGCACUAUCUGUAUAGUGAGAGGUUUAUUAUCUACACCGAUCACAAGAUCCUCAAGUACCUCCUUACUCAGAAGGAGUUGAAUCUUAGGCAACGUUGAUGGAUUGAGUUGCUCAAAGAUUAUGACUGCACGAUAGAGUAUCAUCCUAGUAAGGCCAAUGUGGUGGUCGAUGCUCUUAGUCAAAGAACGAUGACUGAUUUGAGGGUUAUGUUCGCUCGUCUCAAUUUAUUUGAUGAUAGAGGUCUGUUAGCCGAGUUGCAAGUUAAGCCAACUUGGAUUGAUCAUAUUCGAGUUAAGCAGUUAGGGGAUGAUUCUAUGGUUCUGCGGUUUUGUUAGGUUGAGAGUCAUAGUACUUUUGAUUUUGGACUGAUUAAUGAUAGAGUUUCGUGUUUCUGAAGUCGGGUUUGUGUAUCGAGCAAUUGUGAUUUGAGGCAGUCAAUUUUGAGGGAAGCACAUAGUAGCCCUUAUGAUAUGCAUCCUGGUGGUAAUAAGAUGUAUCGGGAUCUUCGUGAGUUGUACUGGUGGCCGGGAUUGGAACGUGAGGUAACAGAUUUUGUUGGUUGUUGUCUGACAUGCCAGCAAGUUAAGGCUGAACACCAGUUGCCUUCAGGUUUGCUUCAACUUGUUAAGAUUCCCUUGUGGAAAUGAGAAUGAGUGACGAUGGACUUUGUUAGUGGAUUGCCCUUGACAUCCAUUAAGAAUGAUUCUAUUUGGGUCAUCGUGGAUCGAUUAACCAAGUCUGCCCAUUUUAUUCCGAUUUAGACGGACUACUCUCUGCAAAAGUUAGUGAAGCUCUACAUCUCUGAGAUUGUAAGACUGCAUAGGGUUCUGGUUUUGAUAAUUUCUGAUAGGGAUCUUUACUUUACUUCUCAGUUCUGGAGGAAACUGCAUGAGGCUUUAGGUUCAAGAUUGGACUUCAGUACCGCGUUUCAUCCUCAAACCGAUGGUCAAUCUGAGAGAGUGAUUCAGAUACUGGAGGAUAUGCUUCGGAGUUGUGUGAUUGAUUUCCAAGGUAGUUGGGAGGAUUUUCUGCCGUUAGCUGAGUUCGACUAAUGUAACAGUUUCCAGUCUAGCACCCAGAUGGCACCUUACAAGGCUUUGUAUGGUCGUAAGUGUCGUACUUCGCUAUGUUGGACUGAAUUGGGUGAGCAACGAAUUUUGGGUCCUGAGUUGGUUUUCGAGACUAAAGAUAAGGCUAGACGAAUUCAGGAUCGUCUGAAGGCGGCUUCUGAUAGACAGAAAUCCUAAGCGGAUCUGAAAAGAAGGGAUAUCCUCUAGUCACAAUCAAACCUUCUUUGAUUCUGAUCGGACCAUCUGUAUUUAACUGAACCCAAUUACUAGCAAGCUAAGGAUAUUAAAUUUUCGUGUUUAAUAGUUUUUAGAAAUUAUAUUUUGUAUUAAACUUUUGUCUGAAUUUCUUUCAAUAUCAAAUUACUCUUUAUAACGUAUGGUAUUUUAUGUCAUAUAUAUAUUUUUUAAAUUGUGUACAUGCAAUUUAGCCUGUAUAAUAUUAAUGGCAUUACUAGAUUUAAUUUUUUUUUAACUUUUGAAAUUUUUUUCUUUUACUAUUUUUAAAGAAUAACCAAAUAUUUAGAAUUCAAUCAAAUGAGAAUUUAGUUCAGUUGACAAAAAUAGAUAUCUUGAAUCUUGAGUACUUCAGUUUAAGACCUACUAUGCACAAAUAUUUACGUAAGGUUUUUUAAUUUUAAUUUAAUUAAUUUUAAUUUAGUUUUAAUCUCGAUUAUAUUAGAACGAUCGAUUUAUGAUUAUUUAUAUUUGUAAUUAUAUUGUACUUGUUACGCUAAAAAAAAUAAAAUUAUUUCACUUUUCCUUUUCUUUCAGAAUAUUUCAUAUUAAUUCCUAAUCGAUCCAGACAUCUGUUUUGUGGUUGCAUCCACUUUAAACUUCAUAAUUCCAAAAUAAGGUGAGCAAAUAAAAGGAUUUGCCUUCCAAUUAUAUAUUCUCACUAAAGGGAAUAUGCAAGUGCCUUCGUUCAUCAUCAUCAUGUGCAUGUGCUUGAUUUUCCCUUUUACCUGGCUAAUUGAAAUGUAUACAUGGGAGUGUGUAUAUAUACAUGCUAAUUGUCACCAUCUUUUAAAGCAUAUAUUCAGCUCCCUGAUAAAUUAUAGAGGAAUAUAUGUUUGUUAGCAUCCUUAUUUAUUAAAGUGAGAUGUUUAAUAAAUACGAGAUUUAUGAUACACUUACAUUUAUAAUAUAAAUGAAAAAUAAAGUUAUUUAACAAACAUAUUUAUUAAAAUUCAUAUAAUAAGCAAUUGAUAUUUUUUAUUAUAAAUGUAAAGUUAAUUGUUUACCAUGCUUGAAUUUAGAGUUGUCUAAGUGUUGAGUUACUCGUCUGAACUCGAGAGUUUGCUCGAAAUAUGAGAGGGUUUAAACAAGUAGACAAAGCUAAAAAAAUAGACUUAGGAAAAUAUAUAGACCCGUUUCCUAUUCGAGCUAGGCCUUGAAUAGAGUUUUUAAGCCCGAGCCUAACCCGACCUGAAUAUAUAUAAUUUCUAUAUUGAUUCUAUUCCUUUGCUGGGUAUGGAACAUUUGAAGGUGUGCAAUUUACUUACGGCAUGUUUGGUUGGGUGUAUUGGCUAUGCCAAUACACCCCUAAUCGGUGGGCCCCACUUAAGCUCCCUUUAUUCCGUUGUUUGGUUCAUGGUAAUGCUAUUACGGGUGUAAUCUAUUACUGCCCUAAUCGGUGAAAUCCAUCGAUUUGUAAUACAGCCCUUUUGCUCAGAUUAGGUGCUGCAUCCAAAUCCCUCCCUGUUUUACCCUCCCAAUUGGCUUCCCCAUUCCAUCGCCUCUUCCUUCGUUCUACCUUCGUUCUACCUUUGCCUCCCGAUUGGCUUCCCCAUUCCUUCGCCUCUUCCUCUGUCUCUCAACCUCUUCUUUUCUUUUUCUUUACAACCAGUCACUCUUUCGUUUUGCCUUCUCAACCAGUCGACCUUUUUCUUUUCUUUUUCUCUGUGUCACUCCUUCGAUUGCUCUCAAUUGAUGGGUUUCCAGGUUACUGCUACUGAAAGGUAAAGGUUUCUAACUCUCUUUUGCUCUCAAUUAUCCUGUAAUUGUUCUAACUCUCUUCUUCUCUCUGUACUGAGUUUUAAUGGCUGUCUUGUUAGUGUCUUCUUCAUUGCACUUUCAGGGCCUGAUCAUAUAAACUUCAUCGAAACACGGAAUCUUUUGUUUCUUCUUCUCUUUUGCUGGAGUUUUUGCUUUAAUUUUCGGUAAAAAUUUCUUACUAAUCUUUGAUUUUGGUUGUUUUCUCAUUGGUUGAUCUUUACGGCCCUCAUGGAAUCAAAGACCUGAAAGUUUAAAGGGAAUUUUCCUUACUUUCUUGAUAAAAUUCAAUUUAAAACAUUCCAAUAAUUUUUUCCACCUUGUGAUUGGUAAUUUUUCACUUCUUAAUUCUUUUUGAAUAAUUGAGUUAUCUACUUCGUUAUUAGAUGAUUAUUGUUAUGAUUAUUUGAAGAACAGUAACUUGUGUACAUGGAGUUUAUUUUGUUCUAAUUGCGUGACAGGUUUUCGAUGCUUAGUUGCAUGUUAAACAGAAAUCCAGAAUGAUCCUAUCAAUGCAAGAAAAGUCACAGUUUAUUCCAAUUUACAAUCAUUUUUUUCUUUUUCUAUGUGUGUUUUUAUCUUGUUAGGAUUAGACUUGCUCAUAUUCAUUUUCGUUCAGUAUGUUGUUUUUUCUAUUAGAUUUUCAUUUUUCUGGAUUGUUCUUUUAAAAAAUGAAUGAUUUUUCCUAGUAAUCUAAUUUAAUUUGUGUUUUUAUGUUAUGGGGGGCUAAAAUGAUUAGUAUUCUUCUCCAGCAAAGAGAAUGAAGCCAGAGGUUUCUUCGUUGAAUCCCUGUGCAGCAUCAUACAUACCACUUGCCAAAAGGGAGGGUUCCAUAGCUAAAGAUAUUAAGGCUGGAAAUGAGUCUGCUUGGUUUGAUCCUUCCUCACGUAGCAAUGCUUCACUUGAAUCUGCAAUCCCUGGCAUUGGAAACCACCUGGUUGCACUGAAAAGCGACCCUGGUCAUGGUUCUUUGAUGCAAAAUCAGGGUGAAAUGAGUGGCGAGCAGAUUAUGGAUGAGGAAUUCGACAUGGAUUUGGAGUAUCUUCGCAUGAUGUUCCCCGGUUUGUCCAAUGACUCUGUUCUGGAUGUCUACAUGGCUAAUAAUGGAGACUUAGAAGCCACUAUUGACAUGCUGAACCAACUUGAGGUAAAUUUUGCCUAUCUUUAUUUUAUAAUUUAUAUAACUUGAUUGUCUGAGUGGUCUUGCUGGAUUAGUUUUCUAUAUUAUUUUCAUCUCGAAUGUUUCCUAUAUUAUUAGCUCCUCUUACUGUUCCAUCCUGCAGAUUUCCAAGUGUCCCUCUAUGAAAGUGCUAGUAGUGAAGUAAUUGAAUUUAUGAAUAAUUUUCUGAUGUUAUGGGUAACAUAUUUCACUUGUUUUUAACUGUAUGACAUCAAAGAGUUAAGGAUGUUAGUCUGCAUUCAGGCCUAUUUCAGCAUAACCAUGGUUUUUCUUCAUUUGUUUUAAUCCUCCCUGUGCAAAUGAUAGAGAUUUUUCAACCUGUUUUUGUCUCCCACCUUUUGAACUUUCAUAUGAUUUUAUACAUUGAUUUAUGUCAAUGAUUUCCCCACAUAUUUUGUUCUUAUGGAUCGUAUACCUUCAGAUGCUUUUAUUGUUUUUAUUCACCUCACUUUCAGUUGAAUAUAUUAUAACUGAGGGUUGUGUAGUGUUAUCUUGUUCAUAUAAAUUUGUUUGGAAAUUUACCUAUUCUAUAAUGCCAUUAAUAAUGUAUGCUAAUUUGAAUAUUGGGGAUAGGAUGUUUUCCUCAUGCUGCUUGCUUCUUGUUUACUCAUUGUACGGCAAGUUCUUUCUUUGGUUUCAUUAGAAGUGAUUUCUGGAGUAUUUGUGAUUUUGAUUCUUGAAUUAGUUUAUGGUUGGGAUUAAAAAUGCACAUUUUUGCCCUUAUUUCAGUAUUCAUGUACAUUGGAUAGUUCUCUUUGUUAGAUGUACACUGUUGAGUCCUCUGACACUCUUCCCGACACAUUGGAUAUCGGUGAUAUCUCUGAAUUUAUCUCUUCAGCAAACUGUGGUACUCUUAAACUGAAGAAUGUGGCAGGUGAAACCGGCGCGUCUUCAUUAGGCUCUACAGAAUCAGCUGUUACCUCCUGAUUGACAUAAUCAAAGGGGUUUCAGUGUUUCUAGUUUUAGUUGUAUCUCUCAGUGGAUAAGAAGUGUACACAAGUAGGGUUCUUCUUCAAGGUUGAGAAAUGUAGUACUUUGCUUUUAACACUUGAAGGGUUUAACAUUGGAUGUGUAGUUGUAUGCUGUAACAUUUGUUUGGUCGCUCAACUUUUUCUACAUUUGUUUGGCGAUGGAAGAGUAUUUGUUUUGUUUAUGCCUUUGCUGGGGGUUCAUUUUCUCUAUAUAAUAUAAUAACUUAUAUUAGAAGUAAAAUUGUAUUUUGCUUUCUACUAAAAGAAUGGGCAAAUUAGUUCGUGUACGUAAGAUUAAAGAGCAAACUAAUCUUUUUGUUAAAAAUUUCAUCCAUUUUUAUAAUUAAAACCGGUCUUUAUAUGUCGGCAUGAGGUACACGUGGUACAUUACAUGUAAUUGUCUGAUUAUUUUUAUUGUUAACAAUUGAUCUUUUUACAUAGUUUGUGAUAUAUGCACAAAUGAGGUGAAAUUUAUUAAAUUUUAUUCACCGAAUCUAUCAAUUUUCAAAUUUGGAAAAUCAGUCGACUUGCAACGACUUUUUGGAUAGGAUCAAACAUUCUUGGAUUGAGAUAUUUUCAUAGUGUUUGGAGAUCUCUUAAUAUAAGAAUAUUAAUUAUUAAGAAUUUUAUUAAAUUAUAUAUUUUAAUUAUAAUAUAUUUAAUAAUAAUUAUGUUUAAAUAUGAUUAAAAUAUUUAUUAUUGAUAUUAAUAAUCUUAUUAAAAUUUAAAUAACAAUAACAAUAAUAAUUUACCAAAACAAAUUUCUGCUAAUUAUUAAGAAUUUUAUUAAAUUAUAUAUUUUAAUUAAAAUAUAUUUAAAAAUAAUUAUUUUUAAAUAUGAUUAAAUUAUUUAUUAUUGAUAAUAAUAAUCUUAUUAAAAUUUAAAUAAUAAUAACAAUAAUCAUUUACCAAAACAAAUUUAUGCUAAGGGUAUUCUAGUCAUUUUAGUUUUUUCCAUUAUGUUAUUACACCUCUAUUCCAUUCAACCAAACACAAGAUUACUAUUACGCCUCUAUUCCAUUACAUUCAACCAAACAGUUGAUUUGCUAUUACACCUCUAAUCCAAUACACCUCUAAUCCAAUACAGCUCUAAUCUAAUACACAUCUAAUCUAAUACAGCGAACCAAACGCACCCUUAGUGAUACUGAUGAUGUCUAAGUUGAUUGUAAUUACAUUUAUAAGAUCCCGAUAGCUCUGCAUAAAGGUUUGGAUAAGAUGAUUUGGCGUUGCUCUAAUAAUGGAUUAUAUUCAAUAAAAUCAGGAUGCAAGUUAGCCUCUGAUUUGUAUUCAAAUUUUGUUUCGAAUGAAGCCGGCGGUCCUCGAUUGAAGAUUUGGAAUGGCCAUUUCCAAUCGGAGGUGAACUAUUUUACUUGGAGGUGUCUCAGAAACUUUAUUCCUACCAAGGCAAUGUUAAUUGUUAAAGGAUUAAAUGUGCCUUCUAUUUGUGCUAAAUUUUAUAUAUAAACUUACGCCCUGUUUGAGAAUGUUAAUCAAUUAAAAAUUAAUAUUCAAUUAAUUGAAAAUUGAUAUGUAAUUUUAGUUGAAAUUUGAUGAAUUGUUUUUUUUAAAUGGAAUGGCAAUAUUUGCAUGAUAUUUUGAGUUCAAAUAUCUUUAUGAUUAAAUUUUUAUUGAUUUAUUAUAUGUAAAAAAGAUUAAAAAAAGAAAGAAAAGAACAUUAUCACAAAAAUAUAAUUUAAUUAGUAUAUAAGAGAAUAUUUUAAUAAUUUUAAAAUUGAAUUGAUAAUCCAUCACACUGGUAUAGAUUAACUAAGGAGUGUUUCAAAGUGUUGAACGCCUCAUGGUCUGGAAAACAUGGCCAUAAAAACAAUAUACUAAACACAUAAGUGUAAGACCCAAAUUUUGCCCAAGCCUAAAAUAUUUACAGUCCAAUUACAAAACCCAAUAUUUAACCUAAACUAUCAGCCCAAUUAAGACCUAAAACAAAGACCCAAAACCAAGCCCAACACGGCCCAAACUAACAAAAACCCUAAUGCCUCGAUAGGCCCAAAAUCUAAACAAAUUUCAGCCAAAAUAUGGAAGCAGAAACCCAAGUGCGCCGCUCCCUACGUGGUGUCAGCACCUUCUCCGCUGCAACGCUGCCACUGGCCUCCUCCACGCCUCUGACAGCACCUGCAAAACCAAAGCAACAAGCAAAACAACAGCAGAGACAACAGUGGCAACAGAGUAGAAGGAAAACGAAAUAGUAGAAUAUAUUGUAAUUUAUUCGACUAUAAAAGCCUCGAAAAAUCAGUGUAUCAAGGGGGAUUUUUGGGGAACAAAAAAGAAAAUCGAAUAAAAGAGAAGAAAUUUGAAACAAAAUACCAAAGGUGAUUCCUCUUUUUAUUUUUUAUCUUACUUUCAAAAAAAAAACAAUAAACAAAAGCACGGUCUUUUUACCUGAGUCGACAAACCUUCCACAGUGGUCGAAAGUCCUCUCCGGCGUUCGAAACCUAGAACCCAUAGUGGUUCGGCGUGAUGAUUUUGAGAGACGUUGUAACGCCUCAAUUUUUAGGCCUGGAAGUAUUGGGCCUUCAGUCUAGGUUUGGGUAGAAGACGGCCCGAAUAAUUUGGAUGUUAUUAUUAUUAUUAUUUCGUAUGUUUAGUUUAGUAAUUAAAUAAAUUAUGAAGGGUUUAUGGUGUGGGAAAAGGUCCAGGGCUCGGCCCAUAGCUUUAGCAAAAUUAUUAAAUUUUGCCUCUUAAGGGAAUCUGGGCAAUAGGCCUUAUUAAUAAUUUGGGCAAGGAACUUGGUGUUGGCCGAAUAUUGGACUCUUGAGGGGCAAGAGUUGGCCGACCAAGGGUCUUUAGUAUAGGCAAUUCGGCUAGGUCUAUGUGCUUUUUAAUUUUUCCCUUGACGAAUAUUAUUUCCCUUCUCCCCUCUCUUUUAUUCAUAUUUUCUUUUCUUUUUCCCUCAUAGCCGAACCCAUACCCCUUUCUUUCUUCAUUAUUUCUUAAAAGUCAAAUCUUAUUAUAGCCGAACCUCUAUUCUUUUCUUCCUUAAAAAGCCAAAACCUUCAUACCUAUGGUUUAGGAAGCCGGAUCUUUGGCUACUUGAACCUGUUUCUUCUAACUACGGUAGAUCGGGAUUAAUAUCAUAGAUAUGAGCACUUUUCUGGGCCAAACAAUGAUUGGUAAGUUUGUCGAAUAAUUUUUGUUAAUUAUUUAUGAUUUAAUAUAAAAGCGGAAACCCCUUAAGGGUGGCUAAUGUUUGGACUAAGGGCGUUAGUGCCUCUUUUUUUCCAUUGUAUAAGCAUUAGCGUGGACAAAGGGGCGUGCAGUAAAGGGUUUGAAGACUGAUUCGGACUGGAUAUCUAGAUCUAAUCCAUAUUUCGGCAAAAAGGUAAGAACUCUAGGGUUAAGGGAUGUUGGCCGAAUUUGGUAAGGGGGAAUAGUACGUAGUUUGUUUUCGGUAUGUAGACUGACAUUUAGUAACUCGAUUGUAGGAAACCCCUGAGUGGAUCUCGCCAGCAUACCGUUACAAAUCAGGUGUGUAAACGACACCCACUCAUAGACUAGAUCGGCAAAAGCCGAAAAGUUGAAAUGCCGAAAAGUCGGCAUUUUGUGAACUUGCGAGCGUGCGAGUGCUCGUGAGGUGGUUAGUUUGUUAAAUUUUGGUAAUCACAAGCGGUAUGAUUGUAGAGUGCGCAAUUUCAUGCACUUCAGUAUAUUUGGGCUUAAUGGGCCGAAAACGGGUUAGUGGGCCAACGGGCCUAAUUCGGUAAAAACGCUCGGUAGGUGUUUUUGUUAAUGCGUUAAUAACUAUAAUGAGCAUGAAACCCUAAAAAUAUUGAUAAAAUUACUGAAAUACCUCUGUAAGAUAGAAUUACCGUAAUACCCCUAAAGGGGUAAGUUUACGAUUACGCCCCUCGAGGGUAAAUAACUAUUCUUACGCUAUAAUCUGACUGUCUUUCUGAAGCAUGCCUUGUUAAUUAUAUAUAUAUAUUCUACAUACAUGUCAUACUGCAUGGGGUUGGGUUUUGUUAUGGAGGAAGAACCCGUUCUGGUAGCUGUGCCACAUAUUCUGAUAUAAGCAACUUGGCUGCGGAUUAUAGUUAGUGCCGCAACUGGUGCUAACACUGUAAGUGUAAGGAUGGCGUGGGUGAUUUAUUCCCCACAGGAAGUGUAGGGAUGGACGGAGGCAAGUGCAGGGUUGGAUGGGGUUAUCAUGUGUUAAUCAUAUGAGACUGUUUUAUUAUGGGCCAACUGUAUUGAAAUGGGCCCAACUGUGUUGAUAUGGGCAAGGCCCAAUAUAUCUCGACUUGUAAUAGGGCUAUCGCCCAGAUUAAUACUAAUAUGGGCUAGACCCAGUAUACUUUGAUAUUGUAAAGGGCUAUGGCCAGAUUAAUAUUGAUAUGGCCUAAGGCCCAGUUAGCCCUGAUUUUUGAAUAGAGGUUAGGCCUAGUAAAGCUUGAACUGAUUUGGGCUCUGGUUGGGAUACUUUACACACUGAGUUUUCUAAACUCACCCCAUUUUUUCCUAUCUUUGCAGGUGAGCCUUAGAUCGGUGGACUUGGAGCUGGAGGGAUUCAGAGUGGCCAUGUGGACUGUUUAAAAUAAGUGUUUAUACCUUCACUUUUAUUUUAGAUUAUUUCCUUUAUGUUUUCGGGUUUUUAAUUUGUAAUAAGGCUGCUUUAAUUAUUUUUUAAUUGUUUUUAGUAUGUUUUGUUAGCUUAGAUAUGAUAUUGUUUUAAUUGUUUGAAAUUGAAUAGCUCUAGGGCGUGUUUUCAAAAGAAAUUACCUGAUUUCAAAAUAUCGCGAAACAAGACAAAGCUUCCGCAACGAAAACGUUUUCAAAAUUUAAUAAGUGAUUUCAAAUGGAUAAAAACGAAAUGGUUUCUUCUAAACAAUCGCUCAGUUAAAGUGUGGCAAUGGUUGUGUGCAUGUCUAGGAGUGGAUCCGUGGAGAGCUUGGUACUUAAGCAGUCUAAUAGACUCACCUCCUCUUUUCUAGUAUCCUACCUGGUGCACAGCUCCCAUUCACUUUAAUUUAAAACGAAAAUAUUCUUUGAACACUAAGAAAAAAAUUUAGAUAAGACAUGAGUUUUCAGUUACGCUUUAAUGUGACACGUUGGAUUCGACCGUAAUAUAUGAGCCGGGUUUGGGGUGUUACAUUUAGUGGUAUUAGAGCCCAGUUGCAACAACUCGGCUGUGGAUCGGGUCCGAACGUUUUUCAUAAAAUUUUGAAAUCUAGUUCCAUGGAAAAACACUGAAAUCGAUUUUGUGGAAAUGUUAGAAAAUUAUUUUAAAUUUUGUUUUCAAAGUGCACAAAGAAUAAAUUUGAAUUUUACUAAGUGCACAAAGAAGUGGCACACUGAAUCCCCGGCACCAAGUCUGUAAGUACCUUUUCUGAACUUUACUAAGUAUUUGUUAUAUUACUGAGACUCUGCUAUGACAUUAUAGUUAGAGCUAGAGUGCACAGUAGAAGCAUAGUGGUUUGGCUUGAGUAAUACGGUUAGUUGAUAGUUUGAAAUUUCGAGGACGAAAUUUCUUUAAGGGGAGUAGAGUUGUAACGCCCCGAUUUUUGGGCCUGAAAGUAUUGGGCCUUGAGUCUGGGUCUGGGUAGAAGACGACCCGAAUAAUUUGGAUGUUAUUAUUAUUAUUAUUAUUUAUUAUUUCGUAUGUUUAGUUUAGUAAUUAAAUAAAUUACGAAGGGUUUAUGGUGUGGGAAAAGGUCCAGGGCUCGGCCCAUAGCUUUAGCAAAAUUCUUAAAUUUUGCCUCUUAAGGGAAUUUGGACAAUGGCCUUGUUAAUAAUUUGGGCUGAGUUUUAGCAUAAGCAGGCACCUGGCCCAGUGGCUAAGGACGCUAGGAGGGCGUGGGAGGUGCUUGGGUUCAAGGCACAGCGCGCGCAAAUUGGGUGUUUUAUUUUAAUAUGCAGAUGGCGGUUGAAAUAAGGGUUAAGAGGAAAUGCCAGCAUAAUUCAACACAAGGAGCGCCUGUGGCGCAGUGGCAGCAGCGUGCUGGGCACACAGAGAGGGGGCGGGUUCGAGUCCUUGCGCGGGUGAACUCCGUUUUAUUUUUGAAACGGGCCAGAACUGAAGAAGGUAAGGUUAUAAAAUAAUUGAGAGAGGAUUAUGUUAUGGAAGGAACCUCGGUGCAGUGGCAAGCAGUGUAUGUGUGUGUUUAGCAGGUCCUGGGUUCGAGAGGAACAGUAGGCAAAAUUUCUUUUUUAUUUCACAAGUAACCGGAGCUUCAGCAGGUAAGGUUUUAUAAAUAAUUGUAACCAUAUACUAGUAAAGAAUGAAGUGUGGUGCAGUGGCCAGCAGCACUGGCGUAAGUGUAAGGGUAGACGGAGGUUUGGGGUUCAAGUCUCACUUUGUUUUUAUUCAUAUUUUCUUUUCUUUUUCUUUUUCCCUCAUAGCUGAACCCAUACCCCUUUCUUUCUGUCUCUUCCCUUAUUUUACUUUCUUCAUUAUUUCUUAAAAGCCGAAUCUUAUUAUAGUCGAACCUCUAUUCGUUUCUUCCUUAAAAAGCUGAAACCUUCAUACCUGUGGUUUAGAAAGCCGAAUCUUUGGCUACUUGAACCUGUUUCUUCUAACUACAGUAGAUCGGGAUUAAUAUAAUAGAUAUGAGCAAUUUUCUGGGCUGAACAAUGAUUGGUAAGUUUAUCGAAUAAUUUCUGUUAAUUAUUUAUGAUUUAAGAUAAAAGACAGAACCCCUUAAGGGAGGCUAACGUUUGGACUAAGGGCGUUGGUGCCUCUUUCUUUUCCAUUGUAUAAUCAUUAGCGUGGACAAGGGGAUGUGCAGUGAAGGGUUUGAAGACUUCUUCGGAUUGGAUCUCUAGAUCUAAUCCAUAUUUCGGCAAAAAGGUAAGAACUCUAGGGUUAAGGGAUGUUGGCCGAAUUUGGUAAGGGGGAAUAGUACUUAGUUUGUUUUCAGUAUGUAGACUGAUGUUUAGUAACUCAAUUGUAGGCAACUCGUGAGUGGAUCUAUCCAGCGUACCAUUACAAAUCAGGUUUGUAAACGACACCCACUCAUAGACUAGAUUGGCAAAAGUCGAAAAGCUGAAAUGUUGAAAAGCCGUCAUUUUGUGAACUUGCGAGCGUGCGAUCGCUCGUGAGGUGGUUUGUUUGUUAAAUUUUGGUAAUCACAAGUGGUAUGAUUGCAGAGUGCGCAAUUUCGUGCACUUCGGCAUAUUUGGGCUUAAUGGGCCGAAAACGGGUUAGUGGGCCAACGGGCCCAAUUCGGUAAAAACACUAGGUAGGUGUUUUUGUUAAUGUGUUAAUAACUGUAAUGAGCAUGAAACCCUAAAAAUACUGAUAAAAUUACUGAAAUACAUCUGUAAGGUAGAAUUACCGUAAUACCCCUAAAGGGGUAAGUUUACGAUUACGCCCCUUGAGGGUAAAUAACUGUUCUUACGCUAUAAUCUGACUAUCUUUCUGAAGCAUGUCUUGUUAAUUAUAUAUAUAUAUAUUCUGCAUACAUGUCAUACUGCAUGGGGUUGAGUUUUGUUAUUGAGGAAGAACCCGUUCUAGUGGCUGUGCCACAUAUUCUGAUAUAAGCAGCUUUGCUGCAGAUUAUAGUUAGUGCCGCAACAGUUGCUAACACUGUAAGUGUAAGGAUGGCGUGGGUGAUUUAUUCUCCACAGGAAGUGUAGGGAUGGACGGAAGCAAGUGCAGGGUUGGAUGGGGUUAUCAUGUGUUAAUCAUAUGAGACUGUUUUGUUAUGGGCCAACUGUAUUGAAAUGGGCCCAACUGUAUUGAUAUGGGCAAGGCCCAAUAUAUCUCGACUUGUAAUAGGGCUACGGCCCAGAUUAAUACUGAUAUGGGCUAGACCCAGUAUACUUUGAUACUGUAAGGGGCUAUGGCCAGAUUAAUAUUGAUAUGGUCUAAGGCCCAGUUAGCCCUGAUUUCUGAAUAGGGGUUAGGCCUAGUAAAGCUUGAACUGAUUUGGGCUCUCGUUGGGAUACUUUACACACUGAGUUUUCUAAACUCACCCCAUUUUUUUCCCAUCUUUGCAGGUGUGCCUUAGAUCGGUGGACUUGGAGCUGGAGGGAUUCAGAGUGGCCAUGUGGAUUGUUUAAAAUAAGUGUUUAUACCUUCACUUUUAUUUUAGAUUAUUUCCUUUAUGUUUUCGGGUUUUUAAUUUGUAAUAAGACCGCUUUAAUUAUUUUUUAAUUGUUUUUAGUAUGUUUUGUUAGCUUAGAUAUGAUAUUGUUUUAAUUGUUUGAAAUUGAAUAGCUCUAGGGCGCGUUUUCAAAAGAAAUUACCUGAUUUCAAAAUAUCGCGAAACAAGACAAAGCUUCCGCAACGAAAACAUUUUCAAAAUUUAAUAAGUGAUUUCAAAUGGAUAAAAACGAAACGGUUUCUUCUAAAUAAUCGCUCAAUUAAAGUGUGGCAUGGUUGUGUUCAUGUCUAGGAGUGGAUCCGUGGAGAGCUUGGUACUUAAGCAGUCUAAUAGACUCACCUCCUCUUUUCUAGCAUCCUACCUGGUGCACAGCUCCCAUUCACUUUAAUUUAAAACGAAAAUAUUCUUUGAACACUAAGAAAAAAAUUUAGAUAAGACAUGAGUUUUCAGUUACGCUUCAAUGUGACAUGCUGGAUUCGACCGUAACGUCUGGGUCGGGUUUGGGGUGUUACAGAAGUUAAAAAAGUUUUUGGUUAUUUUUUUUAUUUUGGAAGUAGAGGGUUCAAAACGGAGAAAAAAUGGCUCUUUUCGUGUACUCCGACCAUUGUGGACGGCGGCCGCCACGGUGGUCCGGUGAUCGGACCUUGGCCGGAUGCUGGAAGAGGGGAUAGAGUUUGAGAGGUUUUUCCUUUGUUUUUUUUGAGAGGUGUUGAAAAGAGCAAAAAAAAAGAGUGUAAAUUUUGGUUUAAAUACUAGUACUAAAACGAUACUGUUUUGGGCUUUAUGCCCCAGAUGCAAAACGACGCCGUUUCAUCCCUACCCGCGUGUUGACCCGACCCGUCUAGGGGCAUCCACGUGUUUUGACCGAAUGGGCUUGUUGCACUUUUGGCCCUUCCGCUUUUUUAUCAAUUUGCAAUCAAGCUUCCUUUUAUUUGUAAUUCGUGCCCUAUAAUUUAUUUCAAUCAUCAAUUUAGUCCCACACAAAGUGACACGUUUUGGAGGGCAGGAAUAUUUAUUCCUCUAGUCCCUCCAUUUCAUUCGCGCACUGCAAUAUGGUCCUUUCCCUUUUAUUCCUCUCAGAUUUGCCCCGAAUUUUUGUUUUAAGUUCAAAUUGGUCCCUUUUUGUUAUUUUUGCUAUUUUAUUAACUGUUUAAUAUUAUUGUUACUAUAAUCAUAUUUUAUUUUUGUGCUUAUUUAUUUGCUACUAUCAUUAUAUUAUUAUAUUAGUAACUUUGUAUUAUUAUCAUUAUUAUAAUCAUAUUUUCUUUUUGUGUUUCUUUACUUAUUAUUACAUUAUUAAUUGAUCUAUUAUUACUAUUAUUAUUAUUUUCACUAUUACUAUUAUUUUCUAACAUUAUUAUUACUAUUACUAUUAUUUAUUUAUUUAUUUAUUUAUAUCAUUGUUGUUAUUAUUAUUAUUCCUGAUUUUAUUAUUAUUGGUGUAUUAUUAUUAUUAUUCUUCAUUUUAUUAUUAUUUUCUAUUUUAUCAUUUAUUAUUAUUAUUUAUUAUCAAUAUUAUUAUUAUCAUUGCUAUUUUUAUUUUCAUUACUAUCAUUAUUAUUAUUUACUAUUAUUUAUUAUCAUUAUUAUCACCAUUUCCUACUAUUAUUAUUAUUAUUAUCAUCAUUAUUAUUUAUUUGUUUACAUAUGUUUUAUUACAAAUUGUGUCUUUAACUUCAUUUAUCUUUUGAUUCUUUACUUUCAAUAUUUCUUUGUCUUUAUUAUAUUUCAAAACUGGUAUCGUCAUUUCAUGUGCGUGAUUUAUCAUUAGUGUUCUUGUCGUCAUCAUUGUUAUUAUUAUUUAUUUUGUUUUCCUUUGAUGGUUAAUACUGGAAUUAAAGUGAUAUGCAUUAUGGAUUGCUUAUUAGUAUAUUUACAUUAUUGCCACUUAUUUGUGUAACAUUCGAUUCUUAUGCCAUUUUUAUAUUACGCUAAUUCUUACUCAAAUACACAAAAAUAAAAUUUUUAAAAUAAGGCAAUAUUCUGUGUUUGGAGAUUUGAAAGAUCGUGCCCUAACUUAUUGGGUUUCGAUUUUUCUUUGUUCGACCUAAAUGACCGAAUAACCUUUUGAAAUUAAAACGCAUGAAUUUUGAAAAUCAAAAAGCAAGCUUAUUCUCGAGGUUUUAAAAUGCUGUGUCCUAAUUUAUUGGAUGUGACAUUUUAUUACUUCGGGACAAGAAGGUCUUUAACAUCCGUUUCGAUUGAUGCAAGCAAAUUCUUUGUAAAAAAAUCAACAUUAAAAAGAAAGGAUCGUAUUUUUAAUUCUUUUCGAGUUUUUAAAUUUUUACAUUAAGACAUUAAUUAAUCAAUUUGGUACCAAUUUUGGGCGUGACAAGGGUUCUAAUCAUUCCUUGCACGUAACCGACUCCCGAACCCGUUUUCUCAAAUUUCGUAGACAAAAAUUGUUGUUUUAGCAAAUCGAAAUAUUUUAUUAAAAUAACCAAAUUUCUAAGUGAUCUGAUCACACCUAAAUAAAAAGAUUGAUAGCGACUUCCAAUUUUUGUUUUCUUUUCAAAAUAUAAAAUUGAUCCGUUUUAAAAAAAUAGUUUCGAGAGUAAGAAUGUUAGAUCCAAUCGGUUAAAGUAUCCUAUCCCAUUGAAUUUCUAAUUUCCAGCCAAUUGGGUGACUCAUUCUGUCUCGAUUAUGGAUUGAAUAUACACGGAUCCCACAACCCUUUAAAUGACGAGAGUUUCCCACUGCCACAGUUUAGAAAUUCUAUUUUAAAGAGAAGUGACAUUUACCUCAUUUACUCUUAUCGGUUUGUCAUGUUUUGAAUUUGAUCUAUUGCAAAAACUUUCUGAUCUCAUGAUGAGUUUUAUUCACUAUGACACCUUCGUUGACAACAUCCAUCAUAUUUCUUUCCAUGGGUAGGAGUCAUUCAUAAAAAUAUUGGAUGAAUAAUUGUUCCAAAAUUCUAUGUUGUGAGCAACUACCACAUAAUUGCUUAAAUCUCCUAAUACUCGUGAAGAGUCUCCAUACCGUUUUGCUUGAUGCCGUAACUUUUUCCUAGUAGAAAUAGCACAUGACGUAAAAAAAAAUCCGAAAAUAAUCUUAUCAUGUCAAUCCAUGUAGUAAUAGAUCCAGGAGGUAGAUAAUAUAGCCAAUCCUUCACCUUGUUGGCUAGUGAAAAGGUGAAGUCUCUUAGUUUGGUUUGUUCUUUGAUCACUCAUUGUCGUCUCAUAAUAGAACACACUACACCACAUGAAAAUCAUUCAAGUGCUUACGAGGAUCUUUGUUUUUUUGACCACAAAAACUGUUAGUACAAAUAUCCGGUGAGAAAAAUCUCGAACACACGAACAGAACUCGAAAGAAGAAGAAAUAGGACAAGGCUCCAAGGCGUGUAUCAAACCACUUUCUCUAAGAUUAUAUUCGCCCCCACCUAUCUUUGGUGUACAAAUGAGUUCCAAGCAAAUUAACCUUGAUGAUACAAUGAAGCCAAUGACUAUUAGCGUUUUGUACUGACGAGAAUAGCCCACUACACACUGAGCAAUGUAUGACAAGAAACUCAAUUUCUAUAAAGGAUUUUUGCAGUAAUACUUUAUAGAAUAAUCUAAUGAUAUUAGAAAAUGAAGAAAGGAAAGAAAGAAUAUUAGAAUUUGUUGGUAUGAUUUCCAAAUGAAAUCUCAUUCUAUUUAUAGGAAUUUUCAUGUCUCUUCAUAAAGACAUCUUUCAUCAAUAGGUGUCUUUCUGAAUAAUAAUGUCUUUAAAAUAAACACAUAAUUAUUCAAUUAAUUAUAACUAUUCAAAUAAUAUUAUUUAAAUAGUUAUAAUUCUUUUUCAAAAAAUCAAAUAAUAUAAUCUUUUGAUUAAUUACACCCAUUCAUUUAUAGUUGUAAAUAUUUGAAAAUGUUCCAACAAAAAGUAGGCAAUAAAUGAUUUAGUCCAGAUUUUAAUUCAAAAGAUACUUCUAAUCCUAGAUAUUCAAUGCACAACAGUUGUUGCUUCAGAUUUAUUUAAGAGAGAAAUUGGUUAUUCUCCUUUUGAUUCGGUAGAUGAAUCGACUGAAUUGUUCUAUGUAUCUAGUUGGGUAAUGAAGAUGGUUGGUUAGUUCUUGCUCGAACUCUCUUCCUUAGUCUUCGAGCAGUUCUCUCAAACUCAGGAUUGUACAAGAGUUCACCUGCACGAGAAGAUUAAAAUUUUAAUUUUAAUAAAUAUAUUUAAUACUGAGAAAAAAAGAAGAUCAAAACAUAAAAAUGAACAAAAAUUAAAUUAAAUUAAAAACAAGAAAGAGAUAAAAUUAUUAACAUUAAUAUAUGAUAAAAAGGUUAAAAUCUGUACAAUUGUUGAGACCUAUAAAAAUAAAAUCCUACUAAAAAAUAUAAAUUUAGUACAUAACAUUGAGUAGAGUCGUAUUCAUAGAUAUUGAUAAUAACUUUAUUUUUAAAACAAAAACAAGGAAAGUAAAUAUGAUGGAGAUUUUAGAAAAUAAAAAGCUAAAUUUAAAUUUAAAUCUUAACCAAGAAGGCAAUAAUAAAAAUUAUCAAUGAGAUGGAGCUCUAGCCAAUUGUAAAAUAUCUGUUUGAUUCACAAGUUUAAUCAUUGAUGGAAAGAUAAUUCCAUUGUUCUUUAAUAGAUUAGUUCAAAGUUGCCAAUGUCGUACCUAGCAAUCAGUCUCUCCUUAAUUUAUCGAUAACCAAGAGAAAGCUGUUGAAAUUAAUCUUCUUAUCAAUGAACAACCCUAUAACCUCACGUUUAGAAUUUAACUUACCGAUAGAGUUAUAAACGAGAGAGACCUAAUUUUAACCAAAAAAACACACAAGUAGGAUUUAUUUAAAUUAGAUUGCAUUCCCACACAACAUUGAUUGCAUACACAGUUACAGUAUUUAAAUUAGCUCCAUUGGCCAUGGAUUCUACAAGUUGUGUUGACAUUGAUGAUUUUUUUUAUGCUAUUGGUGAUGUCUGUAUUGUCAAAGCGUCAGGUAGAAUGUAUAACAGAUGGCUUGACCAUUGCUGACUUUUACCAAUCCAGCAUGUUUUAAAACUUGGUGGUAGUUGCUGCUACUGGUUAUGUAUUGAGUUGCUGGGAUGCUAGUUAUGUUUUAUUCUGCUGUUGGAAACAUGGUUUGUUGUUGGGGAUUUUUUUGUUGUCAGAUUUACUAUGUUAUGGUUCCUGGUUUAUUGUUUGAUGACUUGAUGGAUGGACGCAGAAGUUGGAGAAAACAUAAGAGUAUAAAUUGAGUCAAAAGAUAAAAUAGUAAAGGCCAUUCUGUUUUAUUUUUCCAUAAUAUUAUACAAACAGUCAACCAUGUAUAUACACAUGGCACUGACAUGAUUGUGAAGGCCUACACACUUUCUAAUGGUUGUACUGGCUAUCAAAAUUUAUUACCAUAACAGUAGUACGGGUAAUGAAGCAGCAGGCAGCUCGUUAUUAUUUAAUUUUGAUAGCCUUAACUACCAGCAUAGCUUGAUGAAGAAGCAAAGGCAGUUAUGCCUCUAACUCAAAUGAUGCCUUCAUUGUGGGUGAACGGCUCACGGGAUCAAUUUCAAUAGAUGCAAUGUACCCAAACUUUGUAACUUUAAAUUUUGGUUUUCCUCUUUUCUCAAGGUUGGUUUUGAUUUGCCCCCAGUGAAUAGGUUGCCUUUGGAUAUCAGUAUAGACCUGCAGCAUGCACGCAAAUGGCAUGCAAAUGGUCAUAGAUUAAAUGAUUAUAUAUACGCAUUCUAACUAGUUAAUUAAUGAUAAGAUUGAAUUGAAU